UCCCAGCUCCGGAAGAGGAGACUGGUAUCGUUUGGAGGCAGAAACUCACAAGAUGGGUUGUCGAAAAAUUCCACCCGCACCUGAUCAACGACUCCAGUUCUGAUAGUUGGGUCAAGAAAAAGGUUAGGAAUAGGACAUUCCCCCGCUACAGCUAAGGUUACAUUUGGGUAUCCCUUAAGUGCCAGAGCAAGAACAUCCAAGUAAUUCGGGUUUCCGCUGUGGAUGUGAAGCUCUACGCCAUCUAAAACAGCUGUGCCGAAUGGACGGUCGCUUGAUUCACCGCCUAAGUAAGUGUUCCAGACAUAGGCUGCCACUUCUUGCGCAUCUUCGACGGAAGAAAGAUUCGAUGGUCCUGCGAGAGAAAUAAACACUUUGGUCUGAUUAUUCUGGCAAGAUUCUAUGUCUGCUGCGCUCGGCCAAGGAUGAAUUACGUUCAAUUCAGGCAUGUGGCCGCUACCAAAAUCUUUCAGAAAGGCAAUAUUCACGUCGGUAGCGAAUUCUCGCCUGCAGAACUCAGCCAAACUUGAUGGUUCUGAAUGGCCUCGGCCCCAGUAUUGGACAAUUCCGGCAGCUUCGGAGGACCCAAUCAGAGAAGCAAUCAACAACAGGAAUGUUAUUGCUGAGAACAGUGGUUGCAAAGAGGCAGCCAUUUUUUUUUCUUUCUUUUCAGUGAUUUUUGGAGCUUUGCUUUGGUGAGUUCACUUGCACAAAUGACUGACCAUUUUAUAGUUGAGUUUAUCUCAAGUGGAUGUUCAGCAUCUAGAAUAUCCAAACAUCCGUACACGAAAACGUGAAUGGCAUGACUUCUCAUUUCUGCGCUCAAAAACGUGAAUGGUAUUAUUUAAUUAUGUUUAAGUUGUCAAGAUUUUCCCACUCAAUCCUUCAUUCAACAGCUGUGAUGGUGCUGUGACGCGCGGUCUUAAGCAAGAAAUUUUUUUUUUCCUCGACCUCAAUGUGAAUGUGACUCACAUAUAUAAAUAAUCUCAUAGCAAAAUAUGUUCUUACUGAUCACAGAAGUGAAGCUUGUGCACAGGAAUGUAUAGAAUCCAGUUGCAUGCAACUAAUCACUGUUUAAGCAUACGAAUUAACCAUCACGAGCUAAGACGCAGAGGCAAGCCAAACUCCAAAGCCAAUUCCCAGUUGGCUCUAGUUAAAGGGAUCUUCCUCUAACCUGUCGUCACUUCCUUUACAGAAGCCAAGACAGCAGAAACUAUGUCCACAGCCGAGAUAUGUCUCUGCUGAAACAUAGACAAAUUCCUUGCUGUCCAUAGCCACAACAUUGAAAGCCAAUCCCCAGACCUGAUCAGCAAAAUAGUUUUGAGUGGCAGUCCAGGUGCAAAUGCAACCGCGUUGUGAUACAACAUUGAAGGCUCAAAACAUUAAGGUUGAGAGUUCAACAAUUAACCCUUUUUGUUUCUUAAAUUCCACCCUUCAAUCCUACGUCAUUGAAGGCUCAAUAGGCUCAAAACAUAUUGAGCCUUCAACUACUCAUCCUAUUUUUCUAGAUUUUUAAUUUUUUUUUUCAAAAAUUGAUUCAUGUCUUCGGUUUGGAUUCACCAUAAUGUCAUGCAUUGCUUUGUUGCUUUUAAUUCCUUAAUUUUAACGUAGCCCCAGACAUGGCAUAUAAUAGUCACUCUCUUAAUAAAUGCAAUUAAUUAAUCAUACCAAACAUAAGGUUGGGAUUAGGUAUUGUAGCAUACCUUAGUUUUAUUUUGUUCCCUAUUUUACUUAGGCCUUGUUUGGAUUGCAUUUUUCUGAAUUUUUUGUAGAAAAAUUACUGUAGUAAUUUAAUAUAUGUGAAAUAAAAAAGUGAUAGGGAACUAUGGUCACAGAAAACGUAGCAAUUUUUCUGAAGAAAAUCGCUGUCCAAACAGAUCCUUAGUUUCAAACAUGCCCUACAAUGUUCAACCCUAUAAUAAUGCAAUUAAAUAAAUAUACCAAAAAUAUUUAUACAUAGUUGAAACUAAAAAUAAUUGUAUCCAUAAUAAUCAAUAUAAAAAAUUGACUAAAAUACAAUCUUUGACUAACAUAAACUAAUAAUUUAAGUUCUUGUCCUCCAAAGAAAUAACAAUAUUCCAAAUCACACAAGCUGAACAGCUUAGCAAAUUAGCAAAACUGACUAACAAACACAACACAAAAUUACGAAAUAUUCAACAAUUUUGUAUUCUUUUCCUAACUAAAAUUUACAAAUCAUACCCGAAAAAAGGGAACUAAUCUAAGUUCCUAUCCUCCAAAGAUAUAACAAGAUUCCAAAUCAUAUAGUUAAACAAUUUACCGCAUUAGCAAAAUUGACUGAAAAAAAUACAAAAAGAGAACAACAAAAAUUUCAAUAUUUUUUGUAUUGCUUUCCUAAGUAAAAUUUACAAAUCAUACCCAGAAUAAAAAAAUGAAAUAUACUUAUCAGAUACUUCAAUUUUUGGAAUCACCAUGCACAGAAAAUAAAAAAUAGCUCUAAAUUUCAGCCCAGACCUAGAUCUAAAAUUGGACCUGAAUUAUAUAUAAUCGGAUGUUAUUCAUGCUAUUAGAAUUGUUAGAUUUUGUUAGAGCAUAAAAAAGAAAUAUAAUAUUUUUACCUAUUCUUUUGUUGAGCAAUUAGAAUCAAAAUUAUAUCAUCGUUAUGACUAAAGAAAUGGAGAAGGAUAUUUUCCAACUACUUAAAGUUUUUAUUUAAACUAAAGACAAAUUAAAACUACGAAAAUCAGUUUAGAAAGGAUAAUAUGAAAAUAAUGCACAAAAUUUGGCUCCAAAGAUGCAGCAUCUACAGAAGGGACGAUUUGCAUUCAGGGGUUGCGGGGAUAUGGAAAAGUAGCAUGGAACGGGGUUGUUGCAAGGUGGAGUAUGAGGACAAGUUAAUUUUUCACAAAAUUAAUUACAUCAUCAAGUAAUAAAAAUUUAAAUAAAUAAUUUCAAACCAAAUCUAAAAUAAAUUAAACACCAUAAAAGUGUUUUAUCCUAAACCAAAUAUAAAAUAAAUUAAAACAGCAUAAAAGUAAAAAAUAACAUAAUAUAUUAUUUGUCCAAAUAUAAUAAUUUUAACUUCACACAAGUUAAAUAAAUUCAUUUAGGAUUAAGUAAUUAAUACCUUUGGAAAAAAAGAAUGAUUUAGUUUAGUUAGAUAAAAUAAUUUUAAUGUUUAUUAAAUUAGUUUUAAUUCGUAAAUGGGUCACAUCGGGUCAUAUCAGGUCACCACGGGUUGACCCGAAAUUGACCUGUUUUCUUUUCGGGUUCAUCGGGUUCGACCCGAUUCUAACCCGAACUCCCGAAACCUCAACCCAAACCCAUUAAUUUCGUGUUAGGAUCGUGUCGUGUUUUCGGAUCGUGUCAGGAAUUGCCACCCCUAAGGACAAGGGAAGAAGGAAGCAGGAAGCUGACAAGGCAGGGAUUGUCGGAAAAGUUAAAGGAAGCCAAGGCUGUUUGGACAGUAAUUUUUCAAAGAAAAAUUAUUACUUUUUUCGUGAACAUAUUUUCUUAUCAUCUUUUUAUCUAAUAUAUGUCAAAUCGUUAUAAUAAUUUUUUUACAAAAAAUUCAGAAAAAUACAAUUCAAACAAGGCCUACAUUUACGCAAUGAUACUAAACUACUUAAAGUUUGAACUUCCAAACUAAUUACUUAGAAUAUAGGUUGAAAAAAGAAAAGUCAGACAUUUAUGGGUCUGAAAGGAGUGUGUAUAAAUCUAUGGGUGCCGGGCAGCCCGGCACCUGACACAAACCUUUUUUUUUUUUUUCUCUAAAAAGAUGGCAGGUGCCGGGCUGUGUCUACCCGGCACCUGACACAAAAUAUUUUUCCCCAAAAUUGAACAACUGAAAUGGCCUCCCAAAAAAAUGAGCUUUUGACCAUAAGGGAUUACUUGAAUAAUAUCACUUCUUUGGCGUUUUAUUUGAAUAAUUUUUAUAUUAUGUUAGUUAAUUGGUGAUAAAUAUUUUAUGUUGUUGUUAUAUUAUGUUAUUAAUAUUUUUUAUUAAAUAAAUAUUUAAUUUAUUGUAAAAUAGUUGUAUACAAAUAUGUAAUUUACUUUUUAGGUAAGUUAGCUAAUAUUAGUUUAAUAACACGAUACAUGCUUAAUUGAAUUAGUUUAGUGAUAGAAUUACUUUAAGUAGUUUAAUUAGUUGUUUAAAUUUGUUUAAUGGAUUAAUUUAAAGAGACUAAUUAAAUGAAUGUAGAUGUAAUUUAUGUAGUAUUGAAUUAUGAUUAUGAAAACUUGUUAAUUAGUUCGGGUUAUUUAAGUAAUUGAAAGAAUUGGCAUAUUUAAUAAAUUCAAUACAUAAAAUUGAUGUAUUUAGCAUAACAUAAUUAACGAUAUUAGUGUUAUUAGUUUAAUGCAAUUCACUUUAUUAUGCAAAUUAGUUGAUAAUUAGUUCAUGUUAUUUAGUAUAUGAUUAGUUUAAUUAGUUUAGUGGAUUAAUUAGUUUAAUUUAUUGUGGAAUUAAUUAAUUUUAAGAGGUUCGAUUAAAUGAAUUUAGAUGUAUCUGGCGAGGUUAAUUAAUUGAAUGAAUUUUUGUAUUGAGUUUUGAUUAAGAUAGCCAUUUAGUCAAGGCAAUUUAAGUAUUUGAAAUAAUACCCAUGCUAAUAAAAUAAAUACAUAAAAUUAAUGUAAUUAGCAUAGCUUAAUUUCGACACUAGUGAUAUUAGUUUAAUGUAAUUCACUUUAUUUGUUAAGUUAGUUGAUAAUUAGUUUAUGUUAUUUAGUAUAUGAAUAGUUUAAUUAGUUUAGUGGAUUAAUUCGUUUAAUUAAUUGAAUGAAUUAAUUUUAAGAGGUUAGAUUAAAUGCAUUUAAUUAAGGUGCUGAAUUAGGUUUAAUUUGUUAUUUAUUAAAUAUUCAUUAAUUUAUUAUACAUGAUUUAAUUAUUUAAUUAUAAUACAUUAUUUGAUGUUAUUUGUUAUUAUUUGUUGUUAUUUAAUAGACCUUGAGAAAUUUCUUUACGAAACUCCAUGGCUGCGUAAUAGUUAAGUGCAUAUAGGGAUAUUUAGAAGAAUAAAGCGCCAAAGAAGUGAUAUUAUUCAAGUAAUCCCUUAUGGUCAAAAGCUUAUUUUUUUGGGAGGCUAUUUCAGUUGUGCAACUUUGGGGAGAAAUAUUUUGUGUCAGGUGCCGGGCUGUGUCUGCCCGGCACCCAUGGGUCUUUUUAAAAAAAAAAUUUGGGUGUCAGGUGCCGGGUUGUGUCUGCCCUGCACCUAUAGAUUUAUACACGCCCUCUGUCAGACUCAUAAAUGUCUGACUUUUUUUUUUUCAACCUAUAUUCUAAGUAAUUAGCCGAACUUCCAAUUGAAAUUAAGAAUAAGGAUGUUUGUUAAACAAAAAUUAUAUUAAAAACUAGUUUUGGGUGGGAGUGUUUUUCAAAAACUAGUUUUUCAAAUACAAUAAAAAUUUUUAAAAAGUAUUUUGAAAGGUAAUCUAAAAAUUAGUUUAAAUUUUUCUAAAAUUUUAAAAAUAUUCCAAAAUAUAUUCUAGAAACUCUUAUACUCUUAAAUAUCCCAUAAUAUUUUCUAAAAAUAUUCCAAAAUAUACUCUAAAAACUCUGUUACAGUAAAAUUUUUUAAAAAUACCCUUAAAACAGCUAAUCUAAAAGUAUGAAAAUUAGUUUAGGAACGACAAUUCACAAAUGUUACACAGAGUGUGGCUCCAUUUUGAUGGGUUACUUUUAGGAUGCUUUUAGAAAACUUUCAUAAUAGGAAUAUUCUUUUAAAAUCUUUAUGUGUAGUAUUUUUGGGGUCCAUUGAAAAUUUUUGGCAUGUUAUGUUUUCAUUGUUGGCAUUGAAUACAUUUAAAAAUGGCCGGUAAGCAAUAAAAUGAGUCUCGGCAAUAGCGAAAGAUAGUUGGUGAUGGGUCCACCGCAAGGUUGUGCGUUUUAGGCUAGUAGGAAGGCGGUGGAGUGUAGGUGGCAAUUGGCAAAGAUUUAAGAUGACUAAAUUUAUUUAACAAUAUUAAAUUUACUUUGGAUUAAUCUUAUAUAUAUUAUCACUAUUAGAUAUAUGACACAUGAGUAAAAAUUCAAUAUUAUCACUAAUUAGAUUUUUUUCUCAUUAGAUAUAUGACACAUUAGGUAUUUUUACAUUUUUACUCAUUAGAUAUAUGACACAUUAGAUAUUUUUACUCAUGUGUCAUAUAUCUAAUGGUGAUAGUAUAUAUAUGCUGACAGUGUAUAUAAAAUUUAUUUAUUUACUUUAUAGAAAUAUCAGAUUUACAUUUUAUUAUCAUUUUAUGAGAUUAAAUUUACUUAACAAUAAAAUUUAGUUAACAAUAUUAGUUUCAUAUUUCUAUUUUUUACCUGUUAAAUUUACUUAAUAAUAUUGAUGUAACAAUAUUGUAUUUGUUUGGAUAAAAUAUUAUUUGAAAUAAUUAUUGUAACAUUUUUAUGAUAUAAUAUAUGUGAGAUAAAAAUGUGGUUAAAACUAUAAAAAUGUAGGUUGAAAAAGGUAGGUGAUAUCUUAUCACAAACACAAGAUUUUAUUGUUUAUGGACAUAUAGAUAGACAUGAAAUUGUCCUCAAUAAUAAAAAAAAAUUUAAGUACAAUUAUGCGUUUGAAGAUGAUCUGGCUCUUUCUGGCUUUACAUAUAAAGGGCAGCUUUUGAUUGAUCAAUUUUUGAAUCGCGCGCGUCUCCAUCGCAACGGUUCACCAUCUGUAAUUAUUUGGACAUCGGGGCGUACAGACGUGGAUUGGUUUGACAGAGUCUGGGAUUUAAAUGUCAAUUGUGCAAUAGGGAUCUCAGCAUUUUACGGCCAGCUCAGCUGCUAAGGAAUGAACGGUUCUUGUAGCUGGGAGCAGGAUAUGCUCCCCAAGGAGAUUUUCUCAAAAGGAAUAUCUCUUAAUUUUUCAUGGUGGAUACAAGCUUCUUUCGGCUUCCCUCCUGUCUGUCUAGUACAGGAGAGAAUAGAUUAUACAACAGUUAUCGUCUUGAAAAAAAAAUUUUAAAACUUCUAUUAUCCAGUUGGCCCAACCAAUUGGUCGUCGAAUUUUUUUCCACACAACUUAAUCAUUCAGAUAUUUUUAAUGAAUGGGAUAUCUUAAAAUAGUCAAGUCGAGUUACUGGAGGUACUUUUUUUUUUUUUUUUUUCUUUUUAACGUCAAAGUUUUAAUCCUGUUGCAUAUUUCGAUUUUAGUGCAUGUUUAUCUAUCAUUAAGAUAAUGAUUCACAUCAAUCAUGCUGCUUGACGAUUUUCAGCACUUUUGAUUGCCCUAUCUGUGUUGGAUAUGCUCAAAUUAUAAUUGAUGGACUUUAGGUGAGAGCGGGAUAUGCCUCCCAUGGAGAUUUCUCAAAAGGAAUAUCUCUCAAUUUUCGUGGCGGAUUGAAAAGGAAUGCUCAAACAUGUUACUUCUUCUUCCCCUUUUUUUUUGGCCUUUUUGAUGUGCAAAUUUUAAUUGUGUCGCAUAUUUCGAUUUUAAUGCUUGUUUUAUCUGACAUUAAAAGAGCAACGAUGUAUAUCAAUCGUGAUAUUGGACGAUUUUUAGCACUCUUGAUUGGCCUAUCUGUGUAGCAUAUGCUGACCAAAUGAUAAUUGAUGGAAUUUAGAUCCGAUCAGGAAUUACUCCGCAGAAAGGAGUGCACCUAGAUCCACGCAAGUAUUGUAAAGAGUUCUGGGAAACAACUGUAAUGGAGAACAAUUGGCUGGAGAGCAAUUGCAAGGUCAUUCGCUUAGCAAAAAGUAUGUGGAUCCUACUCCGUACGUUUUGUCGGCUUAUUCUUGGAAAUGGACUAUUCUAACCGGUUCUCACCCGAGUGGUCCAUUCCAGUGAUUCUGACAUCAUUCGACACAGUUUGUGGGAAAACUAUUUUAAGUGGUUGUCUUUUUAUCAACAAUUUUCUAUAGACAUCUAGAAAAUCAUAGAUAAAUGAUUCCUUCAUCUGAACUCUCUUUUUUUUUCUUUUUUUUUUUGUCGACACAGGGAUGUCCGGGUCAAUCCUUACAGGGCCCGAUUAAUCUCCUGCGAUCCGGGUUUAGCGCCCCAACCCGACCCUAGCACGAUAAGUGCGCGGAGAAAUCCAGCAGAGUAGAGACUCGAUCUCGGGACCUUAGGGGUCACUAGUGGAAGGUGCUACCGUUGGACCAUUCACGCGGGGCAUGCCUGCAUCUGAACUCGCUUUUGUGGAAAUUAUUCGUGUCACGUGACUGCAAUGGAUAAGCUUAUUAUCAACUGCCACUUGCACUAAAUGCUGUUAUGUAGUUGUUACGGUCCAGAACCAGGAAUUUUUGCAGGAAAUGGAAAUGAACUUCAGGAAAUGAUUCAAUAACUCACAAAUUCAGAUGAACUCAAACAAACAAUUCCAUUGCAUUAAUGAAUCUCAAAAUUUAGUUACAGAAACAGGAUUGGCGGGAAAAGAGGAGAAGGGGAAAGAGACCGAAGGAAAACAAACAAUUCCAUUGCAUUAAUGAAUCUCAAAAUUCAGUUACAGAAACAGGGUUGGCGGGAAAAGAGGAGAAGGGGAAAGAGACCGAAGGAAAACUUGAAGAAGAAGAAAAAAAGACAGAGAGGAUAUUCCUUCUCUGAUUACAAUAACAAAUUUCUCAAAAAGCUAAUGACAAUUGCAUGAUCCUCUCGUUUUAUACUGUUGCUACUCUAACUAACUUCCUCCAAGAGCGAAUGAGCGUCUAACACAUGUCCGAGGGGAUCUUUUAGCUAGACUGGUCCCCAGCAUCAGCAAAAACAACGUGAACCUAGCAAAGGCGUGGUUUCUUGAUCACGCCUUCUCUUGUUAUCCUCCUGCAACUUCCACGCCUUUCCACGCCUUCCUUUCUUCUUCCUUCACGCCUUCCUUCCUUUUCUUGUACAGCUAUUUCCUGACUUCAUUACAACACUCCUCUCUUGGAAGCAAUCUUGUCCUCAAGAUUGAAACUGGGGAAUUGUCUUUCGAUUUCUUCAGCAUAUUCCCAUGUGGCUUCUACAGGGUCUGUGCCCCACCAAUGAAUCAACCAUUGAACUACAACAACAUUUCUUCUUUUAACUAUUCUUCUAUCAAGCACAGCUACUGGCUCCACUUUCUAGUGACCCCUUUCGUCUAUUUCUGGCAGCUGGAGUGUAGGUGUGACCUUGUCUCCGAUCUUCUUCUUAAGUAGGGACAUGUGGAAAACAGGAUGCACCUUUGAGGUGGUAGGCAGCUUUAGUCUGUAAGCUACGUUACCAGUCUUCUCUUCUACCUUAUAGGGGCCAAAGUAUUUAGCUGAGAGUUUGGUGUAUCCCCUUAGGGCUAAUGAGCUCUGUCUAUACGGUUGUAGUCUCAGAUACAUCCAAUCUCCUUCACAGAAUACCCUCUCACUCCUCUUUUCAUCUACAUACUUCUUCACCCUCUCUUGAGCUAGCUUCAAGUUCUGCUUCAACGUGUUGUCCAUAUGUAGCCUUUCUCUGAUGUAAUCUCCAACUAUAGCCACUCUGGUCUGUAGGUAAGGUCCCAUAGCUAGCUAAGGGGGGGACAUGCCAUACAAAGCCUUGAAUGGGGUCAUUUGAAUGGCUGUGUGACGUGUGGUGUUGUAGCACCAUUCUGCCAAGGAUAGCCACUGGUUCCAUCCCUUAGGCUCCAGAUGAGUCAGGCAUUUGAGCUACAUUUCUAGCACCUGGUUAACUCUCUCAGUCUGUCCAUUAGUUUGGAGGUGGUAGGUUGUGCUGUAAUCUAGUUUAGCUCCCAACAUAGUGAAUAGUUCUCCUUAGAAUUGGCUGACAAAUAUCCUAUCUCUGUCUGGUAGCAUGCUUUGGGGUAUCCCAUGUAGCUUACUGACAUGAUCAAUGAAGAGUCUAGCUACCUUUGGGGCAUCAAAAGGAUGUGCCAUAUUGAUGACAUGGGCAUAUUUGGUAAAUCUGUCUACAACUACCAUUAUAGUGUCUUUCCCUUCUGAUUUUGGUAACCCCUCAAUGAAGUCCAUGGUGACAUGGCUCCAUGAAUGCUGUGGGAUAGGGAGAGGUUGUAGCAAUCUUGGGUAGGCCACAUGCUUAUCCUUACACUUUCUACAGAUGUCACAUUCCAGGACUAACUUCUUGAUUUCUUUGUAUAUUCCUGGCCAAUAAAAUAGUUGUUUAGCUCUCAUGAAGCUGGCCUAAAUGCCUAAAUGCCCCCCUAUUUGAGAGUCAUGCAAAGCAGUGAUGAGUUUCUUUCUUAUGUCUCCCUGUCCUCCUCCCACCACCAGUCUCUUCUUGUACCUGAGAACUCCUUCAUGAUAGGAGUAGUCUGGUACUUGGGUAGGAGUCAAUAACACUUGGGUUAUGGUUUCUUGAACCUAUUCAUCCUCCUUAUAGCUCUCAAUCACUUCUCUGAUCCAACUAGGCACUGCACAUGAAAUGGCUGUGCAAUCUCUUGUUUCCUCCCUGCCGUAUCUGGAGAGGGCAUUAGCUACCACAUUGUCCUUCCCUUUCUUGUAGUGAAUUUCAUAGCUUAGUCCCAGUAGCUUGGUGAGCCACUUCUGUUGGAGAGGGGUAGUGAUCCUUUGUUCCAACAAAUAUUUUAAACUUUGAUGAUCAGUGUGUAUGAUGAAGUGGUGCCCCUCCAAGUAGUGUCUCCAUUUGGUCACAGCAGUCACCAAUGCCAGUAGCUCCUUCUCAUAUAUGGACAGCCCCAUAUUCUUUUGCCCAAGGCCUAAAUGAAAUAGGAUAUAGGCCUCCUGUUUUGCAUCAGUACAACCCCUAUGCCAUUAUAGUAUGCAUCUGUCUCAAUGAUGAAUGGCUGAGAGAAAUUAGGUACUGCUAAUACAGGUGUGUGCUGCACAUGACUCUCUUUAACUCCUGGAAAGCUUUCUCUAAAUCCUCCCCCAAUUGGAAUCUGUCCUUCUUCAACAAAUUGGUCAAAGGUCUGGCUAUGUCUCCGUACCCCUUGACAAACCUUUUGUAGUAUUUUCAACAAAUUGGUCAAAAUAUGUUGUAUUUUAACAAAAGAUUAUAAAAACAUAAUUUUUUCAACAUGUAAAACUAAUUUCUAUGAAACUAAUUUUUGCAACUAAAAAUUACUAGCUUAGGACUGGUUUUUUUAAUCGUAAUGUAAGUAUCAAUAUCAAACUAAAUCCAAAUAAAAAUGAAUCAAUGUUUCUAUUUUAAUCUGUAUGUCACCAAGGAUUUCUCCCACAAGCACGCAAUGAUUUUCCACCGUGAUUUCAAUUUUUUUUCCAUGAAGACUUUUAAGUCCUCUUUGUGAAAUUGCAAAGAGAAAACUUACUUAAAGCUAACAUUCUCCAUUUUUUUUUAUAUUGCCACAAAAUCUGUAGAUUAUUAGUAGAAAAUUUAAAAGAAAUAAAAUAAACUAACUUAAAGCUAACAUAGAUGUGCAACAAAAUUAUUUUAUAGCGAAGAUAGAGGUUGAUGAUGGUAUGUGAUAAGAAACCCUUUCCAGAUACACCUUUCAGCUGUGUUUUUAAACUUGGAUCAGACCGGCCGGUCCGAUCGGGAAUCGACCAAGUGUCCGGUCCGAAUUAUUCUAAAAAAUCGGAUUUGACCGAGUUUGACCAGCACCGGAUUUGACCGGCAAACCGGAUGAACCGGUUUGAUAUCAAAGCCUUCUCUUUUUUGCUCUUCUUUCUUACAAACCAGCGGUGGGAUCCUAGUGGGCCCGAUGGAAAGAUAUAAUGGGGCCUUCUUAAUUGAAGCAGAUCUCUAACAUGGCAUGCGCAUCAGAGUUGGAAACCUCAGUCUCUCAGUCCUGCCACCCAAAUUUUUUUUUGGAAAGGUCAAACCAAUUUCAAUAUUAUGUUUUGGCUCCCAAGUUGUUAAAAAUUAUUAAUAUAUCUUAAAUAUUUCAUACUUUAUAAAUGUUGUCCUAAAGUUUGGUGUUAUUUUUCAAUCAAAUUCAUAAUUUUAAUUAUAAACUUGUUAAUGUUCAUUGAAUAAUAUAAAUUGCUACUUGAUCAUUCUAAUUUUUUUGUAUUUUCUUGUUAAAUAUAUUUGAAGCAUCAAAUAUAUAUAUGAAUAUACAUGUAUUAAUAUUAGCAUAUUCUUAAGUAUUUUACAUACAAUAUUUUAAUUUUUAAAUAAUUUUUAUUUAUGACAUCAUCCGGUUUAACCCCAAUCGAAUCCGGUCGAAUCCAUUGAUCUCUGACCACUGAGGACGACCGAGUCGAUGCCCAGUCCAAAUAUGAAAACAUAGCCUUUUAGGGAAGAAGUCAGAGAAAUUUCUAAAAUUAUGAUGAUUUUUAAAAAAAUUCUACAAAGGGGGCAUUUUUUGUAUGGGAUUCUGUCCAGGGGGUCUUCGCAUUCAGCAAAUGCGAGCUCAAGGAGCUCGCAUUUGCUGAAUGCGAGCUUGAGCUCGCAUUUGCUGAAUGCGAGGUCUCCUUGAAUUUUCCUAACAUCCAAAUCAAAAAAAAAAGAAAAAGAAAAACAAACCUCGCAUUUGUCAAAUGCGAGGUCAUAUACCUCGUAUUUAACAAAUACGAGGUUCUCGGCCAGGCAACUCAGCUUGCAUAUAGCGAGCAUUGUGACGAAAGAAGCCCCUGGUCCAGUGAGCGUGAGCAAGCUGCAAUUUUACAUAAAAAGGCUGCUCAAACAAUUGACAUAAGUUAGAAGCCGUGCGUGUUUCAUCAUGCUAGUGAUGAAACUGGAGCCAAAAUUUACUAUUUACCAUCUUCAAAUUAUUUUCAAGAACAUGAAUCUAGAUUUUGCCAUGAUUUUUCUUUUUGCUUCAGUUCCAAUGCAGGCCUUCCCUUGCUUUAUGAUUUCACUGCAAAUUAUAAAAUGAUUUACAAUUUGCAAUGAAAAUCUCUACAAAUUUUACUACCUAAGGCUGUAAAUUCAUCAAAAUUGGAAAAAAAAAAAGAUCCCAUAAUAUUGCCAUCAAUACUUGAUAAUAAUUUGGGGCAAUAAAUCUUAACCGAACUAGUAUGCUUUCGGCUUUAUUGUAUCUCACAUCCGAAAAAAGCGAAUUCCUAAAAAAUUAUAUUCAAUUUGUUUUUUAAUUAGGAGCACACAAUCAUUUUUGUUUUUGCAUUGACAUUUAUCAUAGAGGAAUAAAUCUUUUUAUUUUAAAACUCACACGAGUUAGAAUUUAACAAAUGUGAGGUCUCAAUACAAAAUUUUAUGUACUAGUAAUUCUUUGUAUAUAAAUAACCAAAAAGUUAUAUUUCUUAUAGAUUAAAAGAUUUGAUAAUCAUACGGUUGAAAACACCUAAUUUUAUUAUUAAAUAAUUUUGUAAAGAAAUAACUAUAUAUGUAUAGUUCUUUGUGCAGUUGGAAACAAGCUUUGGCUUUGUGUUCAGAUUGAGGUCCUCGCAUUUACGAAAUAAUUAUUUAUCAAAUGAUUAUUAUGUGAUUAUUUAUCUUAUAGAUUAAAAGAUAUACUUUCCUAUAAAUGCAAAAAUUAUAAUCACAUAAUAAUCAUUUUCAAAUUAAAUGAGAAAAAAUAUUCCCAAACCACAUAUAUUUAUUUCACUAGGAUAUUUGAAAAACAUUUUAUUUGUUUAUUGUAAUUUAUUAUGAUUCAAUAUAUAUAAGUUUUUUUUGAAAAAAUUUUGAUAAAAUCUCCCCUUAAAAGUGAACUAAACUCCCUGCCAGCAAACCCAAAAUAAACAACAUUUAAUACAAGCAAUAUUUCCAACAACUUGUCAGCCAAUAAUCACAAACCACUGCAAAAGCACAAGUCUUUAGUAAAUUAAAAAACAGAAAAAAGUAAAAUCAAGUUAAACAUCCAACAUUCGACAGAUUAAAGACAAAAUGCAAGCAAAUCCAUGUACAAAUAAUAUAGUGAUCCUAAUGGUGCAGCUUCAAUCGUCAUCUUCAUCUGCAGCUCCACCCUGAGGUGAAGUAAUGCCUAAAUGAUCAUCUAUACGUGCCAAGCGAGAGUGUCCAUUCUCUGCAACUGGAAAAAUAAAUUAGAAUUAGUAGCACAAGACUAUGGUACAAAUAUUUUAGUUAAUAUUUUAGUAGUACAGGCAAAUGUGAUACAUGCUUGUCUUGUAUACAUAUUUUUAGUUAAUAUUUUAAGUUAAUAUUCCCUCUAACCCCCUAUACAUUAUUACGCAUCGUGCCAAAAUGUUAUUCAAGAAUUCCUAAUUAAAUUGAAUAUAAGUUUAUUAAAUACAUGCUUAUCUUGUUUUAUUUAACGUUUCCAAGCACCCCCCUUUCGAGUCUAUAUUGUAGCCAAUUUGUCUUAUUAUACUCUUAAGGCAAUCACAAACCAAAAACACCCAAAAAUAUUUUUAAAAAAAUUUGACAGAGUCUCCCCUGUAACUGGGCUAAAACUCCCUGCCAACCAACAUAGGCACAUCGAUUUUCAAACAAUUGAGAAAUAUGAGAUAAUUUAGACCACUACAAAUACGGUAGAAUAAUGUGAUAUACAAUAAUUUCUUAUAGAAGACAAGCAACUGUGAUAUUUUGACAAACCUACAAUAACAAUAUAAUGUAUAUAGUAGAAUGUGAAACAACAAUAAUUUCUUAUACUCCCCUGUCCUCCUUGAAACCUGCAAUUAAAAAAUAUACUACAGUAGAGGGUCUCACUUUACAUUCAUGAAUUCACCAUAAAACGAAUCCAAGCAAAGUUCAAAAAAUUAGAACAUUAAUAUGACUACAAUUAAAUCUACUUGUAAACUACAUGACUUACCCAAUGAUUUGCCUCAGAUUCUGAAGAUGCACUUGUGCAGACUUGAUCCUAGUGGUACCAAUCAAAGCCUCUUCAAGUCUCCUGGCUUGUGUCGAAAACUUUGUAUGCACCUAUAUGAAUAUGAUGGAGAUCACAGAAACCAAGAUAAGGUACUGGAGCAGAGGAUCUGGGAGGUGUUCGCAUUCUAUAGAAAAUAAAAAAAGUUCCACAAAGGGGGUUACUUUGGUGUCCUAUUCCGACAAGGGAGGUGUUCGCAUUCUAUAAAUGCGAUCUGUGCUAAGUUCGUAUUUCUCAUAUGCGAGUCUAACAGUUUAUGCUCUUUACCAAUUCCUUCACACAUAUUAACAACUUAAGAGUUUAUAUUUAUCUCAUUAUUUGUUCAUCCUUUGUAAAACUCUUUUCCUUUCUCUUGAUGCCAAGGAGUAAAUCAUGAUGAUUACCUUUUCUUGUUUUUAUCUUUUUUUCAACAAUUCUAUAAAAUGCAGAUGUAAAAACAAAAACAACCAACCAUAAUGUUUUCACAAAAAUAAAAUAACAAACAAAAAAAAAGAAAGGUGAGACCUCACAUUCACAUUUUUUGUUUUUUAAAAAGAAUUGUACGUGAGUUGUUCUCUUAACAAAAUGGAGUUUGUUUUUAAGAACAAUAAAGUUAAAAAAAAUAAUAUCCUCAAUGAAGAAAAAUUUGAACGCUAAUAAUAACUAGAAUUGUCAAAUCUUAUAUAGUUUAUUUUUCCCAAUGUUUUUAGCAACAAGUUUUUUUUUUUUUUUCCAAAUAGCGAUAGUAAAUAUAGGAUUGGUAUAAAAGACAAAAGUAGUGGAGCGGGAAUAUUAAGCAUUUUCACUUCGAACCUUGCCUUUACCUCCAUAAAUGUUAGCUUUAGUAAGGGGUGUUUAAUAUAAAGUUCGUAUACAGGGUUUAAAAAUUUGGAAGGAUAAGGGUGCUUAAAUUCAAGUAUAAUUGUUUGAGUAGUUGUUGUCAUUAUGGACUUAGAUUUUUUUUUUCCAACAUUUGAUUUCCCCAAAACAUUGUUACACCAUUAAGGAUAACUUAAUAACAAGUUGGCAUAAGAAGAUUAAGUAAUUAACAUGCUUCAAAUGCAAAAAAUGAAUAAUGAAAAGGAUAGACAAAGAAUUAAUGGAUAAAUUCGAAAGUGUGUAAACAAAUUGUUUUUAUUUUAUUUUUUUGUAAGUGCGUAAACAAAUUCUUACUCCAUUUAUUUUCCAAAGUAAAGACAGCAACAGGGGAAAAAAUGCAAAGGAUAGAAAAAGACUGUUGAAUGUUGAAAAGUAUCCUAGGUUUUAACUUAUAGGAAAAGGAUAGAAAAAGCAGGAAGCCUUACAAAAGCAAGCUACUUAUGUCACAUUUGUAUAUAUCUUCAAAUUUGCUUUAAUUAGCUGGCUUUGGUCCAGUAGGCUCUUCAACACAACUUGAUAAUAGAAAUAAUAUAGCCGAUCACACAAAAGAACAAUUAACAAAUCAACCACGAUUAUGUGACUGAAGUACAUACAGAUAUGACAUUUUCUUUAUUUCUGUCAUACCUAUGAACUCACUAAAAGAAAAAGUGAAAACCACUAAAGCUAUAUUAAAAUGAAUGUUGAGUUUAUUGCAUUCGGUUUCUCCGUUGCACUACCAAUUUGGCCCUCUGACAUAAAGAUAAGAAAAUGUGACCACCACUAAAGCUACAUUAAAAUGAAAACGGGAUACCUUUUACGCAAUCAAAGAUACUAAUGCAUCGUGGUAAAUAAAAAAUCACCUCAAGAAUUCUCUCUCUUAAUUAACCAAUCAAAUCAACUGGACUAAUUACAUUUUCUCUCGUCAAAUGAAAUGUACUGACUAUACUCCCCGGUGCUCUGCAUGGGUUAAAACUUGGUAGUUUCUAGGAAAAUGACUUUCCAAACAAAGGCCUUUUGGGUAUUAUUAUGUUGGUUCACCGCUGCGGUCUAAAUUUAAAUCUGAUAUAACUUUUAAUGCUCCUAUUACAAAUUAUCAUGCUCGUAGUACUUAUGAUUAAUGCAUUAGAGGGCUGGAUUUAGGUUAUAGGGGUAUAGAUGUAGCCCAUCCCAUGUGUACUUCAUCAUUAUCUCUAAUUAUGCCAGAGACUUUGCACCAGUUUUUUUUCUUGUACAAAGCCACAUAGUUGUUGAGAUGACCAGAGGACAAUCAAGUAAAUGACUAGAACAGCAACCUGAUGUGGUUCAGCAGAUUGCUAAGCGUAUUGGAAAGGGAAAAACAAUUCUUUUGCUCUUAGUGAUCCUAAAGGAUCAGCGUUAUCAAUGCAAAAACUUUAUCUUUUAUUGUCUACAUUUAUCAUUAGACAUUCUUAGGACAGGCCAUUCUUGUAAUCAACCACAAGAAGACACUUAGCUCCGAUAACAAGCAAUGUACAAUGUCCAAAUAAGAGACCAACCGAAACAACAACAAUGUCCAAUAAAUUGCCAAAUCAUAAAAGGCACUUCAAUUCGGAAAACAAAAAUUCCCAGAAAACAAAUUACAACUCAGAAAAAAAUUUUAUUCUUACCUCUUGUGCUGUUUCUGGUGAAAGGAAUGGCAAAUGGAGAAAGCCGGAUGCCGGACUUAAAUGGAGCUAGCUACCAGAGAUGGGUUCCCAAAGGGGAAGCUCUGCAAUGGCCGAGAGCUUCCGAUGCUUCUGAUGAGAGCUUCGGACGAGAAGAAAUGCUGCCUUUCUGAUUUCGCAUGAGGAGAAACUCCGCAACUCUACAAAAUUGAAGAGCUUUCGAGGAGAAGGCCGAGAGAUUCCGACGACAAAGCUGUGACUCUGAUUUUCGAUGAGAAAGCUCAGACCAAGAUAAUUUUGAGAGUGAGGAGUUUUGGCUGCACGGAGAGAGUGAAGGGAGAGUGAGACUGAAGAGAAAUGCGAAAUUGGGAAUUCUGAUUGUUUUCAGAUCGAGUACCUCGCAUUUAAGAAAUGUGAGUUACAUAAUCUCGCAUUCUCCUAAUGCGAGCUUAAGAAGCUUGCGAGCUUAAGAAGCUUAAGAAGCUUAAGAAGCUUAGCAGAAUGCGAGCUUAAGAAGCUUGCAUGCGAGGUACAUAAUCUCGCAUUCUCCUAAUGCGAGCUUCUUAAGCUCGCAUUAGAAUGCGAUCUUCUUUUUCUUUGUUUUUGGAAACACAUACCUCGCAUUUGUGAAAUGCGAGGUAUCUGAACUCGCAUUUCACAAAUGCGAAGAUCACAAGUCUGGAACCAACUUAAAAAAUUACCCCCUUUGUAGAAUAACUUUUUUUUUUCAUCACCAUUUAAGAAUUUUCUCGAAGAAGUCAUGGGAACGAAGUUAAAUUGGCAUUGCAUCUACUGAUGGAACUGUUAGAAUCGAGUCACAAUAAUGAGUACCAGUCACUCAGCAUAUGAUUCGUUGUUCCUCGAAAAUCGUUAUCCAUAUUAAAGUUGGAAAACAAUUUAAUCAAAUCGUACGGAGUACCAUUCAUCCAUUUUUUUGGUCUUUACUUUAACAGUACAACUUAGAGACAUUCAGUAUGUUUGGAUUGAAAUAUUUUGAGAUAAAAUAAUUUAUUUUACAAAUUUCAAUCAUUCUUUUAUCUUUCUAGUUAUCUUUUUGUCUCACAUACAUCACAGCACAAAAAGUGUUAUAGUAAUUAUCUCAAAUAAAUCAUCUAAAUAAACUCAUAUCCAAACAAAUCCAAAUUGUGUUUCUACAAAUUCUUUUGUCAAAAAUGGCCCAAGUAUGAUUUUUAUUUAAAAACUACAAUAUUGUUGGUCCCUUAGCUUUUCAAAUUGUCUAAAAUAAUGCCAUAUUUCUACUCUAGAAUAUUAAUUUAGUCUUUCAGUUGUCAACUAUUGCACUGAAUUUUCACUUAUGGAGGAGGUGGUGGGGGAGAGGGGAGGAGGGGAGGAGAGGGGAGACGAAGGAGGGUUGGAGAGGUAGGUCAUCUUUAAAUAAUGUAAAGGAGUAGGUGAUCUUUAAAUAAUAAAAACUAAAGUGCAUCUACACUUUAAAUAUGAUUUAGACAUAACAAUAAAAUUUUGCCAUAAUCAACACGUUGGAUGAUGCUAUUGGACGUUCAGAAAGAAUUAAAGAUCAAGCGGAAACGUGUCAGUACUAUAUUAUGAAUUGGUUUAACAUUAAUUUGUCUGUAACCUCUUACAUAACUCGCCAAACUAAGCACUAAUUAUUUGAGCCAAGAUUAUUUCCCACUUUGUGUGACGACAAAAGAAUGUAGGAAGUUCUGUAGUCAUGUGAUAUAGAUCAAGGUAGCAUCUUCCAAGGAGCCCUUCCUGAGUUCCUGCGGCCGAUACAAAUACAAAUGGUGCAUUGUGUGUUUUAAAAGGCGAAAACCGCGGGCGGGACAGUCUUUUUAUUUUUAAAUAUUUUAAAAAUAUAAAAACACGUACACACACACACACACACACACACACACACACAUAUAUAUAUAUAUAUAUACAUGUGUGUAUGUAUAAUAUUAAAAAUACCCAAAAAAUAAAGAAAAAUUAUAACCUUAUGUGAUUAAAAUAAAACCUGCCUUGUGUGAUCUCUUUGCAAUCAUGUUUUAUGUUGGUAUCAUAGUAUUUGGUUUGAUUAUAUGUUAGAAGUUACUAAUUCUAAAAUUUAGACAAUUUUUUAUUUUUAUUUUCCUGUAACUCAUUACUUCCUUAUCUAUAUCCUACUUUUCAAUUCAUUUUUUCAACAAUUAAUUAUCUUCCUUUUUGACUUUCUUAGUUAUAGCAACUUUUAAUGAAUUGUAUAUGAGCCAUUCUAUGUAUGCAAAUUGUGUUCUUGAAUCAUCAAUAUCCGUCAAUAUUUCUACAAAUUCAUUGCACAAAAUGUUUACUACAAUUAUUUAGAUCUUCAAACUAAAUUCUUUUGCAUCUUCAAAAACAAAAUGUUUACUUUAAUUUUAUUGUUACCAAAAGUAAUUUUCAAAUUUACAGAAUCUUUCAACAAAUUAUUUGUACUCCCGCUGAAGUAACGGUUGAGAUGCAGAUUGGAUGACAAGAUAACGUCUGCUGAAGUCAAUUUUUGAAGCUAUGCAUGCAUCCAUCAAAACGGUGUCCAUUUACUCGUAAACUUUUCAAAGUCUUAUAAUUAAUUUCGUUGAAUUAAAUGAAUUGUAUGAUGCAAUUGCAGGGAAUCUCCAUCCAAUUGGAAACAUUUUCCAGACUACGUGUAUACAAUUAAUCCAUCGUUUGGAAUUUUGUACCUCAAUCACACAUGGAAUUUUGAAUUUAACAGCAUCGCCCAAUAGGGUGGCUUUAUCUGUUUUCCUUCUAAAAUGACUCUUAUAAAUCAGAGGCAUGAACAGUUCAUUGCUUGGAAGAGAUCCCUUCAACAAUUGAAAGUCCACUACAAGAAAAUCAGGCUUUUGUGACAAACCAAAUGUAGUCAUUAAAAAUCAAAAAGUUGUCAUUAUAAAAAGAUAGUGACGACUUUUUCGAUUGUCACGUGAUUGUCGUAAAUGAGUCCAUGUAACAACUUUAGAUAAGUCGUCAAAGAAUCAUAUUAUUCUAUGAUAAAGAAAAAUUCGUCACUAACUAAAACCAUUUUGUGAUGACUUUUCUUGUCAUUGUUUCACCUGUAUUUUUGUCAUAGAUAAUGUAAAAGUCGUUACAAAUUUCAUAUCUACAAUGAUGACUUUUACAUGUCACUUAUAAUCCUGUUCAUUAGUGACAAGAAUUGUUGUCAUUGGUUGAACUUGUAGCUAGUGACAACCUUCCCUGAUGUAGUCACUGAACUUUGUUUAAAAUGUUUGAAAUUUGCCAUAAAAAGCCUACUUCUAUUGCAUUUUCAACAACCAUAGCAGAAAAUUGUGGCUUGACUAAUGCAAAAAAGAUAGUAAUUAAUGUACAAUGAACCCUCAAAUAUAUAUAUAUGUAUGGUUAUAAACAUCUCUAAAUUCAUCAAAACACACAUUAACCAAAAUGGGUUCCAAAGCCCAUAUUAGUUCAAGUACUAACAGCCAUUAUCCAUCCAAACAAUAGAGUACUAAGUUCACAUCAGUUCAACUAGUAACAGCCAUUACGCAUCCAAAAAAACAAAAUACUCUUUCCAAACAAAAACAUAGACUAAAGAAGCAAUUUGUGUCAAACUGAAGUCAUCUUCAUGAGCAUAUCCAACAGCCAACCUUUUUCAUCUCCUCAAGAGCAUUUAAUAGCAUUGUACUGCAUUGAAAGAAAAGUAUCACACGCAUUAGAAUCGAUUUCAGUCAAAAAAUAUGCCAUUACAAGCAUAUACUAUUGAAUUUGAAUGAACAGUCAUACUGAACAAAAAUCCAAUUAAGUCAAUAUGAUAAGAGAUAAAAUAAUCAGUCAAACAAGAGUUUCAACCAAAACAUACUAAUUAGAAUAUAGAUAAAAUCUGCCCAAAGUACCUCGUUAGAGAUCAAUAAAGUCAAGUUUGUUUCAAUCCUACUAUUAAGGGUUAUUUCAACCAAAAUUAACUUGAUAUAAUUGACAAAUGAAGCUUAAAGAGUGGCUUAAGCUUUUGAACUUGAUAUAAAAAACUCAAAGGGAACUUGAUGUACAAAGGAACCAAGAAAAAAAAGUGCAACAAAAACAAGUCCUUACCCAAGGAUAUGAUGACGAAGGAUAUCAAAGUACUAAGUGCUCCAAACAGCAUUAUAGUAAUGAAAUUGCAAAAGAAUUGUUUCUUUUUAACCUCGAACCUGAUAAUUAAGGGGAAUGAAAAUUGAUCCCAAAUCAGCCCUGUGCAGAAAACGCCUCUUAAGAAACUAGACUUCGGCAAAGUUUGUCAUUUGCUUGCUAUCUAAGCAAAUUAAUUUACUAAAAUUCAUGCUCCCAGCAAAACCAGGCCUAAUAAUGCUGAAUCUCAGGUUAUUUUUUUCUUUUGAACUUUUUCCUUUUUCAGAAUCCUAUAUCCAUGUAGGGAAGAAAAUGGUUCAAUAAAUUUACUACAUACCCAGCAUUGAAAAUGAUCGGAGGAAGUAGAUAAAUAAAGAAAAGAUCUUCACUGAAAACCAACAGAUGCGAGCUUGUUCCUCCACUAAUUAGUAGAAUUACCAUCACAAAAUUGUCUCCAGUCCUUGAAAAUAAAUGAACAAACGAUUGAAUGUCAAAUCUCCAGCAAAAUUUACAAAAUAAAAACAGGGGACUCAAGUGUAUUUAUCUUUGGUAUCAUACCAGCCAAGAAAUUAAUGAAAGCUGAUUAUACAUGGUUGCCUCUUUUAUGUAAAUGCAGUUUUAGUGCAAUUCUGCCCAAAAUGUCAAAGUUACUACUGUAAAAACCUUAUAGCGAUUAGAAUAUGUAAAUCUACAAUAACUUAAUAAUUAAAAGACUUCAAAAUCUGCUAGUUGCACUCCGAUAGUGUACGGUGCUGGAUCUAAAAAGAAAAGGAAAGUUACCUCUAUGGGUGAGAAGUUCCUGCCAAAUUGGAAAAAGAUGCAACAAAGCCAGGUUAACAAAGCUAUUAUGUACAAGAGAGUAAGGGAAUCAACAUGUACUUUCUAAUAUUCUUUGUGGAAGAAACAUAUGAAAGAGAGUAAGCCCCACCUUCUAACGAAGUGAAAUAUCCUCUAAGUUAUGUUCCUGCUUUUCAAUUAAUCUUCUUGCAAGCUCCUUAACCUGAAAAUGGAGAAGAGAACUGGUUAUUUAAGCUUCGCUGACCACCAGUUUAAACAUGAAAUGGUGCUAAUGCUACUAGUUGGAUGAACAAACUUUUGUUGAGAAUCAAAGGAAGGCUGAUGUUGCUGAAGCUAAUGCUCUUCUAGCUAACAGAAAGGCUGGAUGGGCAAAACAUACCCCUUCUGAAGGGCAUAGAGGACGUUUGCACUACUAUAGUACUAUGAUGAAGCACAUCACAAUCUUCAUCAAACAAUGGAUUUAUAGCUACCAAUUUCAACAAUCAUUACAGUACUUCUCCCAUCAUACAGGACAGACAAACUUACUGCGUGCAAAGGGAUAUCCUAAAUCAAAGAAAGAAACACAAGACAUUCCAAGCGUGCAAAAUAGCUUAGUAUAGAAAAGGGAAAUGCCUUCUCUGAAUGCUGAUAGCGUGCAAAACAGCUUAGGAUAGAAAAUGUUGGUUAAACAAACUACACCUGCUACUCAUUGUAGAAUAAAUAGAUAUCAAAGAACUUGUCUAUGGUGUAAACUGUAAAUGACAUGAUAUUGCCAUCAGGAAAUUAAGGUCAGUGUACGCUACCAUGAUUCAGAGGAUCAAGAUUCAUGUAUAUUUCUUCCAAGCAAUUGAUGAUCUUAAUGCUACGGCAAUCUCUAACAACUUUUGCUUUAAAAAAUCAUCUGAUCUACGGGCAUUCUUUUUCUAUCUUUGUUAUCUUUUUUGCAUGCAAGUACAGGUGAGCCGAAUAAAGGGAGAGGGAUUACCUCCAGAGAACUUUCGGAGAUGAAAAUCAAGAUCUAAUACCCGAAAAGGAAGUCUAAGAUAACAAGAAAUUACUCCUUAUGAUAUCUGAUACCCCUUGCAAAAGGCCUUCACGAGCUUAUCCCCUUCAGUACCAUAUACAACCAGAGGACCUUUCCUGCAGAUGUAGCGGCAGUUACGCAUCUUACCCUUUCUUGGGUGGAUACCCUAGCUGUCUUUAGCCUUCUCAGCAUCAGGGUAAGCCCCAAUUUUCUUGAGAAGACUAAUAGCGUUGGAGGUUUUCUCCAUGGCCUCAGCAAAAUCGGAGAUCGUACAAGGGAUUUGCAGGACAGACUCGAUGCGGUGGCCGCAGGCCAUGACAAGGGAAGGCACUGCAGAGGGGGCGAUGGCAGAAACCACGGCAUACCGUUUCUUGUUGAUUGGGACCUUGCGGUGCCAAAGGCGCCAGAUCUUGGUCGGAGCAAACAUGCGGCAGCCGCGGCACAUGUUGCCAUAGGCACCCUCGCCAGGAACACGAGAGAUACGAGAAACAGCGCGACCAGUACCCCAGGACUCGACGAAGGUCUGGUGGCCAGCGGACCUACAGACGGUGUAGGUUGGUGAGAGUUCUUGGAGAUGUCGCGCGAUGAACGUCUUGGAGGAUGUCUGGCCGGAUUGGGGCUUUCAUGACGUCAGGCAGAGGGAGGGAGUUGGCGUCGGCCUCCAUUUCAUUCUCAAGAGGGAUAACGGUAACUACAGGGACAGCGGCGGCGGAAUUAGGGAUUUUUGCUAUCUACAACUCCACUAAAGCUACACAAAUCUUUUGGGUAGCUCAAAUUACGGAUGAAAAUGGUGGGCUAAUAUGAUUUUCUGGAUAAUUUCAGCAAAAUGAUAGUGGAGAGAAGGAGAAGAUGUAGUGUCCGAAGUUGGCAAGAAGAGGGAAAGCAAGUUUUGUCCGAAAUUUUUCUAAGUGUUACGAGUGUUUUUGUUUUAACUCUUGCUAAAAUGACGUCGUUUCUGCUUCUUUUGUUUACCCGUCUCUACUCGUUCAAUUUUGUUCAAUUUUUAGCUUCCCCCGCCUCUACUCCAAAUUUCAGCUUCACCCGCCUCUACUCCAAUUUUGAGCUUCCCAUUUCCAUUUUAGCUUCAGCCAAAAAACGCUUUCAGGUGACUUUUGUACUAACUAUUUGGACCUUUCUUUAUAAAAACAAUGCCUUCUCUAGUAUAUCUUUUUUCUUUUCUCCAUCUUUGUGUAAUUAAAGUUGUUUUUUAUUUUGAGUUUUUAGCUCACAAGUUGUAUUAAAACUUUAUUUGUUGCAUUAAAAGUUUAGAAUAUGAAAAUUUAGUGUUUUUGGAUAAUUUUGUUUACUAACACAGGUUUUUUUUAUCUCUACAAAAAAUUAAUGUCCAAAAACUAAAAAGCUUAUUAAAAAUAUGUUCAUGAUUCAAAAAAAAUCUUUUAAUGUAAAUAUUUUUGGUAUUAAUUUAAUAAUUUUAUGAAUUAUGUACGAAUUAUGGUUUGACAAGACCUAACAAUACUGUUUAGUUGAUCAAAUAACCAAAAUAGUUUGCUAAUACAUUCAUGACACACUAAAUGUUUUUGGUACAAGUACCGAUCCAUAAACCAUAAACAAUGUGACUAUUGUAAUUAAUAAUAAACUCUACUCAUCCAAUUGGUUUACUAGUUGAUAAUAAACUAGUUGAUCAAAUAACCAAAAUGGUUUACUAAUACAUGCAUGAAACACUAAAUCUAUUUGAUACAUGUAUUGAUUCAUAAACCAUAAACAAUUUGAUUAUUGUAAAUUAUAAUACAUAACAAAUUCCAGUCAUGGAAUUGUCAAGAUUUUUACUUAAUUUCAUAUUAAAUUUUAUUAUUUUCUUCCAUUAUUUUCAAACUAUAUUAAUCAGUAAUUUCCCAUAUGUUGUCAAGAGAACUAAAUAAUGAAUUCAUGAUAUUUUUUUAACUUUAUAACAGUGUAUUUGCUAUGAUUGGAAUAAUUAAAAAAAUAGGUAAACAUUGUUUUUUACAAUACCUUCGUCAUUUUGCUAAUGAUAAACACAACCUAAAGUGUAAAAGCAUAGGGUGCCAUAAUAGAAUUAAUAAAACCUUUCUUUAUCACAUACGAGACUAAAUUGCAAAAGAUAAGGUGUCAUGGUAGAGUUAAUGAGAUUAGUUUACCAAAUAAGGGGCUAAAAUAUAAAAGUUCAGGUGUCAUAACUUAAUUAAUUAAAUUUACUUGCACCAUAUGGGCCAUAUAGAAAAAAUUAGGGUGGUAUAUGGGGUUAAAAUGUAAAAGCUAGGGUGUCAUCACAAAAUUAAUAAAAUUUAUUUACAACACAUGGGCCAUACUAAAAAAAUUAAGGUGGUAUAUAGGGCCAAAAUGUAAAAGUUAGGGUGUCAUAGUAGAAUUAAUAAAAUUUAUUUACAACAUAUGGGUCAUAUUGAAAAAAUUAGGGUGACAUGGUAGAAUUAGUAAAAGUGAGAUGGGAAUAAAUGCUUUGGAUAGUGACGACUAGUUGUUGUCAGUAAUUUAGAACUGACAACCAUAUUGUGACGAUAUUUCAAGUUGUCAUUGUAAGACGAGUUUCAGUAACAACAUGUUUUCCAGUCGUCACAAUGGUAAUCUCCCACCACACUGGAUAGUUGUGCGUUAUCCAUAUUGUGGCGACUUAUUCCGUAUUGUCACUGUUGACGGGUGAACCCACGAUCAAGUAUGACGACAUUAAAGGUCGUCACUAAAGUUUUCAAUUGUGACAGCUUUCUCUCUUGUCACAGAGAAUGUUGUCACAAAAGGCCAAAUUUCUUAUAGUGAGUAUUGGAACCCUAAACCUAUUAUCCUAACCCCUUUGAAAUGCUACACAUGGACUUCCUGAUCUUGAAGGCAACGUGCUUUGUUUGGAUUGCAUUUUUCUAGAUUUUUUCUAGAAAAAUUAUUGUAACGAUUUGAUAUAUGUGAAGUAAAAAGGUGAUUGGAAAAUAUGUUCAUGAAAAACGUAGUAAUUUUUCUUUGAAAAAUUGAUGUCCAAACAAGUUUCUUCGUUUUUCUUGAUUUGAUAUCUUCACUCCAAGUUGCUGAUCUAUUUUUUUUCUUGAAGGCAACACUUUAUGAUUCACAUUAAUGUCAAAGAACGCCUUCAUUGCAGAGAGAAAUUUGGAUUAGCUCAAAAAAGUCAAAAAGGAAAAAGGAGUUUCAUACGUACAUGUCCUUUGGGAGAAACUAAUAGAGGUCAUCCAAUUAACGUGUUUGUCACACUAAUGCAACUGACUUUAUGUAUAAAAUGUUUUUUGAAUGCUCAAAUAUCUUAUUCAAUGACGUAAACUUUUAAAUGAUCAAAUUUUGACAAGGAACAGGAACAAAAAAAAUAAAAAAGAAAAAGAAAAAUCAAAGUCUGUACAAAGCUUUUUUUUUUUUCACAAAGUGUGCACCAUUUUUGGUAGCCAUCCAACACGCAUUGUGGACUAUUUUUUUUUAAGUAUUAAUUUUGUCCCUCAUGCUUUAGAAUUUGUUAUUCUCAUGGAAACCUAAUUUACUUGCUUGCUUCUUUAACGUUGACCUAUCAACUUUAAGGUAUGUGACAAAUUUCCAAUCCGUUUAAUGAUUUUAUGCCAAACAAUUUUAAAUUAAUUUAGAUUACAAAAGAGGGGAUCGUAAAUCAAAAAAUCAAUUUCACAACUAAUUGUUUAGUGAUUUUAACAAAAAAUUUUAAAUUAAUUUAGAUUACAAAAGAGAGGAUCGUAAAUUGAAAAAUCAAUUUCACAACUAACUGAUAGAGAAUCAAAAUUUCCAUGAAUUCAGCACAAAUUUUCCAUAGUAGGUCACGAUUUCCAUUGAUGGAUGGACUUAGACCCAACACGUUGGCGAAAUUUCUGCCCAACAUGGAGCAUUUUAUGUGGCAGUCAAGAUUUUAAAGGCUCUUUAUUUUGGCUUUCUUUGCUUCUCCUAAUUUUAAAUGCACAUUUGAAAUUCUUGAUCUGUUUAUUCCUCUUUUGGCCUCAAUCUUUUUAUAGUUUAAAAACCACCCAAACUUUUAUGCUUAUUAAAAAUUUAUCAAGUCAAAAUAAAAAGAGUUUAUUGAGUCUCAUUGAAUGUGUUAAACAAGGUUUUCACGACAUAAAGAAGUAUAGAUAUACACAACUAUACAUUAAUGUUGUAUACAUUAUUACUGUAAAGAUUUUUUAUACUAACAUGUGUAAAUAUAUGACAUAUGAGGAAAAAUUGAAUUCAAAAUUUAAACAGUGAUAAUAUGACAUUUAUCUAAACCUACUUGUAUGAAAAAAUCUCUACGCUUCAUAUAAACAAUGUAAAGAGUUUUCAUGAAACAAAGUUUAAAUUUCUUUUUAAUGUGUGUACCAGUCCACUUUAUUGAAGAACAAUCGCAAGCUCAUCUACUUAGCAAAGUGUGUGGAUCCUAUUUUGUAAGUUAUCAAUUUUUGGUUGGUUUAUUCUUGGACAUGGACUAAUCCAACCACAAGCGUGUGGAUCCUAUCUUCUAAGUUAUCAAGUUUUUGAUUGGUUUAUUCUUGGACAUGGACUAAUCCAACUAGCUAGUAACUAAGUGGUCCAUGCCAAUAAAUCUAAUACAAAUCCUUUUUUUUAGCAAAUUAUCCAGAUGGCCACUAAACUUUUGCAAUCAUCGAGUUUUGAUCACUCAACUAUUAAAAAUCUGGUUUUGGCCACUAAAUGUAUAAAGUUAAGACUCGAGGCCAUUCUGUUAGAUUUAGUCAUUAAGUUUGCCGAUCUGUCUGCUCGUGCGAUUUUCAAGACAAAAGAAAGGGUCAAUUUAGGGAGUUCAACAUGCAUCUUCUUCUUCUUAUAGUAUAAACCUAAAGAAGGCUCUGCUACUGCUGCAACAAGAGAGAAGGAAAUGGAAGAAGCCCAACUUGGAUUAGAGGAAGUAUGACCAAGCUCAAAGCCAUCAAGAGCCGUGCCAGCAAGAUCCAUGUUGCCUACAUCGAUGCCUCAUCUACCUACUUGUGUUUGUGGGAUUAAGAUAGUAAUGAUAACUUCAUGGACUGCACAAAAUUCGGGAAGAAGAAUUGCCAAAUGCCCAUUAGGGGAUGUUUGUAACAUCUUUCUAGAUACUUAAUUUGUUAUUGUGUAAGAAACAUAAUGAUUUUGUUUAUUUUUGAAGGAUGGAUGUUGCUAUUGGGGUUGGAUAGAUGAUGAAAUGUGCGCUCGAUCUACAAUGAUUAUACCGGGUCUACUCAGAAAGAUCAAUAGAAUGGAGGCAAAAAUGGCUGAAUUCAGAAAUGGUUAAUGGAACCAAAUAUCUUUUGUUUGAUUAGUUACUAGUUUCUGCCAUUCAUUUUUGGAUGUUGAAAUAACUCAUAUCCUGUGUUCUAACACCUUGGGUAGACUAAUUAGCAAUUUACAAACUUGCUGAUUUUCUUUUUUUUUUUUUUGUUUCUUUGCAUUCAUUUCUGGUUUAGUUAGCUCUCAUAAUUGUCAUUAUGGGUUGCAAUUUCAAUCAACAUUUGAAUGGCCUUUAUGUCAAACAAUAAUUCUAUGUUUUUUUGCCUUCUUUAUCUUUUUAUAUCUAGAAAUUGUCUUUCCUCCUUUUUGAGUUGUUCAUCUUGACAAUGCCUUGAGUUUAGUAAGUUAAGACUUUUCUUAUUCUAGGUAUCGGAAAUGGAUAAAAGCUGGAUAAAUGAUCCAAAUAUUUUGUCAAGUCAUUAUAAGUCUGGUCUUAAGGAUUUUAUUGAAUUUGCGAAGACCAAUGGUAUGGGAUUGGAUGGAAAAUUAUUUUGUCCAUGUAGGAGAUAUAGGAAUUCAAAGAGAAAAAGCAUUUCUCAAGUUGAAUCAGAUUUGUCAGAAAAAAGCUUUUGUAUGUAUUAUAAAAAUUGGGUCUUCCAUGGGGAACCAUUUUCUACACACUCUUAUAUGUCAAGUGGAAAGAACAAUAAUCUUGAUGAGAAUGGUGUUGGAGGUGAGACAGAUUUCCUCAAUGAAACUGUAUAUAAUGACUUUGAUAUGAAUGAAAAUGGUGAAUCUGAUGAGUUACCUGAUUUGUUGGAUGAGAUAAAAAAUGCACAUGAAUCAGGGAUAUCGAGUGAAUGGGAUUCAAAAAAUUUUGACAAAUUGUUAAAUGAUGCACAAAGAGAACUUUAUCCGGGAUGCAGAAAGUACUCCCUACUACAUUUCAUUGUUUCCUUUUUCCACAUCAAAGUGAUGAAUCAUGUGACUAACAAGGCAUUUGACAUGAUGCUGGAAUUUUUAAAAGAUGUGUUACCAAAAGGAGAAAUACUUCCAUCCAGUUUUUAUGGGGCCAUGAAAAUUCUAUCUGGUAUAGGUUUGGGGUAUCAAAAAAUUGAUGUCUGUAAAUUUGAUUGUGCAUUGUUUUGGAACGAAAAUGAAAAGAUGGACAAGUGUCCUAUUUGUAAAGAAUCAAGAUGGAAAGUCAAUAAUGGCAAGGAGAAGAAAGUUCCACAAAAGGUGAUGUGGUACUUUCCAUUAAAAGCUAGGUUGCAAAGACUUUUUAUGUCUUCUAAAACUGUUGAAGACAUGAGAUGGCAUGAGGGGAAACAGGUUAAAGAGGAAGGUAUCAUGAGACAUCUGGCUGAUUCUAUUGCUUGGAAGUAUUUUGAUAAACAAUAUCCUGAUUUUGCUAAAGAUUCUCGAAAUGUAAGACUUGGAUUGGCCACAGACGGAUUCAAUCCAUUUGGUAACAUGAGCAACUCAUACAGCAUGUGGCCAGUUAUUUUUGUACCUUACAAUUUGCCUGCAUAUAAAUUUAUGAGAAAGGAAUAUCUUAUUCUAUCACUUCUUAUUCCUGGUCCACAUGCCCUUGGAAAGGAGUUAGAUGUGUUCUUAAAGCUAGCAAUAGAUGAUUUGAAAGAUUUAUUUCAUGGAAUCAACACUUAUGAUGCAUAUAAUGGACAAAAGUUUCAAAUGUGUGCAGCAAUUUUAUGGAGUAAUCAGAUUUCCCCGCAUAUGGCUAUUUGUCUGGAUGGAGCACUAGUGGGUAUAAAGCAUGUCCAUGUUGUCUUGAUGAUACUGCUUCACAAAGACUAAGAGGCAAAAUAUGUUUCAUGGGACAUCGUCACUUUUUGAACCAUGACUACCCUUGGCGAAAGCAAAAAGCUCAUGUUGAAGGAACUAUUGAAACACGCUCCAAGCCAAAGGACUUUUCUGGAGAACAUGUUUUAAGACAUUUAAAUUGCUUGGCUGGUGUCUUUGGUGAGUUUGGUAAGAAGCUAGUUGCUCGGAAAAAAAGAGUUGACAAAAUUCAGGGUAAUUGGAGGAAAAAAAGUAUAUUUUUUGAGUUACCAUAUUGGAGAAAACUCACAAUGAGGCAUUGCCUAGAUGUGUUGCAUAUCCUUAAAAAUACAUGUGAAAGUUUAGUAGCAACAUUGUUGAACAUUCCUGAGAAGACAAAAGAUACUAAUAAAGCUCGUGAUGAUCUCGCUUGACAUGGGAAUAAGACAUGAACUAUACUUACAUGAUGAUGGUAAAAGGAAAACAAAGCCUCCAGCCUUGUAUGUGCUGUUUUCAAGUGAGAGAAAAGGAUUUUGUGAUUUUUUGGGUUCAAUUAAGUUUCCUGAUGGGUAUGCUGCAAACAUUUCUAAGUGUGUUAAAGAUGGUAAACUGAUAGGACUUAAAACACAUGACUACCAUGUCCUCUUGCAACGACUUAUUCCAGCAAGCAUUCGUGGGUAUUUGUGUAAAGAAGUCAAUGAGACAAUUUUUGAGUUAAGUGAGUUUUUUCGAGAUUUGUGUUCUAAAACCCUGAAGAUGGAUGACUUGGAAAGGUUGGAGAAAAAUGCUCCAUUAAUAUUAUGUAAGCUGGAAAAAAUCUUUCCCCCUGCCUUCUUUUGACAUUAUGAUCUAUUUGAUUGUUCACUUGCCAAAGGAAGCAAAACUUGGUGGGCCAGUACAUACUAGGUGGAUGUUUCCAUUUGCAAGGUACAUCUUCCUUAUUUGUUUGACUAAAAAUUUUGUUAUUUAUGUAACAUUCUGUUUUGGGUGGAAAAUUAACUCUUGCUUUUGAAAAGGUAUCUCUCGGAUCCCUUAAAAAGUAUGUCCGCAAUCGUGCUCGUCCUGAAGGCUCGAUUGUAGAAGGAUAUAUUGCAAAUGAUUGCCUAACAUCAGUGGCGGAGCCAGAAAAAAAUCUCAGUGGGGGCAAAAAUAACACUAAAAUUUUUUAUCUACUCUUUUUUUUUAAUUUUUUGAGCAAAAAAUAAAUAAAUUCACUAACAAGUACAAAUGAUAUGUAUAUUCCAUGAAAAACAUAAAAAGACAAACUCAAAAUUAUUAAUGUAAUAAUAAUUUUAUUUAAAAACAAACUAAAUUAUUUACAAUUGUUCACGACGAGUUUUCAUAUUUUGAUAACGGUUUACAACUUUCUCAUUUUCAACUUCACGAAGUAUAUUUUUCUCAAUAUAAGUAACUAAACAAUCAUUCAUCCAAGUGUCUCUCAUUCUAUUUCGUAACCGAUUCUUCACUAUAUUCAUAGCUGAAAAAGCUCUUUCUACUGUAGCUGUAGCAACAGGCAAAAUCAAAGCCAACUUUAAGAGCAUAUAAACCAAUGGAUACACAAUAUCUCUCUUAGUCUCCACCAACCUUUGAGCUAGAUCAGAGAUUUUUCUUAAAUCGAGAAAUUCCUUAGCUGAUUUCAAGUCAUUAAUAUAAGUAUCCAAUUCAGUGUCAAGUGCAAGAAUAUCCAACUUGGAAAACUCACAAGGAUAAUGUUCUGCAAGACGAAUCAACUUUUUCUUAUCAAAUGCUGCAAAGGAAUCACUUGGGUUCAAGCAUGCCAUACACAGAAGCAACUCCAUAUUGAUUUCAUUGAAACGAUUGUUGAGUUCUUGGAAUUGUAAAUCUAUGACAGCACAAAAUAGCUCAACUCGAUAGUGGUGAAGGUUUGUAAUUUGCUGAACUUUUCUUCGAGAUCUCCCACUAGUAAUGAACAUUUCAUCCAUUUUCGGAAUGAUGAUCUCAUGUUUUUCACAAAACAAACAAACUUCAUCAAGUAAAAAAUCCCAUCCAUCUUCCCUAGUAGCUUGUAACUGUUGCUUGGAAACUUUGACCAGACCCAUAGCAUUCACAAUAUCUUGAUCCUUCCUUUGUAAUGCUUCAGAUAGUGCAUUCGUUAUUCCCAUGAUUUUCUUCAUCAAGUGUAAAAUAAAUGCAAAUUCAAAAGAUUGCAAAGAAUUAAGAAGUGCAUAUGCUUGACCUCUUUGCUCCACCAGGCCAUCAUUUUCAAUUAUCAAAAGAACAUCUAUUACAGAAUCAUACAUAAGAACCAACUUUAACAACGAGCCAAAAUGUGAACCCCAACGUGUAUCACAAGCUCUUUGAAGGCUAGUUUCUUGAUUUAAGCCCCGACCACUGACAAGAUCUCCAGUCAUUAGAUCAUCAACGACUUUCUUAAGGCGUUGUUCUCUAAGAAUUUCUUGUCUUUUAGAUGAACCUUCAAGAACAUGCACUAAGGUAGACAAUGUAUUAUACAUAGAAGAGACUUGGACAUGUUUCUUUGCAACCCCUACAAGUGACAAUUGCAGCUGAUGUGCAAAACAAUGAAUAUAAUAUGCAGAAUCAUUUUCCUUCAUGAUCAAAGUUUUUAAACCAUUAUAUUCACCUCGCAUGUUACUAGCACCAUCAUAACCUUGACCACAGAUUUGUGAUAUGCUCAAACCAUGCUUUGAAAAUAAAUCAUCAAUUGCUUUCUUAAGUGAAAGAGCAGUAGUAUCUCUUACAUGUAGAAUACCAAGAAAACGCUCAAUCACAUAUCCAUGUGAAUCCACGUAACGGAUAACAACUACUAAUUGCUCCUUUGUUGAUGCAUCACGAGAUUCAUCACAUAAAAUAGCAAACAAUCCAUGUCCAAUGUCAUUUACAAUAAUGCUUGUAGUCUCACUUGCCAAAGCAUUUGAAAUACCCUUUUGAAUAUCUGGAGCAAUGAGUUUGAGAUUUUUAGGGGCAUUUUCAAGAACAACCUUCUUUAUAUCAUCAUUAUGACCCGCAAGGAAGUGCAAAAGUUCAAGAAAAUUUCCCUGAUUUUCAGAGGUAUCAGAUUCAUCAUGACCACGAAAAGCCAAACCUUGAUGUAGGAGAAAUCUAGCACAAUCUAUUGAGGCUAAUAAAUGAGUCCGAUACUCAGCCUUCAUUUUCUCUGAUUGCUUAAAAAAUGCCACUUCGAUGUGCUGAUUUUGAUUUAAUAAACUUUGACAUUUACUCCAACUCAGAUUGUGUGCGCUAUUAGGACCACCAACAUGAACAUCAAAUCUAUUCUUUUUUUUUCCAAUUUGUGAAUCCUUCCUUAAUGAAACUAUCACCACCAGAUUGUUCACCCACAUCUGGUCUAUAUAGAUAACAACAUAAGCAAUAAACGGCAUCUUUUUCAAUACUAUAUUCUAACCAAUUCUUGUAAUCAUCAAACCAGCCCCGAACAAAUCGACGCAUCUUUUUUCCUAUCUUUCUUUGUGGAAAAACAUGCUCAUGAGGUUGACAUGGUCCCUUUUGUAAGUAAUAUCUCCGAAUUUCAUCUUGAAGGUUUGGAUGAUAAUCCCCAAUUUUUUUUCUUUGGGCUGGAUCCGCAGGUAAUUCAUCUAAGUUAAUUUCCAAGUAACUUCUUUUAUUGUCAUUUUUUGUACUUUCAUUAUCCUUGGCUUCUUCUUUAUUAGAUGACUCUUUUUCCAUUGAUUUCCUUUUGAAAUAUCUCUCCAUAGCUAAAGAAAUCAAAAUCAAUAUAUAAGAUACUAAUCCAAUUAAAAUAUUAAAUGUACAAUAAAAUCUAAUAAUCUAUCCAAGAACUAUUUUACAAGUUAAAGUUAUUUAUUAAAUCAUUAAUCACAACUUAUUUAUUUAUUACUAUAUCAAAUCAUUAAUCACAAUAUAUGAACCUAAUCAAGUUAAUUAGACAAAAGGAUCCAUACAAGAAUAAUUUAAAAGUUAAAAGUAUAUGUCAAAUGGCCCUCUAUUCAUCAUUACAUUAACUCCAAAUAAGAAACUAAUCAAGGAAAAUAAAAAAUAAAUUAUAAAUCUAUAAAAUCACCAUUUCACAAGUUAAAAUAUUUAUCAAAUAACCCAUUUAUUAGUUAUUACAUUAACUAAUCAAUUUUCAAAUUUCUCUAAAAUAGUAAUAGUCUCAUGCUCUAGAAAUAUAUUUGCAAACAAAUUUAAAAUAAUAAUAAGAAGUAAUUGUUUAGAACCUGAUUUUGAUGGUCUCCCAAAAUUGGUGAAAAGAGUUGCAAAUCAGUGGUGGACCCAAGUCCCUUUACUUCUUUUGUGCCCCGUAUCACGUUAUUUAAUUGGAAAGAAGUCAGCUUCAAGGACUGGUUUCUUGCAGUUGAACUGAAGAAAGCAGGUCCUGGUUUUCAAAAAGCCUACUCCUUUAAUGGAACACUGCGUGACUGCGUGAAGAAGUCAACAACACCAUUUUCAUGACAGAAAACCAGGAUUGGACUAUUUGAUGGGAGAGACCAUUUUCAGUGGGGACAACUAAGAGUCAGUAGAGGAAAGGAAAAUUGGGGAGUGGGGGACAAAGGAAGUAAAUGAUUAAUGAUGAUUGGAUGAAGUAAUAAAAAGAAAGAGUAGUUAGUUGGAUGUGGAAGAAGAGGAGUCGUGGGUUGUGAAGUGAAAUGGGGGACCACAGGAGUAAAGGGAACUUGGGGAGUGGGGACCAAAAGUAAUGACUGAUAUAAUUGGUAUUUGGUCCUUAGAGGAGGAAAGUGAAUAAUAUAAAUUUUGUGACCCAUUCUUUCAUAUUUUUUUAAAAAAAAUUCUGGGGGCACCACUAAAAUUAUGUCAAAAUUAUAAGAGUAUUAUAGAAAUUUAAGGGGGGCAGUGGGGGCCCGUGCCCCCCCUUUAAAUCCGCCCUGCCUAACAUUCAUGUCCAAAUAUCUCCAUGGCAUUGAAACAAAAUUCACCCAUAAGAGAUGCAACUAUGACUAUAAUCAGGAUAAGGCAGAGGAGCUGGUGGUUUUCUCACUAACUGUUCGCCCAUUUGGACUUGUUACACUUCCUACUAAAUUAUCUCAAGUUGAACUAGAUGUGGCUCAUAAAUUUAUAUUGAAUAGCUGUGAUGAAAUAGAAGAGUACAGAAUGUAAGUGCAAUAUGUAUUUCCUGAAUUAUAUUUUAAAUAUUACUUCAUGUGGUUUAUUUUACUUUAUAUUGAUAAUACAAUCUGAAUUUCAGUAAGCAUAAAGAGAUGCUGCAAAGGAUUCAUCCUGAAAAUGUUGACAGCAGACAUGAAGAUCAAUUCACAAAGUGGUUCAAAGAUCAUGUAAGUUAUACAUAUUAUAAAAAUGAGUUUAUUAGUUAUUGAAAACUGACUAAUAGAGACUCGUUUUCUAUUUUAUAGAUAAAUUAGUUGCACAUUAAUAAAUCAGUGAAUGUUUUUGAAGAGCUGUAGGCAUUAGCAAAUGGUCCUACACCUUUCAUGACAAAGCAUUACUCAGGGUGCAUUGUAAAUGAAGUUCAUUUCCACACAAGAGAUCGGGAUGAUUGCUGUACAAAACAGAAUAGUGGCUUAGUUGUUGAGGGUGACCAUAAAGGAAAACACAUUGACUUUUAUGGCUUUGUUAAGGCUGUGGUUGAGCUGACCUUUUUUCAUGCAUACAAGGUGGUCUUGCUUCAAUGUGAAUGGUAUAACACAGGUAGCACAAACACAAUGAAGAGUGAUAGGCACUUUGAGACCAUCAAUAUUAGAUCACGUUGGUAUCAAAAUGAUCCAUUUGUUUUACCAAAUCAAGUCCAACAAGUCUUCUAUAUUGGUGAUACGAAUUUGGAUAGACAUUGGUGAAUUGUACUACGUGUUCAACAUAGGCAUUUGUGGAACCUAUUAGAUUUGGAAGAGAACGAUGAAGAUGUGCUGAAUGGAGAUACAAGUUUUUUGGAUGAACUAUUGCAAUAGAAUGAAACAAGAACUGUUGUGCUUGUUGUCGAAGAUGAUGAACUAGGCCUCUUAAGCAGACAAGGUUUUGAAAUUGAAGUUGUUCUGGAGAAUCCUUUGCAUACUUGCACUGGUGAAGAAGACUAUGGUGAAGAAGACAAUGCUUUUAAAGAAGAUGGCAUGCUUAUUGAAUCUUCUGAUAGCGAUGAAACCAUAGACAUUGAUAUGGAUUUAGAUAAUACUUAAGAAAUAGCAUAGAAAUGUCAAGUGGAAAGGUUUUUUGCAUUGUAGAAGAAAGUGUUACUUUCUAUGGUUUUAGGCAAUAUUGAUCAAAUUGAUAUCCUUUUCAUGGUUUUAACUCUUUGUUAAGUUUUUGGUAUAACUUAAAUAUUGAUCUCUGUUUAUAAUAUGACAUCAAUAUUUUACUAAUGUGACUCAUUUUUUUUAUCAUAUAUUGUGUUAUUGCAGAUAGCACCUUCCGGAAAACGAUUGAAGAGAAACUGCCCACCUAAUACCAACUUGCAAUCUGAACAAUUGCCAACUUCAAACUCAACUUUGGAGCCUCAAUCAGCUACCACAAAUGAUGAUAUCCAGAUUAAUUCAAAUAAUAGUAAUCCUGCUCAAGCAAACACUAAUGGUAAGUGAAAAUGCUGAAUAAUGAUUUAAUUAUUACCAUUCAAUGCAUACAUCCUCUUUGUGAUAAUUCAUAAUAAGUCUCAACUAUCAUGUUUAACAAUUGUUCACAGAUCAAAGAAAGCAAAAAAAAAAAAAAAAAAAAAAAAAGGCAAGGGCCCAACCACAGGAAAAGUUAUCUAGAAGAUGAUACGAGCUAAUGUAAAUAAAAUUCAGUACUAAGAUGCGUACAUAUAUAAUAUUACUGUCUAUUCAAGAUUUUUUUUGUAUAAUCUGUUCCCUAGAAUUUCUAUUGGGUAUACCUGAAUAAUGCUUCAUUUGUUAAUAUUAAGGAGGCAAGCCACUGGAAAUUGUAUUUCUUGAAGGAUGUUGCAAACCAAUCAAUUAUGCUGCUCAACUUGCUAGUGGUGUAGGUUAUGUUGUAAGGCACCUCUCUUCACUGAAGGACAUACGCACAUAUGAUGACAUACCAAAUAAGAAAAAACAAAACCUAUAUGGUGGCUUGAUGGUACCAGAUUACAUAGUGUCUUUUAUAAUGACAUUCAACGUGUUAAUAUUUAUUUUGUUGACUUGACCAAUUCUAAGAAUGAUCCAUUUCUUAAUGGUAAUUUAUAGGGAUGGUUUGACUUCAAAGAUUGGGAAACUAAUCCCAAUGUGGAAAUUUAUGUAGAUGACAUGCUUCAGAAUAGCUACAGGUAGUGGAGGAAUACUAUGCACAUAGAUUAUAAGAUGUUGAAGGCAGCUGGAAAAGAUCCAUUUACCUCGUGUCCUUAUGACUGGAUUGAGCAAGAUGAGUGGAAAAAGUAUGUGUGAUUGGUUCGAAUAUCCUAUAUUCAAGGUGAUUGGUUCUAGUUUCAUGUACUUGCAUGAUCUUAAUCCUUUUUGUUGCCUUUUAUGUUUUGUCUAACUAUCUUUUUGGUGUUUAAUAGAAAAAAUCAGAAGCCAAUACAAAGAAUCGUGCCAUGUUACCCUAUCCGCACACUGGCAAUUCAAAAUCAAAUCAUGUUCGAGCACAAGAGAUGAUAUAUUACUGAUUUUUUUAUUUCCAUUUUGGUUUAUAUUUAUACUAGGAAGAAAACUAGAGCUAACUCAAGAUCUUUUAUGCUAUAAAAUAGGUUCCACCAAGUGUAAUUGAUGCUUGGACUGCUGCUCACAUAAAAAAGGACGGCCAAUUUGUGAAUAAUACUACAAAAUCCCUCGAUGUAAUUUUCACUAUAGUCGGCUGAUUCUAGUAGCUUUGUUUUUUUAUUACUAACAGGACAUUUACAUAUAUUAUACAUUUCAUGACUCCUUUAGUUAUAUGAAUCUAAUAUGUACAGGAUGAGUUAAAAGAAGAGAGAAGACAAUGCAUAGAGAAUGGAGAAACUGUCAAUGAAGUAAAAAUUAUGAAAAAUGUCUUAGGAAAGUAGGCUGGUCGUGCCAAAGGGUUGGGUAUGGGGGUUAUACCACCCAAAACUUCUCGCAAACCCGAAUCUUCAGCUAAUAGAGCACUACUUGAAGAACUAAAACAGUGCAAGGAGAAGAUUCAAAGCUAUGAGGAACGAAUUCAAGCACAACAUACCCAAAUCCAAAAUCUUGUACAAAGCCAGCAAGGGAUACAGGAAAUACUGCAAGAAUUCCUCGUUUGGAAACAGAAGCAGUGUGGAGGGUCUUCCUAGUAAUGGUGAGUUUGUAGAUCUUUAUUCAAAACAAAUGUAUUUAUGUGCAAUUACUUACUAUUGUGGAACUUGAGUUAUGUUAUGAUUUGGAUUUCUUGGUGUAUUAUUAGUUACCUGCAGCAUAGUAAUUAUUAGUAAUUAUUCUUGUACAAGUUAAUGCAUUGCUUGUACUUAUGAUUAGGUGGUCCCUAAGCAAUUUGUAGUGAUCAUCCAUGCAUCAUAACAAAAAUACAUCUUUUGCAUGCCAUUCUAUUAUUUCUCUGAUUUCAGAUUUUUCUUGGUUUUAUUGUACAGGUUUGGGAUGAACUUGUGAAUUGCUUUUGGCUCAUACUAAAGAACUCCUCUAUUUUGAUAUCAUCCAUGUAUAGUAUUUUGUUGACCAUGGAAUUGAAGUCCAUCUUUUGAUUUUAGCAUAUGUUAGGUAUAUGGCAGUUAUCUAGGGAGAAAUAGCAAUAUUUAUAUUGGUUUUAAAUUGUGAAAUGGGAUGAUAUGUAAAUGUUUGACAUGAUUAACUUUUGUGGUUUGACAUAUUAUGGUUGCCUACUAAUGAUAAUUUGUGAAGUUUUGGUUGAUAUUUUGCUUGCAUACUUUUAUAUUUUGAUUGGGUGAGUGUCUAAAUAGAUGAUAUGGUUACUUUGUUAUCGCUAAAAUUGCUAGGCUUAAAAGUGAUGCAGCUGUCAUCAAGAAAAAUGACGUUGUAUUGUCAUUAAAGUUUCCCAACAAGUUUCAAUGCAUGACUAUUCUUGACAAUCGAAAAUUUAGUGACAAAGUUCAGGGUCUUUCUUGACAAAGGCUCGUCAAGAAUAUGAGGUCUUUUCUUGACGACCAAAUCAUCACUAUUACCUUUCCUAAUGAUGUGUCAUAGAAAAUGACACUUUUCCUGAUGAAAAUUCCAAUAGUUGUCAGGAAAACCUUUUGCCGACGGUGUAUAGGUGACCAAUCUUCUCUGACGACAUUGGUGUCACGAAAACUUUUCUUGAUGAAAUACGUAUCUUUUCUUGACAAAAAUUUUUGUCACUAGAAAUCUUUUUUUUUUUUGUAGUGGACUGAGGUACCUCCGUCAAUCACUACCCUAAUUGAGAAAUAAUUUUAUGUACGUCCGUAAGAUUUAAUUUUUCAAUUACCUUAUGUAUUAAAGGAGCUCUAUUCUAACCAAAUAACACACUAUCAGGAUUAUUUUAGAUAGUCUGCGUACUCCCCUAACACAAAUCCAAUCAUGCCAGUUGUCACCAUUUUAGAGCAAUUAAACAAUUAUAAAUUUAACACUAAUUGACAUCAGGUUGCUAAAUUAAUUCAACGUCUGGGACCAGGAUAUUUAAUUAACAAAACAACCAUAAACAUUACAAAUAGAGAAUAUGCAAAUACCAGUGAAUAAGAGGAAUAAAUAAAAUUAAUUCAAUAUCACAAAUUUUAGAUGAACCAAAACCUCCGUUGUUCCUUGACUAGAAAAAGAGAUUAGUUCAUCCCUAUUGAGAAGAAUCCAUACAAGAUUUUAGAAGUAAUGAUCGCGGCCAUUGUCUUCAAUUCGCCGAGAAGAAACGAUGGAAUAAGAAUAUUUUGUCAAAAGUUACAAAGUCAAGGGUUGACUCCUUGUUUUUCUACUUGGUUCCUUUGAUACGUAGGAACCAGUAGCUACUAAAAACAUGAUAAAGUCAAUCUCCAAAGAGGAGUCAAGAAUGGAGCUUCAGAUCCUCUGUCCCCAAAAUAGUCCAUAUCCCCUCUGUCCCUUAUUUGUAUAGCUGCUACGUGUCUCUAGCCUUUUGUUAACCUAAACUCAAAUAAAAUCGAUAAUAAUCGGUUUACAAGUUUUGUUAACCCAAAUUCAAACAAACCGAUAAUAGUUGAUAGACAGGUUUACUCAAAAUCAAUUAAAACAGAUAACUCAAAACUAUUUUUUAUUUUCUUUUUAACAAAAAAGAGUCUUGUUGAUCAUAAACAUAGAAAUCAACUAAAACUCUUCUUUAUUUUUUACUCCAAAUCAUCUUUUUCUUAAACCCUAACAAGUAUUUUGAUUCACUCAUUAUAUCUUUAAUCUUGCAGCAAAAACGCUCAAAGGAUCAAGUAGCAAGAUUCAAUCAUCUUUAUCCAGGUAAAACAAAUCAAUAGAUCAUGUAUGCCAAUUUUACAAUAUAUUUGAUUCAUGAUUUGUCUUGUCAUAUUUGAAAUGACCUGUAUUUAUUGGAACUUGCAUGCGAUGGGAACAAUAUUGUACAAUCCCCUCUCAACAUCAUUGUUCAUAUAAGUAUCUAUAUGCACUGUGUAGUUACUAUAGUUCAUAAACUAGUAUCUAAUUGAAGUAAAGCCUUUAGUAAUGCCGUAAAGCCCUUAGUAAUGCCGUAAAGCCCCUUUCAGUAAUAAACUAGUACAAUCCCCUUUCAGUAAUAAACUAGUACAAUCCCCUUUCAGUAAUACCGUAAAGCCUUUAGUAGUCAAAGUGAUUGAAGUAAACUUUUUCAAUGAUAAACAUUAUAGUUAAAAGCUUUUAUUUUUGACAAAUGUCAUUCGAUAUUUAAGCAGGUUUAUUUGUAUUUAAUUACGUCGUAGAUAUUGAACAAUUGUUUACUUUUGUCUUUUUACUAUUUUUUGUGGAAAAUUCUUGUAAUGAGUUAAAAAUUAAUUUUGCAAAAAAAAAAAAAAGCACUGAUACGAAAUGGUAAAGUUAACUAUUAAAAUCUUUUAAAAUUGUAGAUCAUGGAGGGUGAUGAUUCCCUUGAGAGCAAGUUCCCACCUUGUCGUAAAUUGGAAUUUAUAGAUGACACUCAACAUCAUCACAGCUCUCAGACAAUCAAUGAAGAUACAGACAUUGAGCUUAUUGGUGCAUCAAGUUCAAACAAAGAGACUGAUAUCAAUUCAAUUCAUCCCUCUAUCCCUAAAGAAGAAAUCCCUCUGGUAGGUAUGGAAUUUGACAGUGAAGAAGCAGCUGGUCAAUUUUACUUAGCAUAUGCUAAGAAGGUUGGGUUCGGCACUAGAAAAGGCAAAUUGCAUAAAGACAAAAAUGGUAAAAUAAUUGAUAGGACAUUUUGUUGUAGUGCCGAAGGCAAACGAGGGGCAGAUAAAAGAGAUGUCAAUGUAAAAAUCCAUCAUCCUGAAACAAGAUUUGGUUGUUUGGCAAAAAUGAAAAUUAGUUGUAGCAAAAGUGAAAAAUAUCAUGUCAUUGAGUUUAUACCAGAACAUAAUCAUUAUCUUUGUAGUCCUCACAAACGCAUUUGUUCAGAGCACAUAGGAGAAUACAUGAAGCUCAUGUAAUAGAGAUUGAUAUGGCAAACAGUGUAGGAAUUGCACCAAAAGCAUCGCAUGAAUUUAUGGUAAAACAAGCUGGUGGACGGGAUAACUUGGGCUUUAUUCCUGAAGAUUAUAGGAAUUAUUUACGUUCAAAGAGGACAAGAGAUGUGAAAAUAGGGGAUACUGGAGGAGUGCUUGAAUAUUUACAGGGAAUGCAAUUAGAAGAUCCAAACUUUUUUUAUUCCAUUCAAGUUGAUAAAGAUGAUUUGAUGACUAAUAUAUUUGGGCUAAUGCUAGGAUGAAAGUUGACUAUGCCGAUUUUGGAGAUGUGGUUUGUUUCGAUACAACUUACAGAAAAAACUGUGAAGGUCGUCCUCUUGCACUCUUUGUUGGUGUGAACCAUCACAAGCAAACUAUUAUUUUUGGUGGUGCACUUUUAUAUGACGAGACAGCUCCGACUUUUGAAUGGUUAUUUGAUGUAUUUGCUAGCACUAUGUUAGGAAAAAAGCCAAAAAACCAUUCUGACAGACCAAGAUGCAGCAAUGGCUAAAGCAUUAGCUUCCAGAUGGCUAGAGACACAACAUCGAUUAUGUAUUUGGCACCUUUACCAAAAUGCUGCCAUACAUCUAAGUGGUGUUUUUGAAAAAUUCUCAGACUUUGCAGGUGACUUUGGUAAAUGCAUAUACGAUUUCGAAGAGGAGGAUAUUUUUGUGACUGAAUGGGAUAAAAUGCUACAGAGGUAUAAUCUUCAAGAUAAUGAUUGGCUGAAGAGAAUGUUCAAAUUGAAAGAAAAAUGGGCACUAGUCUAUGGCCGCCAGUCCUUUUGUGCUGAUAUUACUACGACACAGAGAAGUGAGAGUAUGAAUAGUGUCGUAAAAAGGUAUGUCAGCUAUAAAAAUAAUUUGCAUCAAUUUUUUGAUCAUUUUUAAAAUUUGAUUGAUAGUCAUCGAUAUGAAGAGUUAAAGGCUGAUUUCAGAGCAAGUAUAAGUACUCCUGUAUUAUCUUUUCCAGUUCAAAUAUUAAAGCAUGCAGCAAAUAUUUAUAGCCCGGAAGUGUUCAAGUUAUUUUAGAAUGAAUUAUGUAAAGCUCAUGAUAGCAGCUUACUUAUUUUUAGCGAGAUCGGAACAAUAAUCCAUUAUCAUGUCACUUCUUAUGAAAAAACAAAUCAUCAUGUUGUUAAAUAUGACUCUUUGGAUGGCACGGUACACUGUAGCUGCAAAAAAUUUGAGUGUUGUGGGAUACUGUGUUCUCAUGCCCUGAAAGUUCUUACCACAAGAAAUGUUGUCAAAGUUCCACAGCCAUACAUAAUGAAGAGAUGGACAAAGAAAGCAAAAGUUGGGGUUAUGCAAAGUCCAGGCUUGUCUAAGAGCAAUAACACACUGAAUCCGAAAGUAAUGGUGAAUAUGAGGUAUAGAAACUUGUGCAAGUUUCACAAUCAAUUGGUUACAAGAGCAGCGGAAACAGAAGAAACAUAUGAAAUAGCUAAAGACGGUCUUGUGAAGCUGUUUGAGAAGGUUAAUGAAAAGUUACAGAGCAAAAAUUUGACAUUUGAAGGCUCAAGUGAAAGGACGAAUUAUUUGAAAGAAAAAGAUCCAGCUAUUCACGAAGAAACUGGUAUAAAAGUCAAAGGAAUAAUGGCAAAAAAGAAAAUUAUUUCGGGUAAGAGAUUGAAGAAUGGAUUAGAAAAGACAUCGAGAAAGAGAAAGUCACAUAGUAGAAAAUCAGCUGCAACAACUGUGGUCUUAACUGCCGAAGUUCCAACCCUUGCUCAGGUACAUAGUUAUUUUUCAAUUGAUAAACCAUACCGGCUUUUCAUGUUUUUACUGGUAGGCUUCAGAAGAAGUCAUUCAUAGAGGAUAUAGGUUUGGACAAGAUUGUCAAGUCCAUCUAGUACCAUCAGCCAUGGGGUUGUUUGUAUGAAAAGCAAGCUUUAAUUAGAUAUUACGAUGAUAUAAUUUUUUUUUGAGUCUUGAUGAUAUAAUUAUUCUUUUAUAUUUUUUAUUUUUUAUUUUUAAGCAUGUGCAUGAAGGUCCUACUGGUAGUGGAGAUGGUUUAAACAUAUGGGAACCAAAUAGCCAACGUAUUUUGUGCCCAACGCAAUUGUCACAGGUAAUAUUUUCUUGUUUAUAAUUAAAUUUUAGUUAUUCCAAUAAUUCACUUGUUUGCAAAAAAUAGUUAUUUAAUCUAAAAUUUAAUUUUUUGUUAUUUGUGGAGACAAAAUUUCUAACCAAAAAAGAAAACAAAAAGAUCGGUUCAGGUGAUGCUAGCAUGGCUCAAGCAAUUUAUCCUGAACAAGUGACCUUCGUGCAGCCAUUUGGUUUAAAUAAGGUGUGUUUGCUAUGUUCUUCUAAUUGAGUUACUAUCAUAUGAUGCAAAACUUAUUGCAUAAGGCUUUUCAAGCACUUAAUUAUGUUCAUACCAUAAAUAAUUUUCUCUUUAUUGUUUUUUUUUUUAAAAAUAGAUUCCAGUUUUAGCUCCAAAUCAAAUGAACCAAGUUGCACAUUUUAAUUUUCUUGAAGAGUUGCAAGAUUCUAUGAGAUUGACAGACUUACUUCAGGUAACUUAGUAAUUGUCCAUUGAUAGUAUUUGAUGUUAUGAGAAUUUCAUCUCAAUAUUUUAGUACUUAUGAUUAUUUUUUCUACAUUUAUAGGUUGAAGUAGGACACAAGUUCAGUGGAUCAAGUGUCAAUAACUUUAUAGACCUUAAUGUCAUUUCCAGCCAACCGAGUUCAAGUUUAGUUGCUUGUAAUGAAAAUUGCGGCUAUCCCAUGCCAUGUCCUGGUGGUUUUGUUUGUAGAUGCACAACUGAUGGAAAAUCCGACAAUCUUUAGAAGUUUUGAAUUAUGAAUAGGCAAGGGUUUGAUAUUACAAACCAACAUGAUAGACCAUGGUUAUUCAGGUAUUAACAGGGUUUUUAGGUGUACUUAGUAAGAGUGGUUGAAAUUUUAUUAUUAUUCUCUUAUUUUUAUCCAGCAGACGAUUUUUUGAGAAUCAAAUUCCAAUAUCUAACAUUCUUAUCAACCAUGUGUGUGUUUAUGUCAACUGAUUUAGCUCUUUCUAAUUUUUUUACAUCUCAUAAUUAUGUAAAUAUGAUGAUUUAAAAUUAAUUACUUAAUAGGUUUGAGUUAUCUGUUUUAAUUGAUUUUGAGUAAACCUGUCAAUUAACUAUUAUCGGUUUGUUUGAAUUUGGGUCAACAAAACUUGUAAACCGAUUAUUAUUGAUUUUAUUUGAGUUUGGAUUAACAAAAGGCUAGAGACACGUGGCAGCUAUACAAAUAAGGGACAGAGGGAACAUGGACUAUUUUGGGGACAGAGGAUCUGAAGCCCAAGAAUGGUGGCUACUUUUUCUCCCGCAAAGUUCCUAUCUAAUCUCUACUCCUAUACGGCUGCCAAGAGAAAUAAAAGGAAAGAGUCCUACUGCUUCCCAUCCACCAUACUGUCGUUAUCAGAAGAUAAGGAAACAAUCUUCAAUUCUGCUUUCCAUUGGUCUCGUGUCUCCUGCUAUCACUCAAACUUUUUUGCUAACUACCGUCAAAUUGGCAUCUUUUUAUGAUAUUUUAUUCCACUCCCCGUAAUAAAUACAAAUUUCCAAAAGUGAGUGGAAUAUGACAAUUAAUCCAUAUUUGGUAAGGUAACAGGGGAAAUUAAUUAUAAAAUAAAUGGUAAAAUUGCAACCUAUCACACAUUAAAUCCAUAAGCCUCUCAACAAAUAAUUUAGUGGGUGAGAUCCAUGAUGGGAUAAUGGAUCUGGUUGAUUUGCAAACUUUGAACCUUUCACAUAAUCAUUUGACUGAAAGGAUCCCCGAGAAGAUUGGCAACUUGAGUCACUUGAUCUAUCAAUGAAUGAACUCUUCGGUGCAAUCCCUGAAAGCUUAUCUGCUUUAAACUGGUUGAACUUCCUGAAUUUGUCACACAAUAAGCUAUCAGGGCCAAUACCAUCAGGGAAUCAAAUUCAGACCUUAACCGAUCCAUCUAUCCAUGAAGGAAACAGUGGACUCUGUGGCAAGUCACUCCCAAAUGACUGCCUGGAACAUAAAUUGCCUACGGAAAAUGGGCAAAUUCAUGAUGAUAUAGGCCACGACAAGUCUAAUUGGUCUUGGUUUUAUGCUGGUAUAGGACCGGGUUAUGCUGUCGGGCUAUUGGGAGUUUUGGGAAUCCUUAUUACGUGAUUGAAGACCAGAAAUUUCCAUUCCUUAACUUUUGGAACUUUUUAUCUUAAAAACUAGGUACCAAAACUUUAGUUGCUUUCUCUAGAUUCUCUCUUUCUAUUGGCAAUUAUUUUUACUCUCUCAAAAGUUUGAUUUCUAAUAAUUCUCCUCUAUUCUUCAUAUUUACAUUGCAUUUUCCUAUGUUUCUUUACAUUCCAUACUAUGAGAAUCUUAUUGAUUUUUAUUUACAACCGAUUAUAAGGAUGAUAGGAUGUGAAAUAAUUAUUUUUCUGUUCGCAUUAGAAUGCAUUAAUAAUUAUUUUUGCGUCAACAGAUUUAAACACUUUAGAAGAAUUCUAUACUUGUUUAUGCUAAUAAUUGAUUUAGUUGUUUAAUUUCUAAUUGAUAUACAUUCUAGCUUUUCUGCCAACAACUCUUAUGAAUUACCAACUAAUGAUUUUCAGGUAUUACAUUAAUUCUACCCACCUAAGUUUCAUUCUCGAAACUUAAUUUGACCAGAUUAGCAUAAAAACAAACUGCCCUUCCAAUUAUAUCACUUUACAUGAACAACUAUUAAUUAAACUACUAGUAUUUAGGGCACACACCAAUGUGUGUACACCUAAUAAAAAAACAUAUUAUUAAAAUUUUGAGUAAAUUUGUUGAAAUCAUUUUCAAAGGAAUUGGUUUUAUAUUUUUGACAUUGAGGAUUGGAAAAUUCAUGAAAAUAAGUGUACAAAUAGAUAGUUAUUUAGCAGUAAUCCAUAUCCAUAAUCGAUAGUUGAUUAUUGGGUAGCUAGCAAGGGUAGUUAAAAAAUAAUAUAAAAUGACAAAAUUUUAUUUAUACCAAAAGCCCUCUCCCCCUUGAUAUAUUUACAACAAAAGCUUUCUCCACCUUUACAGAGAGCAUAGAUACUAUUUACUCAAGGACAAUUCAUGUCCCCCCCCUCUCCUUCCCCUCCUCGCCUUUUUGGUCAAUCAUCAACUCUUAUUACUACUCCUACUCUAACCAAUAUUAGGACCAAUGGGGCUGGAGGAAGAAGAUCUCACCUGUAUAUCAAAGAGGUUCACUAGGCCAAAGAAGGGUUGCUUCAUGUUCAAAUCCGCUAUUCUUUUUACAAGGCCAUAGAAAUUUCAAACACCUGAUGCCCAUUUCGUUUCCCUAGCGCUAACAUAAAUCCAAACAUCAACAAGUAAUUCGACUUAAUUAACCUUAUUUUCAUUUGAACUUUAGUUAUUUCUAAAGUGAUAAUCAUGUCUUACUGUUCAUUAAAGUAAUAUACUAUCAACUAAAACUUCACUAGUAUAUUCCGUGCUCUCAUUUUCUGAUUUGCCAGAUUCUCAGUUGCACCCUGAAUUUAUUUCAUACUACAUGCCAUCACAGUGGAUCUAGAAAUAUUAUAACAUAACCACCUAGAAAUUUCUUCAAGAUAUAAUCCUUUUCAAUAACAUCACCCACUCAUGAUUUUCAAUCUAGAAUUACCUGUAGUUUUAAGAUUCAAAUCAAGUGAUCAUAAAGCCAUGUGAGAAACACUAAUGAACAUAAAUUAAAUUUCUAACUCAUCGAUUGCCAUAAAUGGUCCUAUUAGAAACUAAUUCUUGCAACCAAUAAUUGGUAGAUAUGCAAUAAAAAUGUGUCCUAGGCCUCCUAAUCUUCUAAACAAACAUGUAAGAGUAGAAGGGGUUUCAUGAACAUCCUCCCAAUGAGGAAUGUAAUAUGAACGGAUCCCAAUCACGAAUUAAAGAUUCGUGAAAAAAGAGAUAAACUCUAAAAAAUUGGGCAAUUCCAAUAAAGUUUGAUAAAAGUUGAUAAGAGAAUGAGAUAUUACUUAGACCCUAUUUGGCAAAUAACUCCCAAUAAAUAUUUGGGUGAAACUUAGGUCUCGUUUGGCAAAUAAGUUUUUUGAGUGUUUGUCUAAAAUUUUAUUAUAACUUACUGUAAAAAUUGUAGGAAAAAAUUUUAAAAUGAAAAGCUUUUUUCUUUUCUUUUUAUUUCUUUUGCUUUUUUUUUCUUUCUUUCUUUCUUUGUUCUUUUCUUUCCUUUCUUCUUCUUCUCCCUUUCCCGUCACCUGCCAUCUCUCCCUUCCAGUUGGAACAAGAAUUUUUUUUGCACUUUUCUCUCUCCCCUCCCCUCUCCCCCUCUUUCUCGGGUGCUUUCUAGUCGUGUGACUAGAUCGGGCAAAGGGGUAAGGGAAGGGUGGUGGGGGAGGGAGAAGGUGGGAGAUAGGUGGUGGGGAAGAGGGGAGGAGAGGGGGAGAGGAGAGGAAGAGGAAGAAGAGAGAGAGAAAAAAAAGAGGUGGCCUUCGGUGCCGGUCGAUCUUGGCCGGCCGUGAGGUGGUGGUGGGUUGAGGUGGAAGUAGAAAGGAGGAAGAAAAUUUUUUUUGUGUGUUUUGAAUAUUUUGAAGUAUGUAUUGAGGAGUUUUUGAGAUUAUUGUAAUUAAAGUUGUUAAAAAAUUAGAAAACAAACUUAACCAAAAAUUCAUUUGCCAAAUAGGCCAUUAGUUCUAGGAAUGCUUUGAAAAUCCUUGUUAGAGGGAUAGUGAAAUUCUUGUUAUCCAUUAAUAUCUAAGGUCAUGUUAUUCAAUAAUUGUAAUUGUGAAAAUUUUUCUCUUUUUUGAUUGAUUUUUAUUCAUAAAUUCAAGCUAUUAUUCAAAUUAUAGUAAUUUAUUGAUGAAUUUGGAUUAUUUAUUGUUGAAUUUGCCUAGGUUUAAAGUUAAUUGAAGAUGCAUAAAAGUUUCAUAAAUAAGGCAGCCCGUUUCGACAUUGCUUUCGAUGAUGUGUGCAUUAUGUUUGUGAACUUUAAUGACACAAAGGGGCAAGCUACUCCUACUUCUGCUACUUAUUUUGCAUUUGGGGACGAGUCCUGCAUCUCGCGCGGGAGUUGAUACCGGCGUAAUAAAAUAGUAAUCCAAUAUGCAAUUAACGAAUUUCUUAUGUUUAGUUAAGAAGAAAGCGGAAGAAAACAAGAAUAUGAGAACAGAUGGAAAUUAAUGCAAAACAAAAGGAAAAAGAAGGCAAAUUACACUGUAUUUCCUAUGAUUUAGUAUUUUUGUACAUAACGAUCCUAUAAUUUUAAAAGUUAUAUAUAAUCCCCUCAUAAUUUGGAUUAAAGUAUCAAAAUAAUAGAAAUAAUCAUUCGUAAAGGAACAUAUAAAAAUGUCGAAAUUACUCUUAUUUAAAAACUCAAAUGGUUGAAGUAAUCAACAUAUAUAAACAUAAUAUGCAUGACACUCUUACCCCGUACGAUUUUAUAUUUUAUGAUAUAACCCCCUUAUGAUUUAAUGUUUUACUAUAUAACUCCCUUAUUGUUUUCACUAUAUGUACAUAACUCGCUUGUAGUCAAUAGAUAAUUUUCAACUUUAUAUAGGGGCAUUUUUUAUAUUUUAAUUGAUUCCAUUAUAAAUUACAAAUUUCGUUACUUUGAUACUUUAAUUCAAAUCAUGAGGAAAUUAUCUAUAACUUUUAAAAUUAUAAGAAGGUUAUGUACAAAAAAAAUACUAAAUUAUAGGGGGAUAAAAUGUAAUUAGCCUGUAUGCAGCAUCCCGCCCUUUUCCUGUCACUGGAUUGGGAGGACUGUAGUAUGAAAGGCUGCAAGCAACUGUAGUACAAUACUACUACUUCAUCAUUGUUAGCUAGUGUUAUUAUUGAUUUGGUAGUAGUAUUCCUGUCACUUUUGCUGCAUUAAAUAACCUUAUUAAUCAAUUGUCACUUGCGAGAAAGCUUGAUAAAAAAAAAAAUCAUCUCCUAAAAUAAGUUGGCUGUGACAGGAAUGGGAGAGGGGUAAUGACAAUCGUUAGUAGAAUCGUUUCGAAACGAUGUAAAAGUGAAUCAACAGGCAAGUUAUCAAAUAUUUGUAAUAAACUCUUAAAACACACAUGUUAUAUACUUAAACUACUGUUCACGACGACCCUCCAAGUUAGCCAACCUUUACAACAUGAAUUUUUAUGUUAUUGGAAUCUGAGUCAUGAACCUUCCGGAACGUUCAUCAAUCUAACAAAAACACUUGCCUUGUUGUAAAGUAAACUAGAAAAAUUGCCGAAUAAUAAACUAAAUACCAUCCGUUAGCCAACCACAAGUGAUUCUUAGACUGUUUAUUCCAACAAAUUGCCGAAUAAUGAUAUAAUGAAGUAUGUAACUACUUUUUGCUGCUGUUUAAGGGAUUCAGAUUUUCUAGUGUCGGCAGUGUACACUUAGUGGUGGCUGCACUUAGUGGUAGCUGAUGAGUAGGUUUUGAAAUUAGAAAGAUAGAUUGAAUAGAUGAUACAUGUUUUCAUCGAGUGAUAAAAUUUACUAUGUAUUCUGUAGUUAUUGUUGUAGUAUCUAUUUACAUAUUUUGUCUUUAACAUUUAAUAUUUACGUCAAUUAUAUUCUGUAGUUGUUGUUGUAAUGAUUUCCACGAAGACUUCAAGUCAUCGUGAGCUAUUGUUCCGAAUUAACCCUUGAGGUUCUUGCGUGAAUAUGUUUGUACUGGAGAACGAAUAUGUAUAUCUAAUGGUGAUACAUAGGACAACUGAACGAAAAAUACUCAGAAACAAAACCAUGAUCUUCGCGCUAUAUAACAUAUGUUUUGCUGAAGAACAGACAGAAAUUCAAAAUCAAACCCGUACGAUUGAGCUUCAUGCGACAAUUUUAUUUAAUGUGGGCAUGGAUAACCAACCCAUUGUUUAUUUAUUUACCAUUUUCGUCUCCGGCAUUAACAAGCAGGAGUACAUUUGAUUUCAUCCCUCCUUCAGUAGAUAGCGAUCGAGAGGAAGGAACUGAUCAGGCAGCACGAGCAUAGGACCGUAGCAGGGAUUGGAAAUUUACCUCGUGAUGAAGGUAGGGGAAAACCAUGAUGCCUCCAUAAACAGGAGAGUUCUGCAGAUAGGGAAGAACAUAAUAAACUAGCACAUUAGGUGGGAUGUAACCGCCCUCAGGUGCGAUAUCUUUUGAGAUAGGUAUUCCCAGGAACAAUAGAUUAACGCCUGGAUAAUCAGACCAAUUGUCCCAGCUCCGGAAGAGGAGACUGGUAUCGUUUGGAGGCUUAAACUGACAAGAUGGGUUGUCGAAAAAUUCCACCCGCACCUGAUCAACGACACCAGUUCUGAUAGUUGUGUCAAGAGCAGGGUCAGGAAUAGGACAUUCCGCAGCUACGGCUAAGAUGACAUUUGGGUAUCCCUUAAGUGCCCGAGCAAGAUCAUCCAAGUAAGUCGUGUUUCCGCUGUGGAUGUGAAGCUCUACGCCAUCUAAAACAGCUGUGCCGAAUGGACGGUCGCUUGAUUCACCGCCUAAGUAAGUGUUCCAGACAAAGGCUGCCACUUCUUGCGCAUCUUCGACGGAAGAAAGCCUCGGUUGUCCUGCGAGAGAAAUAAACACUUUGGUCUGAUGUUUCUGGCAAGAUUCUAUGUCUGAUGAGCUCGGCAAAGGAUGAAUUAUGUUCAAUUCAGGCAUCUGGCCGCUGCCAAAAUCUUCCAGAAAGGCAAUAUUCACGUCGGUAGCGAAUUCUCGCCUGCAGAACUCAGCCAAACUUGAUGGUUCUUUAUGGCCUCGGCCCCAGUAUUGGACAAUUCCGGCAGCUUCGGAGGACCCAAUCAGAGAAGCAAUCAACAGGAAUGUUAUUGCUGAGAACAGUGGUUGCAAAGAGGCAGCCAUUUUUUUUCUCUUUCUUUUCAGUGAUUUUUGCAGCUUUGCUUUGGUGAGUUCACUUGCACAAUGACUGACCAUUUUAUAGAUGAGUUUAUCUCAAGUGGAUGUUCAGCAUCUAGAAUAUCCAAACAUCCGUACAACAAAACGUGAAUGGCACGAUUUCUCAUUUCUGCUCUCAAAAAGGUGAAUGGUAUUAUUUUUGUGUUUCAAUAUUGCUAGAGACUACCGUUGUGCUCGCCUAACCUCAUCCACAACUGGACGAAGAAAGAUCUUUUUCUUUCUUUUUUUUUUCUUUUGGGACAUUACAUGGCAGCUAGGGGGGGGGGGAGUGGAUCCUUGAGAUUAAUGGGAAUUGAAUCAUCAUUGAAUUAGACGAGUGGUCCAAACAUCCUCUAAAUUUUAGAAGAAAUUGCAUAUCAAAUGAUAAUUGAUGAAAGAUAAAAUUCGAACCUCGAUAAGAGAAAACUAGGAGUCUUGUUUGAAAUGUAAAAUUUUCAUGAACAUUCUUGAAGUAAAAAGAGUGCUCAAGUAGCCUACGAAAUCCUUCAACUAUGGUACAAUAAAGUGAAAUGGGUGCCUUUCAAUGUGCAAUAAUGGUAGGGGCAACUAUUCUUCUAACUGCUGCUUCAAAUGCAAUUUUUAAUUUACACUUUUUACCAUCUCUCUAUAUCUUUAAAAAUUAAAGUAACCUGCACAACAUGCCCUUACUAUGUGCACAAAUAUUCAUACCGAUGUGCAAAACUUUGGAAUGGUCCUAGUUGUAUAUAUUAGUAAUAGUAGAAAUGUAAAGUUCAAUACUUCCACCUCAAAAGUAACUGCAAAAUAUGUCAGUUGGAAUGAUCCCAUUUAAAGUUCAGAUCACCCCUUAUUUAAUUAUGUUAAGUUCUUAAUAUUUUCCCAUUCAAUCCUUCAUUCAACAGCGGUGAUGGUGCUGUGACGUUUGGUCUUAAGCAAGAAAAUUUUUUUCCUCGCCCUCAGUGUGAAUGUGACUCUCAUAUAUAAAUAAUCUCAUAGCAAAACAUGUUCUUACUGAUCGCAGAAGUGAAGCUUGUACACAGGAAUGUAUAGAUUCCAGUUACAUCCAACUAAUCACUGUUUAAGCAUACGAAUUAGCCAUCACGGGCUAAGACACAGAGGCAAUUCCAGUUGGUUCUAGAUAAAGGGAUCUUCCUCUAACCUGCUGUCACAUCCUUUACAGGAGCCAAGACAGCAGGAACUAUGUCCACAGCCGAGAUAUGUCUCUGCUGAAACAUAGCCAAAUUCCUUGCUGUCCAUAGCUAGUAUAGGCUCAAAACCCUCUUCUCUUUCUUUGCUUCUUAAAUUCCACCCUUCAAUCCUAUGCUACUCAUCCUAUUUUUUAAGAAUUUUAAUUUAUUUAUUUUUUAAAAAAAUUGAUUCAUGUCUUCUGUUUGGAUCCAUGUCUUUGCUGCUUUUAAUUCCUUAAUUUAACGUAGCCCCAAACACGGCAUAUAAUAGUCACUCUCUUAAUAAAUGCAAUUAAUUAAUCAUACCAAAUAUAACGUUUGGAUUAGGUAUUGUAGCACACCUUAGUUUUAUUCUGUUCCCUAUUUUACUUAGUUUCAAACAUGCCCUAUAAUAAUCAACCCUCUAAUGAUGCAAUUAAAUAAAUAUACCAAAAAUAUCUAUACAUAUUUGAAACUAAACAUAAUUGUAUCCAUAACAAUCAAUAUAAAAAAUUAACUAAAAAACAAUCUUUGACUAACAUAAACUAAUAAUCUAAGUUCUUGUCCUCCAAAGAAAUAACAAUAUUCCAAAUCAUAUAAGUUGAACAGCUUAGCAAAUUAGCAAAAUUGACUAACAAACACAACACAAGGUUACAAAAUAUUCAACAUUUCUGUAUUCUUUUUCUAACUAAAAUUUACAAAUCAUACCCAAAAAAAGAACUAAUCUAAGUUCCUAUCCUCUAAAGAUAUAACAAGAUUCCAAAUCAUAUAGUUGAACAAUUUACCGAAUUAGCAAAAUUGACUAAAAAAAUACAAAAAGAGAACAACAAAAUUUUCAAUAUAUUUUGUAGUGCUUUCCUAAAUAAAAUUUAAAAAUCAUACCCAAAACAUAAAAAAAAAUGAAAUAUACUUAUCAGAUACUUCAAUUAUUAGAAUCAUCAUGCACAGAAAAUAAAAAAAAAUAGCUCUAAAUUUCAGCCCAGACCUAGAUCUAAAAUUGGACCUGAAUUAUAUAUAAUCGGACAUUAUUCAUGCUAUUAGAAUUGAUAGAUUUUGUUCGAGCAUAAAAAUGAAAUAUAAUAUUUUUACCUAUUCUUUUGUUACACAAUCAAAAUUAAAAUUAUGUUAUAGUUAUGACUAAAAGAAAUGGAGAAGUAUAUUUUGCAACUACUUAAACUUUUUAUUUAAACUAAAGACAUAUUGAAACUAGGAAAAUUAGUUUAGAAAAGAUAAUAUGAAAAUAAUGCACAAAAUUUGGCUCUAUAGAUGUAGCAUCUACAGAAAGGACGAUUUGCAUUUAGGGGUUGCGGGGAUAUGGAAAAGUAGCAUGGAAUGGGGUUGAUGCAAGGUAGAGUAUGAGGACAAGGGAAGAAGGAAGUAGGAAAGUGGUGAUGUGGGGGGUCGUAGGAAAAGUUAAAGGAAGCUAAAUUUACGCAAUGAUACUAAACUACUUAAAGUUUGAAAUUCCAAUUGAAAAUAUUAAUAUUAUGAAAAUUAGUUUAGGAACGACAAUUCACAAAAAUUACACAAAGUAUGGCUCCAUUUUGAUGGGUUACUUUUAGAAAACUUUCAUAAUGGGAAUAUUCUUUUAAAAUCUUUAUAUGCAGUAUUUUUUGGGUCUUUUUUGAAAAUUUUUGGUAUGUUUUCAUUGAUGGCAUUGAGUAUACUUAAAAAUGGUAGGUAAGUAAUAAAAUGAGUCUCGGGAAUAGAAAAAGAUAGUUGGCAAUGGGAGUGUAGGUAGCAAUUGGUAAAGAUUUAAGUUGACUAAGUUUACUUAACAAUAUUAAAUUUACUAUGAAUUAAUCCUAUAUACACUGAUAGUGUAUACGCUAUCAUUAUUAGAUAAAUGAUAUAUGUGCAAAAUUUGAAUUUAAAAUUCAAAAUUUACUCAUAUGUCAUCCAUUCAAUCGUGAUAGUGUAUAUAAAAUUUAUUCAUUUAAGUUAUAGAAAUAUUAGAUUUACAUUUUAUUAUCACUUUAUGAGAUUAAAUUUACUUAACAAUAAAAUUUACUUAACGAUAUUAGUUUCAUAUUUCUAUUUUACCUAUUAAAUUUACUUAAUAAUAUUGCUGUAAGUCCUAGAGCUGUUAAUUGAGUCGAGUAUUUGGCUGCCGAGCUCGACUCAAGUUUAAUUCAAGUCGAGCUCGACUCGAGCUCGUUAGGAAAACGAGUUUUAAAAUGUGUUCGAAUUCGAGUCGUUAAAUGUACAUGUGGCUCGACCAAUUUUUAUAUCACUCGUGUCCUCAUCAAAAUGGGUGCCCGUCAAAAAAAAGUCUCUGCGUGAUGCAGAGAACCUCUGCGUAAGUGUAGACUUUUCACAAUUCCACGUGUAUGGAAUUUUUUAGACAUCGACCGUACAGACGUGGAUUGGUUUGAUACAGUCAGGGAUUUAAAGGUCAAAUAUCAUUUGGAAUGAACGGUUCCUGUAGCUGAUAGGAGGACACGCCUCCCAAGGGAGAUUUCCUCAUACGGAAUAUCUUUCAUUUUCCAUGGCGGAUUGAGACUUCCAUCGUCCACUUGUCCCCACCUUACCCGUCGCCAAGUUUUUCCACACAACUAAUCAUUCCGAUAUCUUUAAUUGAAUGGGGAUAUCUUUUGCAUUUGUCUUUUGUGCUGUUACGUAUAAAAUAGUCGAGUUGAGUUAUUAAAGUUUUUUAUUUUAAAUGAAAGUUUUAAUUGUGCUGUGUAUUUCUGGAUUUUAAUAUAUGUUUUUAUUUGUCAUUAAAGCAAUAAUUCGUUAAUGAAUUAUGUUUUAUUAUGAAAAAAAAAGAGAAUAGAUACGUCAAAUAAUCUACUGAGCACCUAGUAGUAAGUAAUACAAUAAAUAUUGUUGAAGAUCUGCACUCUUGAUUGGCCUAUCUGUGUUGCAUUUCCUGACCAAACUGUAAUUGAUGGAAUUUAGAUCCGAUCAAGGAUUACUCGACAUAAAGGAGAAUAAUUGCAAGAUCAUUUGCUUAGCAAAGUAUGUGGAUCCCACUCCGUACGUUUUGUCGGCUUACUCUUGGAAAUGGACUAUUCCAUCCAACCGGCUUUUACCCGAGAGGUAAUUCUGACAUCAUUUCACAUAUUUUCUGGGAAAAUUUUUAAGUGGUUGCUUUUUUUUUUUUUUUGAUUGAAACGAUAGAAUUAAGUGGUUGUCAUUCUAUCAACAAUUUUCUAUAGACAUAGAUAAAUGAUGCUUUAUCUGAACUUUUUUUUUCCAGUAAUAAUACAUUGUAUAAUCUACUUUAUCCUAAUUUAAAAAGAAGGAAAGCCUAAAGAGGUUUGUGUUAGAGGUUAGUAGGUAUAUAAACUCAACUAAACUAAGAAAGUGUUAUGACACUACCCUUACAUUUUUUUUUACUGUCAAUAAAGUUUGAACCCUUGCCUACAGUCCAAAAGGGACUUAAGUCCAUAAGCUCAGUGGCUUGAAGCUUCAUCUGAACUUAGCUUUUGUGAAUAUUAUUCGUGUCACGUGACUGCAUUGGAUAAGCUUAUUAUCAACUGCCACUUGUACUAACUGACAAGCUCUUAUGUAGUUGAGAGAGAGCCUGAUAAAUAAAUUAAAGUGACGGUCAUGGUAAAUUUCUUCUCAUGAUCCGUGAAUGGAGUUAAUUGUUGCUGAAAUACUCUCUCCGUUCCACUUUGAUAGUUCUGUAUUUCUUUUUUAUCUAUCCCAAAUUAUAGUUCACUUUCUAAUUGAAGAAUGUAAUUGUAUUUUAAUUUUCCUAAAAUAUUCUUAUUUAAUGUAAGUAGUUGUUACUAUAAACCUAUCUCAUUUAAUGAGAGUUGAUUCUUUUUUUACCAUCAAUUUAAGUUUUCAUAAAAUUAUACCAUAUUUAAUGUGGGGGUAUUUUAGAAAAAUAGCAAUUUAAAUUUACUUUUCCAACAAAGUUAACUACAUUUUCUUAAACUGUGUGAAAAAAGAAACAGGACUAUCAAAAUGGAACGGAGGUUGCAGGAAAAAGGGGCGGGAAUGAUUGUCAACAGAACCUUUCUUGAACGGUGUAAAAGCGGUUCAACGAGUUGCGUUAAUUCGCCAUCAGCUUGCAAACCCUUAGAAUAUAAUGUUAGCUACUGUUCAUAUUGUCCCGUACUGCCAUGCUUCAUAUUGAGUCAUUACGAAUAAAAGCCCUAACGUUUCAAUGUCUGGACUAAGUAUAUAAAGUGAUAAAGUAAGAACCAAAAUCUAUCAAGCGUAUUAUCAUUCUACUAACAAGAACUGGACUUGAUUAAUGAUAAUUAUAAUGCCAUAGCUUUCAACUGGUUCCAAGUGAGAACUUACAAAAAGUAGUUCAACUCAAUGACAGCUCCUGUACUAAUACUUGUCACCAAUCCAUAAGCCCUGACGUCACAAAGAGGAAAAGUAAAAGGCAAAUAAGUAGCAACUCGAAUCCGAACUCGAGUUGAGCUCGGUCAAUAUCAAAUUCGAAUUGACCAAAUCGAACUCAAAUUUGAAAAUAUUUAAUUUGUUAGCUCGCGAGCCAACUCGAUUAUAUAAAUAUAUAUAUUAUUUUUUAUUUUAUUAGUAAAAUAUUAUAUAUAUAUCACUAAUAUUUUAUUAUUUAUUAAGAAAAAUUAUUAUUUUAUUUAUUUUUAAAAAUAAAAUAAUUUUUUUUAUUUUUUUAAGCUCGACCUUGAGUUGAAACUCGACUCGAACUUUACAUUUUGAGUUCGUUGAACUCAAAUUCGAGUUUGCGUUUCAUAAAAUUAAAUUGUGAUUCAAUUCGAUUAGGUCAAAACUCGACUCGACUUGACUUGUCCCGUUUCGUUUGCACCCGGAAGGAAGGACCUUAGUAGUGAUUCCUAUCAAUUUCUUUGAUUUAAGGUUUCAGUUCUGCCUGGGAAAAGGUGAAGAGGCACCACUAGCAUGGCUGUAGACCUAGUAGCUACAAUAAAGGCAUCAAGUUGCCCCGCCAAAAUCCGGCCAACCUCCAUCGCCAAUUAACCAAAAGAUAUUUUUAUCAUAGCUAAUAUUUGAGAAUAGGCAAUAAGGGAUAACCUAAGAUUAGUAAGUAGAUUUUUGACUAAAGGAGGAGAAGGCAUUUGGAGAGGUAGGCAUGCUUUUUUUUUUUUGUCGGUAACGGUAGAUAUCUUAUAACCUAAUCUAGGCUAAUCUAGGGGAGAGGGGUAAGGGGAGAUGGUCAAUUAAAAUCAGCCACAUAUUGUGGUAAAAUUUGAAAGAGAUAGGGAUAGAAUUCCUAACCUCCAAUAUCACCAAAGAGGGUGAUGAUCACUGGACCAAAUGACCGUGACAUUUGGAGAGGUAGCAUGCAGUUGAGCAACUUUAAGAAAAUGCUCGAGAUGAGGAAGACGAAGAGAGGCGAAAUUUCCUAGCUAGGGGAGAAUCGAUCGGGUGGCUUCAACCUUAUUGGUCCAUGAAUUUCUUUGACCCAUGGCCCUUCACGCGGUGUCUUCGUACGUCUCGCACUGGUACUAGACUACUAGGUUGUUUAUCGGCCGAUAAUUUGAUUAAAAAUUCAAUUUUUUUUUUCAAUUUUUUCAACAAUGUCAACAUCCAAUUACCGUUCAAACUUUUAUUUAGUAAUUGGAUAUUGCAAAUUGGAUUACGACCGAAUAAUUAGUAUUUCAGUAAAAUAUCCAAAGUUUUAGAUUGAUUUUCUAAUAUAUAUUAGUUAAGUAUAUUUAAUAUGUAAUUAAUAAUGUAAAAGGUUAUUAAUAUGUUCAUUAAUAUGGUUUUAAGGUCAUAUAUUUGUCUAUAAACAUAUAUUAUAACUUAUAACACUAUUGAUUGAUACAUCAAUAUGCAAUAUGAUAUAUUAAUAGGCAUGAAAUAUAUAAAAUAUUUAAUUAAAAUAUGAAAUUCGGUAACUCAGUCGGUGGUAAUCGAAAAUUCGAGAAUCGAAAUUCAAUAUCAAAUGACAAACUGUUUUGCCAAAAUUUAAAAUUGGAUCUUAAUCGGUUUUUCCAAAUUUCAUUUUACCGACAUCCGAUUUUCGAUCUAAAUUGAAUCAAUUGAUUAUUCGAUUUUUCUUUUUUUUUUUUUUUGGAAGUGCGAGCACCCUUAGCUCGCUGGUACCGGGGUAGCCAGCCAAAUUACAAUUGACCAGCUGAAUUGACAAAUCCUGAAAUCCAAUUCCAGUCUCUUUCUCGUCUUUAUAGCAGUCUAUCGCAAAAGAUUUCUCGUCUUUAUUGUUCCGUGCUUCAACCGGUAAACUUAGACGGCGAUGGGUAUCUAUUUGGGCAGGGAAACACCAUGCAUUUAGGUGUCACUGCAUGACGUGCAGGAAAAGUUAUCGUGCGGGCCAUGACUUGAACUCAUCGUGCUCACUAGCUAUUGGCUACUGCAUCAAACACGUACCCCAAAAAGGAACAAGAGAAAAAGGGUAUCCAAUGGAGCAUUUCUUUCCUUUAGUAGUUUCUAGCUAAUUACUUUUCUUUUCAUCAGCCAAAUUCAAUUAGGUGAGAUGAUUCCUCGAAACUACUGAGCCAAGCUCAGGGGCCACCCACUUUAAGUGAUUCCGAGACAGGUAAAUAAUGCGUUCGUAGUCUAGGUCAACGGUGAUUCAAUUUUUAUCGAUUUUUUUGGACUAUUUUAGAUUCCUCUCCUAAUAUAAAAUAAAUAUAAAUCUAUCAUAUCCGAAAAAAAAAAAGAGAUGCUUCCUCGAAGUUUAAUAGUAAAAAAAAGUGGACAAUAGUAGAAACCCAAAGUUUCACAAUCUUUCAUUUUUUUUGGUUCUGGGGGUUUGGCUGUAUGUUACGUGUGUCGUCGUAUCAAAAUUAUACCAUAGUGAUUUAUCAUUUUGAUCGACGGGACAAAAUGAUAUUUUAUUAGGAGAAUGUUAUAAUCAAGUAAAUAGUAGAACUCCCAUCCCUAAGUGUCUAAUUAAUACAGACACAAACGGAGGUGUGAUUGUAAUCUAGAAACUAAACCAUAUACCACAUAAGCGGAGCAAGUGGAAUCUACUAUUCACCCUCUUUUUUUUUUCAAAAACGAAAAAGAAGAAAAAAAAAACUUGUUUGUUUAAGGGUGUAAUUGUAGUUUAAUAUGAGUUUCAAUUUUUCCCCCAAAAAACUAAUUCUGUCCCUCAUGUGUAGAUCAUUGUAUUGUCAUAAAAAAAAAAUAGUUUAUUUCCUUAUCUUAUAAAUCAUAACCUAUCAAGUUUUGCAUAUUGCUGGCCAAAAUUAAUUUUUUUUUUAUUAUUUGUUGAUAUUUUAUGAAACAUUCUCUCAUAUCCAACUAUAAACAAAACAGGAGGAGGAGUUGCGGUGUUAAAAUUUUGUGCCAUCUUUUACAUUACCUUUUUUGUUCUUACACUAGGGUAAAAUGGCCUAACCAUAUUCAAAAAUUACUUUUUCUAGUUUUAUGUGGAAUUUUUAGCUUUGUUGCUAAUCAUUAUAAUUAAAGGUAACUAAUGAAAAAUAACUACUCGUAUUUUCACCAAAGAUUAUAAAAACAAAAUUUUUUUCAACAUGUAAAACUGAUUUCUAGAAAACUACUUUUUACAACUAAAAAUUAUAACUAGGUUAGGACUGAUUUUUUUGGAUCGUAAUGUAGGUAUCAAUAUCAAACUAAAUCCAAAUAAAAAUGAAUCAGUGUUUCCAUUUUAAUUUGUAUGUCACCAAGGAUUUCUCCCACAAGCACGCAAUGAUUUUCCACCAUGAUUUCAAAUUUGAAGACUUUUAAGUUGUCGUCGUGUUAAUAUCAACUUUGUAUAGUAUAGUGUAUAGUUCCUCCCUACUUCCUACAACACAGAACUACUUCCUCCCUACUUCCUCUCUACUGCUUUCUAGCUUUUCUGUCAAUAACUCUAUGAACUACUCAUUAAUGAUUUUUAAGUAUUUUUGAACCAUUGAUUAUGGUAGCUGGAUAAAUUCUUAUAGUCAUGUAAUGUUGAUAUACGUUGCAUCUCCUGGAUUAGUUUUCUACCUCCUUCACCAUUGCAAGAAGUAAUGAUUUGGCAAUUUGUAUAUUUCAGACUAGACAGACUUGACUUUAAUUUCCAUAUAUCUUUUUCUUGUUAUAAAUAUUGAACUUUAAUUUUUUUCUGAAAUUGCAAAGAGAAAACUACAUUUCUCUAUUUUUUUAAUAUUGCCACAAAAUCUGUAGAUUAUUAUUGAACAAUAUAAAAGAAAUAAAAUAAACUAACUUAAAGCUAACAUAUAUGUGCCACAAAUAAUUUUACAGCCAAGAUAGAGGUUGAUGGUAUGUGAUAAGAAGCCCUUUCCAGAUACGCCUUCCAGGAGAGAAUUGAAGUAAUGGGAACGAAGUUAAAUUGGCAUUGUAUCUACUGAUGGAACUGUUAGAAUCGCGUCACAAUCACUACCAGUAACUCAGCCUAUGAUUUGUUGUUCCUCGAAAAUUGUUAUCCAUAUUAAAGUUCGAAAAACAAUUUAACCAAAUCGUAUGGAGUACUAUUCAUCCAUUUUUUUGGUCUUUACUUUAACAGCACAACUUAGAGACAUUAUUGAGUUUCUGCAAAUUCUUUUGUCAAAAAUGGCCCAAGGAUGAUUUUUAUUUGAAAACUACAAUAUUUUUGGUCUCUUAGCUUUUCAAAUUGUCUAAAAUAAUGCUAGAUUUCUGCUCUAGAAUACUAAUUUAGUCUUUCAAUUGUCAACUAUUGCACUGAAUUUUCACUUAUUUAGGAGGUGGCUGGGGAGAGGGGAGGAGAGCGAAGAGGGAGAAGGAGGAGUGGAGAGGAGAGAGAGUUAGGGAGGAAGGGAGGGAGUAAGAAGGGGAAAAAAAAAAAGAGGACUCCGCCGGCUACCGCGAGCAGUGGGGAGGGAAGGAGGAGGAAAAUCAAUGAGGUGGAGGAUAUGAAGAGGAAAGGAAAGAAAAGAAAAAGAAAAAAGAGGAAAACUUUUACACAUUUAAAUAAGUUUUUUAUUUUAACAAAUUUUACAGUAAGAUACAGUAAAAUUAUAUACAAACAUACAAAAAAUUCAUUCGCUAAAUAGGGCCUACAUAACACACAACCUGGUAGUACCAAUCACUAUUUCAGUACACAAAUAAUCAAGAGUUAAAACACACAUGAGGCAAGCCAAGCUCCCAAGCCAAUUCGCAGCUGGUUCUAGUCAAAGGGAUCUUCCUCUAACCUGCUACCACAUCCCUCGCAGAAGCCAACACAGAGAAAGUAUGUCCAUAGCCGAGACGUGUCUAUGCUGAAACAUAGCCAAAUUCCUUGAUCUCCUUAGCUAGUAUGCCACAAUUUUUGAGAGAGAGAGAAUUAUAUUUGGAAGUGACUGAAUUCCAAGAUUACAUGCAUCUAUCAGAAACUAAUAUUGUUUUGUGGAUACGAAAUUCAAAAAUCUAAAGAAGUAGGUCAUCUUUGAAUAAUAAAAACUAAAGGGCAUCCACACUUUACAUAUGAUUUAGACUAAAUAAUAAUAAUUUGCCAUAAUCAACACGUUGGAUGAUGCAAUUGGACGUUCAAAAAGAAUCAAAGAUCAAGCGCAAACGUGUUGGUACUAUAUUAUGAAUUGGUUUAACAUUAAUUUGCCUGUAACCUCCUAUAGAACUCACCAAACUAAGCAUAAAUGCAUGGGGCCCAAGCACUAAUUAUUUGAGCAAGAUUAUUUCCCACUUUGUGUGACGACAAAAAGAAUGUGGGAAGUUCUGUAGUCAUGUGAUAUAGAUCAAGGUAGCAUCUUCCAAGGAGCACUUCCUGAGUUCCUGUGGCCGAUACAAAUACAACGUUGUUGAACUAAUCCCCAAAGGACCUCUUCGUGUUGUCGGUUUUGCCAAUGUCUCGUCUGUAUCACCUGUUUACCUCCAUUCAUGUAUAGUUGCCAUUGUGUUCGUUCUAUGCAUAUAUCCUGUUGUUUGGUUUAAGAUUCCUCAACUCGAGGUAGGAAUUGGGAAUCCCUUUUUGUUUGGAAGGCAAAUAUUUUCCAGAAAAUGUUUUCCUGAUUUUCCAUUGUUUGAUUGGGUUAUUGCUUGCGAAAAUUUUCCACAUAAAUGAACUGAAAUUAUUUUUCAUGUCCGACUUGUAAGGCUAUUCAUUCAUGCUCCCUUCUUUGCUGUUUUCUCUCUUUUUUUUUUCUCUGUCUCUGUCUUUCUUUCUCUCAGAUACACAGUGUUAGGAAAUUGGCUUAAAUUCUUUUAGGUAGAUUUCUUAUUUGGUGUGGGAAGUGACUAGUUUCCUAAUUGGAUUUAGUUACUUGAAGUAGUAGUCAAGUAAAGCCCUAUUUAGCAGAAAUUAGAUGCUAUUUCUAUAUGAGUUUAGGAAAUAGUAUUGGUUUCCAAAUUGUUAUUUGGUUUUUUGGCAGUAAUGUUCCCUAUAAAUAGGUGGGUUGGCAUACUACACACACAAGAAGACACGCAAAAGAAGACACAAGGGGCCUCAUGUAGCCUUAUACAUGGGGUGUGAGAGAGGGUUCUUGGGAGAUGAGAGAUGGUAUACAAGGGUUGGGUUUGGGUUCAAAUUGUAUUCUUGUAUAGGGUUUUUCUCUCAUAAUAAAGAACAGGUUUCUCUCCUUGGAUGUAGGCUCAAUGGUGGAGCCGAACCACGUUAAAUAUUGUGUGUCGUUUAUCUUUCAUGCUUGUGGCUUGUUUCUCAUUAAAUUGUUGUGCAUUUGAUAUCUCAAUAGUUGUUUAUUCCGCAUCUGGAUCCCAACAAGUGGUAUCAGAGCCAGGUUGCGAGACUUGACUGCUCAAGGUUCAUAGUUGGAUCCUAGUUAACUAUUGAGAUCAAGUGGAUUGAUAGUUGUCACCAAUUGAACAAUUUAAUGGGUGGUAUCCUUGUUUCAAUGGCUUGGGAAAAACCAUUGAUGGUGAAGGAUGGGAAGUCGAAAAGCAUGGAAAUGCUUGACAGUGAAUCUAAGCAGGUGAUUCAAGGGUCAAGGAAAAGGUGGAGUCCAAUGUUGAUUUUGGACGUGAAUCGGUGGAGACUUUCUCACAUAUCCAACGGUUGAUUCUUCAUCCCGGUGAAUUUUAGAUUUUGGUUAUGUUUUUUGGGUGGUGUGGCACGUGUCCCAAAGAAAUAAGGAGAUCUAAUUUCUAUGCGCCAGAAGACUCUGACAAGUACGAGUUUUUCGUUUUAGGUGGAGUCUUGAAAACCACAUGUGGCGAGACAGUCCUGAGAAUGGGAAGAAGUAUGGUGACUUUACCACUUGAUUGUCUCAAUGGUUAGGGUUAGAGCUCACAGAAGGGAAUCCCAGAUUGCAAGUGCUGAUGAGAAGAAAUCCUGCAAAGGGAGACGGUGAAUUGAGGCACCUUCUCACGAGUCAACUGGAGGUUGGACUCGGGGUAACUACACAUGUUCAUUUGCCGAUUGAAUCAAUUUGGUAUCAGGACUGUAUUGAUUCGGAUGUGUAGUUUGGUACCAUAUUAUUUGGUAGUUGAAGGCAAAUGGUUUCUAAAAGAAAUUUUCGCCAAGGUGGAGAUUUGUUAGGAAAUUGGCUUAAAUUCUUUUAGGUAGAUUUCUUAUUUGGUGUGGGAAGUGACUAGUUUCCUAAUUGGAUUUAGUUACUUGAAGUAGUAGUCAAGUAAAGCCCUAUUUAGCAGGAAUUAGAUGCUAUUUCUAUAUGAGUUUAGGAAAUAGUAUUGGUUUCCAAAUUGUUAUUUGAUUUUUUGGCAGUAAUGUUCCCUAUAAAUAGGUGGGUUGGCAUACUACACACACAAGAAGACACACAAAAGAAGACACAAGGGGCCUCAUGUAGCCUUAUACAUGGGGUGUGAGAGAGGGUUCUUGGGAGAUGAGAGAUGGUAUACAAGGGUUGGGUUUGGGUUCAAAUUGUAUUCUUGUAUAGGGUUUUUCUCUCAUAAUAAAGAACAGGUUUCUCUCCGUGGAUGUAGGCUCAAUGGUGGAGCCGAACCACGUUAAAUAUUGUGUGUCGUUUAUCUUUCAUGCUUGUGGCUUGUUUCUCAUUAAAUUGUUGUGCAUUUGAUAUCUCAAUAGUUGUUUAUUCCGCAUCUGGAUCCCAACACACAGAUCAUACGCACUUAGGGGGAGAUCUAGACUUGAAAUUGAAAGGGGCUAUAGGGAGAUCGUGAAGGAUGCUAGAGAAAGUUUUGAUGUAUGAAAAUGAAAUGAAGUUGUUAAUUUUGUGCUAACAUACUGUAAAUUUGAGGUAUGUUCACGUUCAAUGGACAUUAACUGUUACCGUUUGAAUUGCUAUUUUCUGGAACCUUUUUUUUUUAUAAAAAAUAUACUAUAGUGAUUUUGAUAUAUGUAAAAUAAAAAAAUAAUUGAAAAAUAUGAUCACGAAAAACGUAAAAAUUUUUUGAGGAAAAAUGGCUUUUCCAAACAAUUGCUGAAACUUUUUUGAGGUGUUGAUUAUGGUGGAAGAACGGUGGCUUUUAGGUAAGAGCCUGAGAUUUGGUAUGGGCUUGUGAACUAAAGGGUAUCUUAACUGCUUGAAGAAGAGUAAGUUCUGACAGUGGAUCCCUCAAGAAUUUGUCAUCCAUAAGUUAAUAAUUAUCAACCAACGUACAUAGUAGUUAACAAAAUAUACCUGUUCUUGUUCUCAGGUUUUCACUUUUCGGCAUAAGAAACCCACAAAAACACUACAAAUUUGUAGCAAACAGUACUGGGACGGAGAGUGGAUUAAUCCGGAGAAGAGAAGGGGGCGUCGGCAAUCCUGUGUUUUAAAACUCGGACCGGACUGGCCGGUUCGACUGGUCGAACCAGGAAGUCGAACUCGGAACCGGACAAGUGUUCAGUCCGAGUCAUGUUUAAAAACCAGGUAAGUAAAAAAUCGGUCAAAAUCCGGGUUUGACCGGAAAAAACCGGAUUUUCCGGUUCAAACAGUUUUUUUUUUUUAAAAUAAACUUUUUUAAUAUUAUGUUUUGACCCCUAGAUUGUUAAAAAUUAUUAAUAUACCUCAAAUAUUUCAUACUUUAUCAAUAUUUUCUUAAAGUUUGGUAUUGUUUUUCAAUUAAGUCCAUAAUUUUAAUUCUAAACUUGUUAAUGCUCAUUAAAUAAUAUAAAUUGUUAAUUGAUUGUUCUAAUUUCUUUGUAUUUUCUUGUUCAAUAUAUUUAAAUUAUCAAAUAUAUAUGAAUAUACCUUUAUUAAUAUUAACAUGUUAUUAGGUAUUUUAUAUAUAAUAUUUUAAUUUUUAAAUAAUUUUUAUUUAUGACGUCAUCCGAUUCAACCCCUAUUGAACCCGAUUGAAUCCAUUGACCCCUGACCCCUAAGUUUGAUCGAGUCGAUACCUGGUUCGGUUCUGAAAACACAGCGGCAAUCACCUGGACUUGGUUCAUAUUACACGCCCUGCUGUUUUGCUAAAUCAGUGUGUGAUGGAAUAAUCAGGCCCCUCCCUCGACAGUUUCAUCUAUGGUAGAAAGCUGACUCAUGUGUGCAUGGUGGGAAGAGCAAAGGAAAUUUGGCCAAGACAUUAUUGUGGGGCUGGGCAGGAUGCAGCUAUUAAAUGAACUACUGGAUAUCGGGGUUGAUUAUGGGUCCCAUUGUAUUUCUAGGAGAAAUAAAAUGCAAGUCCCUCAACAACUCAUGGGCACUCAUUUGCACCCAAAAAAUUUGGCAUCAACCGGGGAGCAGCUCCCCAGGCCAAAUUGGUCAAAUGCAAUAAUCCUUGGAGAUAUGUGGAAAUGAAGUCAUGUGUACUCCAAUCUUAAACUAUAAAUGCUUACCUGAUGAAAAGUUAUAACUGUUUAAAUUUAAUUAUUAGUUGACUUAGAUGAGUAAUUAUAUGCAUAAAUAAUUAAAAGAAAUUAAUUUUAUAUAAAUUUAAUUUUUACAAAAAUAAAUUUAUUAUAAAUUUAUAGCAAUUUGGCAAUUACAAUACUUAGGGUAGUUAUAUUGGCAAAAUGUGAUUAAGUAAUUAGAGCAAAAAUUAAAAGGUUUUCCCUAAGGAUAAAAUUGAAAGUCUAGAAAAUGACAUUAAAAAGCUUACACUAACUGUGAUCCCUCUAACUUUUUAUAUUGCAUAGAUAGUGGCUUUUUAACUGGAAUCAAAAUUAUAGAUGAAUAAUUAGAAACAUAAUUAACAAAGUGUUACAAAAAAAAAAAAAACCAGAAUCGUGACAUAAUUAACGUGGUAGAUUUUAAUUUAAAUUUAGAAAUUAAAUAAGUAAUCUUAUACGCAACAUGGUGACUUUCAAAUCGAUAUCAAAUUUGUAGAUGAGUAAUUAUAAAUAUAAUUAACAUAGUACACCAAGAAACUAGAAUUGAGAUUAUAGAUAAAAUAAUCACAAACAUAAAUCACAUAAUACAAAAGUUUCAGAGAUUGAACGUUUGAACUAUUGAAAUAACUAGAUAGUUACCAACUUAAGUUCUAACUCCGCAACUAGUUGUAUUGGAUAACCAAUUAUAGUAAAAAUCAAAAUUUACUCUUAAAAGUAAGUGUUGAAUUAAAAGAUUUUGUUGUGAUAAGGAUUAUCUAAUGAGAGCAAAUCCAUUGAAACAAACAAGCAACGAUAUCUAGAUAAAUGUCAAUUACAAUCUCGUAUUCAAAUGAAUAUACAUAUCCAAACAAUGCACUUAACGAUAAAGUAAAGAGGUGAGACCCAACACAUUAUUUAAAACACAAACAUUGUUUAGAGUAGUUACACUAGUUAUAUUGGCAAAAUGUAAUUACGUAGUCAGAGCAAAAAUUGGUUUUUCUUUAAGGAUAAAAUAGAAAGUUUGAAAAAUGACAUAAAAAUGUUUACACUAACUACGAUCUCUCUAACUUUAUAUGUUGAAUAGAUAGUAGCUUUUUAAUUAGAAUCAAAAUUAUAGAUGAUUUAUUAGAAACAUAAUUAACAUAGUACUUCAAGAAACUAGAAUCGUGACAUAAUUGACCUAGUAGAUUUUAAUUUAAAUUUAGAAAUUAGAUAAGUAAUCUUAUAUGUAACAUGGUGACUUUUAAAUUAAUAUCGAAUUUGUAGAUGAGUAAUCAUAAACUUAAUUAACAUAGUACUUCAAGAAACUGGAAUUGAGAUUGUAGAUAAAAUAAUCAUAAAUUUUAGAAGAAAAUACUCUCCUUUUUGAAUAAUAAAAAAUUUAGAGUAGCAAGUAUUAAUCUCUUUUCCUUGGUAAUCUUAUUAAUAUUGAAAAAUAUAUAUAAAGAUUAGGAGGGGGAGUGGGAGUGAGAGAGAGAGAGAGAGAGAGACCUAGAAUGUGUCUUAUGCACUAAUAUAAUAUUAAGUACCAAUCAUUCAUUGACUUUUCUUUUUCUUUACUUACAAUUGAUUAUUAAUUCAUUUUGCAUACUCUCAAAACAUUAAGUUUAAAAAAAUUACUCAUGGUUUGGCGAUUGCAUCGCACAUUUCAUGAAUUUUCACAAAAAAAUGAUCUACACAAAUUAUGGCAUGCAUCUAGGUAAUUAGUGUAUACACUAUCAAUUUAAUUUAGAUUAGUCUUUUUUUAUACCAUCCAUCCAAUAUUUGGGAGCAUCACUAAGUGUUGUUAAUACACAUUUUUCAUCUUUUAAAUUCCUUUUGUAUCUUACUAUUAAGAGUAUUUAAUUUUUCCUCACAUAUAUAAAAAUUAUGGUUUCUUGAGUAGUUUUGUUAAUUAAUUAUUUACUAGUUACUCGCCCUCCUUUCUGUCCCUUUCUUUUUUUUAAGCACUUCAUUUGUAAAAUUUCAAUUAAUGUUAGUAAUUAGCAAAUAAGUAAAUACCGUACAAAAAUCAUCAUAUUAUAAAAAUUCUUUUACAAAUUAAAUUUCAAAUUCAAAAACCAAUUGUCAUGAAAAAAUACAUUUUUAAAUGACCAUAAAAUUAAUUACUUCUACAUACAUAGGGAAACUUAAUGCAACAAUGGUACGAAUUUAAGUGAUUCUUUGACUUUUGUUCUUUUAUUUAUUUAUUGCUUAAGUUUAUCAAUUAUUGAUCCAUUUUUCACUCUCUUAUAAUAUUCUACUUGUUUGGAUUGUAAGUUAUUUGGAAUAUUUUUACUGUAACACUUUUUAUGACGUGAUGUAUGUGAGAUAAAAAGCUAAUUGGGAAGAUAAAAAGAUAUAUUAAAAAUUAUAAUAAUGAUGUAAGCAAAUAAAAUUGAAAAAAUAAUACUUAAUCCAAACAAACCUUAUUAAGUUUAAAAGAGUUAGCAUCUAUACCAACCAAUUUAUAUCGAUAUUGUUGUCCACUACUUCAGGUAAUAUAAACUUUGCCGGUUACCUUUGGCCCUUGUCAUCUUAGCAAUAGUUGAUCUGACUUUCCACCAUAGAAGCAACCCUACCUCAACAAUAAUGGAAUUAGCUGCCACGCACGUACGUACCUAUGCAUGAAAACUGACUUCAUAGCUUUAUAGCUGUCCCCUCCGUGAAUAUGAAUAUGAAUCAGAAUCUGAAUCAGUCACUCAGGACUUUAUUAUCUCUGAACGAACGCCCAUAAACAGCCCCUGAAACACUAAAUUCUGGCAGCUGCUCUUUGUCGUGAUGCCAAAAAUGGUCCUUGGAACAUUAAUUACGUGAAACACUACAUUCUGGCAGCUGCAGCUCUAGCUCUCUGUCGAAGAUGCCAAAAAAAAUUAUCCUGGCCUACUUAAAUCAAUUUUGAACCAAUUAAUUUGCAUCAAAUUCCAUGACUUGCAUUUUUCUCUCGAUUUUUUUAUGAAACUCUUUAGAUUUAUUCCUCUCUUUGAAUAUAAAAUAAAUUUUAUCGUGUUUGAUAAAAAAAAUUUAAAUCAAUUUUGUUUUAACUCUCUGUCUAAUCUUCAAGGAUGCCGUGUCACGACUAUCGCUGUGCUUCCUCUCUCCUCUCCGCCAUGUCUGAACUCUGAAGUCUCAACUCCUCCUUUCCUCACUUUCAGUUUCAACCACAAGUCACAAGGCUUCAACAACCUACCACUCUCAUCUCCUCCUCCUCAUCAUCAGGCCUGAGAAUUCUUCCUUUUUUUUUUUUUUUUCCCUUAUCUUCUUUGUCCUCCAGAAGCCCACUUUAAUAUAUAUUUUUUUGGUAAGUAGCCCACUUUAAUUAGUAUUAUCCUCACGAUAAGUUAGAUGUUUGAACAGACCAUAUUAUUUUGGAAUGCAUUUUUAAAUUAAAGGAAUUAAAAUUAAAUCGAUGAUCUUACAUCAAAGAGAUUUGUCCCAAAAAUAUAUAUAUAUAUAUAUGGGAUGGGGAAGUCGAUUUGGCUUAUAGCAAUAAAAUACUCCUACAAACUUGUCGGUGGUUGGUUGAAAGUUGAAAUAUCUGGCAGAUAUAAUUUGCAGAUAUGUUUGUGUGUCCUCUGAGUGAGAAAGAGCAGGAGAAGGAUGGAGAAACAAUAGGAAGCAAAGUUGGAGGGCUGGGGACUAGCUAAGAUUGGUGGAGAAGGUGAUGAUGGUGUUCGGUAGUUGGCAAGGAUUGAGUUAAAGUGCAUUGUGGAGGAAGUCUCAACCAAUUUAUCGUGCUUCCUCUUUCCUCUCCGCCAUGUCUGAAGUCUCAACUCCUCCUUUCCUCACUUUCAGUUUCAACCACAAGUCACAAGGCUUCAACAACCUACUACUCACAAGGAGGUUGAUGUUUGAACAGACCAUAUUAUUUUGGAAUGCAUUUUUAAAUUAAAGGAAUUAAAAUUAAAUCGAUGAUCUUACAUCAAAGAGAUUUGUCCCAAAAUAUAUAUAUAUAUGGGAUGGCGAAGUCGAUUUGGCUUAUAGCAAUAAAAUACUCCUAAGAUUGGUGGAGAAGGUGAUGAUGGUGUUCGGUAGUUGGCAAGGAUUGAGUUUAAGUGCAUUGUGGAGGAAGGAACGAUCAUCAAAGUUUUCCGACUCCAAAUGGUGUCGUUUAGUUUUAAAGCGAAAACCUUGGGCAGGACGUUCUGUGUCCGUCCGUCCAAAUGGGGUGAAAGUUCUCGCGGGGUAUAAGCCUCACAAAUUUUUAUUUUUAAAUAUUUUAAAAAUAUAAAAAUACACACACAGACACACACAUAUAUAUACAUGUGUGUAUGUAUAAUAUUAAAAAUACCCAAAAAGAUAAAGAAAAAUUAUAACCUUACGUGACUAAAAUAAAACCUGCUUGUGUAACUAAUGUCAUCCCAUGAACAGAAACCCAACAAACCAUUGUAAAGUUCGAUGAUUAUUUGUAUAAAAAACUUGUUGUCAUCCUGCAAACUAAUGAUUACAGUUGCGAAAAUCCUUUUCUAGGUACCUGUGAGUUUUGACUAUCAAAGCAAGUGUCUUUCUCCUAUUUCUUUAGAGUAUCCUCAAUGUGAGGCACAAAGUCUUGCGAAAACUCUUUGUAUCACUAAAUUCCAAACUGAUAUCCAUGUUUGCCAACUUAAAUUUAUAGGCUGAUCUAAGAAAAGUUUUCAGAAAUUGCAAGUUCAGUUUGAGGGUUUCAACUUCUUUUAGGCAAGUGAAGGGAAAAUCCAGUUUGGAUGUUUUUCUGAAACUUUAAAAAAAGGGAAAAAGUACUGGGAUUUUAAAUGUAUAUAUUUUUUACGCCUCAAAAAAAAAAAAACUCCUUAUCAUUACUUCCUUAUCUAUAUCCUACUUUUCCAUUCUUUUUUUCAACAAUUAAUUAUCUUCCUUUUUUCACUUUCUUAGUUAUAGCAACUUUUAAUGAAUUGUAUAUGAGCCAUUCUAUGUAUGUAAAUUGUGUUCAUGAAUCAUCAAUAUCCGUCAAUAUUUCUACAAAUUUAUUGCACAAAAUGUUUACUACAAUUUUUUAGAUCUUCAAACUAAAUUCUUUUGCAUCUUCAAAAACAAAAUCUUUACUUUAAUUUUAUAAUUACCAAAAGUAAUUUUCAAAUUAACAGAAUCUUUCAACAAAUUAUUUGUACUCCCGCUGAAGUAACGGUUAAGAACUAGUACAAUUCAUGUUCUUCUUGUUUAAUUUUCACCACACCUCCACAUAUAAAUUUGAGAAGCAGAUUGGAUGACAAUUUUUGAAGUCAAUUUUUGAAGCUAUGCAUGCAUCCAUCAAAACGGUGUCCAUUUACUCGUAAACUUUUCAAAGUCUUAUAAUUAAUUUCGUUGAAUUAAAUGAAUUGUAUGAUGCAAUUGCAGAGAAUCUCCAUCCAAUUGGAAACAUUUUCCAGACUACGUGUAUACAAUUAAUCCAUCGUUUGGAAUUUUGUACCUCAAUCAUACACGGAAUUUUGAAUUUAACGUCAUUGCCCAAUACAUGGAAUUUUGAUCUAUUCUUUUUUCUUGAAGGCAACACUUUUUGAUGUCACAUUAAUGUCAAAGAACGUCUUCAUUGGAGAGAGAAAUUUGGAUUAGCUGGAAAAAGUCAAAAAAGAAAAAAGAGUUUCAUACAUACAUGAUACAUCUCCUUUGGGAGAAACUAAUAGAGGUCAUCCAAUUAAGGUGUUUGUCACGCUACAUGUAACUCACUUUAUGUAUAAAUGCUUUUGAAUGCUCAAAUAUCUUAUUCUCAUGCUUUAGAAUUUGUUAUUCUCAUGGAAAACUCUUGUUUGGAUUGUAUUUUUUUGGAUUUUUUUAUUAAAAAAUUACUGUAACGAUUUGAUAUAUGUGAAAUAAAAAGAUGAUUGAAAAAUGUGUUUACGGAAUAUGUAGCAAUUUUUUUUUUGAAAUUGCUCUCCAAACAUUGAAAAAAAAAAAAAGAAAUUGCAGUGUAUUCCUCGCUACACAGUGUAUUCCUCGCUUCAUUUUUCUGGUGUUUGUUUAACUUUUGAAAUAUUUUCACUUUUAUCUCUAUCUUUACUUUCUACACAUUAUAACUACAUACUUCUUCUCAUGCAAAAUAAGAAAAUUUAUCUCAUUGUUUAACUUUAAAAAAUCUUGGAGAAAUGUAUAUAUGAAUAAAAAAUAUCUCCUUAAGUAAUAAACAAAUUGCUGGCCAUUUAGUAUCAAAUAUCAAUCACAUGCAAUGCUUAUUGUGACAUAUAUCUUGCACUCUCACUGCUGAAAGUUUUUCUAGAAAAGAAUGUCCAUAUUAUACAUAAUUAAUUACUAGCAUAGGAUGGGCAGGAUGAGGUUUUUUUUUUUAUUUUGAAUAUACUAGGGGAGGGUUGGGUUGGGUUGGGUGGUACGGGGGAGGAAGUGUAAGGAAGAGGUCUUGGGUUCAGUAAGUUUGGAAGGGAAGUUGUUUUCCAUAAGAUGAGUGAACAUAUUUUACAUAAUAAAAUGUUUUCAGUAACUUUUGUGCAACCAAACACGGGAAAUUAGGAAAAUAUUUUCACCCGAAACAAACGGACCCUACAUGUAACUCACUUUAUGUAUAAAUGCUUUUUGAAUGCUCAAAUAUCUUAUUCAACGAUGUAAACUUUUGAAUGAUCAAAUUUUAAUAAGGAACAAGUACAUAAAAAAAGAAAAAUCAAAGUCUGUACAAAUAUUUUUUUUUUUCACAAAGUGUGCACCAUUUUUGGUAACCAUCCAACACGCAUUGCGGACUUUUUUUUUUAAGUAUUAAUUUUGUCCCUCAUGCUUUAGAAUUUGUUAUUCUCAUGGAAAAUUCUUGUUUGGAUUGUAUUUUUCUGGAUUUUUUUUAUAGAAAAAUUACUGUAACGAUUUGAUAUAUGUGAAGUAAAAAGAUGAUUGAAAAAUAUGUUUACGGAAUAUGUAGCAAUUUUCCUUUGAAAUUGCUCUCCAAACAUUGAAAAAAAAAAAAGAAAUUGCUCUCCAAACAAGGCCUUAGAUCUUAACGUUGCUUACUUCUUUAACGUUGACCUAUCAACUUUAAGUUAUGUGACAAAUUUCCAAUCCUUUUAGUGAUUUUAUGCCAAACAAUUUUAAAUUAAUUUAGAUUACAAAAGAGAGGAUCGUAAAUCAAAAGGUCAAUUUCACAACUAAUUGUUCACUGAUUUUACGGCAAACAAUUUUAAAUUAAUUUAGAUUACAAAAGAGAGGAUCGUAAAUUGAAAAAUCAAUUUCACAACUAAUUGAUAGAGAAUCAAAAUUUCCAUGAAUUCAGCACAAAUUUUCCACAUGAUGGAUGGACUAGACCCAACACGUCGGUGAAAUUUCUACCCAACUUGGAGCAUUAUAUGUGGCCGUCGAGAUUUAUUUUGGCUUUCUUUGCUUCUCCUAAUUUUAAAUGUAUAUUUGAAAUUCUUGAUCUGUUUAUUUUUCUUUUAGCCUCAAUCUUUUUAUAGUUUGAAAACCACCCAAACUUUUUUGUUUAUUAAAAAUUUAUCAAGUCAGAAUAAAAAGAGUUUAUCGAGUCUCAUUGAAUGUGUUAAACAAGGUUUUCACGACAUAAAGAAGUACAUAUAUACACAACUAUAAAUUAAUGUUGUAUACAUUAUUACUGUAAAAAAAAAAAAAAUUUUCUAACAGGUGUAACUAUAUGAUAUAUGAGCAAAAAUUGAAUUUAAAAUUUAAACAGUGAUAAUAUGAUAUUUAUCUAAACCUACUUGUAUAAAAAAAAAAUUUAUACGCUCCAUAUAAACAAUGUAAAGAGUUUUCAUGAAACAAAGUCAAAAAAUUUUUUUAAUUGAAGAACAAUCGCAAGCUCAUCUACGUAGCAAAGUGUGUGGAGCCUAUUUUGUAAGUUAUCAAUUUUUGAUUGGUUUAUUCUUGGACAUGGAUUAAUCCAACCAUAAGUGUGUGGAUCCCAUAUUUUGCAUGUCAUCAAUUUUUGGUUGGUUUUAUUCUUGGACAUGGACCAGUCCAACCAGCCAUUAACUAAGCGGUCCAUACCAAUAAUUCUGGGUAAAUCUUUUUUUUUUUUUUUUUAGCAUGUGCUUUUUUUGAUGAAAAAGAUAGACACAUUUUAUUAAUGAUGUUACAGGAAAUCGUUCAUGAGUUGCUUGACAAAAUUUGGAAGGGAAUUUCAAAGAGCUUAAAAAAGAUUAGCACUCUUAGCAUGAUGGGUUAAAGUAUGAGCUGCCUUAAUUCGCUUCUCCUGGAAUCCAUUGAUUCAUUGAAUAUCAAUACAAAGCUGAUCUAAUAAUGCUAAAUGCACGUCCUCAAUAAUUGGACCUGAAUCAGACACGAUGUCUUCUUUGUCCUGUCUUCUUUGCCAUGAAUAAAUCUUAUAAUUGAGGCUGCAUCUCCCUGCAAUUUUGGAUCAUUUGUGGGCCUCAAAAUCAAAUAAUUCCAGGGAACAUCAGAAGUCAAUCGGAACGAAUAUCACAAUGGACUUGAUUGGAACGAAAAUGCCUCACCAAUCCCACAAUCCAUUCCAGUUGAAGUUAAGAUCAGCAAUAUCGUUAAUUAGCCCCUUAAGCUUUGUUUAAUCAUAGCUUACGCCUAUUGUCUUACAUCUGAAGCAGAUACUCUUUUGGUUUUUUCAUCUUAAGCAGAUACCAUUUGCUAUAUCGCAGUCAAUUAAAUAGUUAAACCAUUUGCUUGCUAGACUGACGAGGGAAAUUAACAAUAUAAACCACUGAACAGAAAAUCUUUUUUUUUUUUUUUUUAUAAUAAAAUAGAAUAAUUUUAUUAAUCAUGAGAUUGAAUCUACAACAAGUGCAGAACAAAUAAAAGAUGGAGGAGAGUUUCUCCAUAUACAAGAAUCUGAAAAAUUAAUAGCAUACUUAGCAAAGUUAUGAGCAGGAACAUUAAACAACCUAGAAAUCCACGAAACUUCCCAACACAUGAACUCUUGACAUAAGACAAUGGUAUCAUCAAUCAACAAGCCACAUGAUGAAUCAUCAGAUUCCAAACGGUUCAGCAUUUUGAUGACUUUUUGUGAAUCUCCUUCCAAAACCAUUUUAUUGAAACCCAAAGAUUGUAGUAAUUGAGCCGCAUGUUUGGCCGCAUAUGAUUCAACCACAUUUGGUUCCAAUAUCCCAAGAAUUUUCUUGGAGAGGCCAGCAAUGAAACUUCCUGUAUCAUCUCGAAUAAUAACACCAACUCCUGAUGAUUUAUCAUCCAUAAACACAGUUCCAUCAAAGUUUGCCUUAACAAAACCUGCAUUGGGUCGUAUCCAAUGACCUAUUGAUAACCUUGAUUGAAGAGAGGUAGACGUAUCGCACUUAUCUUUGGAAUUUGUUUCAUGGAAUUGAUUUAGGAAUGCUAUGGACAGGGAGACCAAGCUAAGAGGAUCUCUGUAGGGCCCAUCAAAGAUUGCUCCAUUUCGAUUAUUCCAUAAAUUCCAAAGAAUAACACCUACCAAUUCCAUCUCUUUGCUUGAUAGUUGCCAAAGCUGGUUGGGAAGCCAAGACGUAACCUGAUCAGCCGAUUGCAAUUGAACUUUCUGGCUUAAGAAACUAAGUGCCCACGAUUGCACAGCUACAGGACAAGUUAAGAAGGUAUGAUCAAUAUCAUCAACUGGAGCGAGACAUAAAGGGCAAGAUGUAUCUAAAUGGAGCCCUUUAGUAUUGAGUUUUGUGCUGGUUGGUAGUAUAUCUUUACAAGCCCUCCAUAAGAAAAUUUUAAUUUUCUCAGGAAGAUUCAAGUGCCAAAGCCGAGACCAAACACUGUGCUUUAGAGUACUACUACUUGAUGGCAAAUUCUCCCAAUUAGAAGAUCGCUGCUUGAUCAAGUGAUACGCACUCAUCAUAGUAAAAGAUCCAUUCUUUGAAAAGUGCCAAAUUAGCUUAUCUCUAUUGUGAGUGUCUCCAAUUGGAAUGCUUUGAAUUAACUCAAUCUCCUCGGGCCAAAAAAAUUCUUGCAAUAAGUCAACUCGCCAAAUCUUUCGCUCUUAAUCUAUUAGGCAAUCAACUGUGGAAUUCUCCGGCAAUGCAGUAGACCGCGACACGAUUUUAAAAGUAGAUGGCCGUGGAAGCUACCUAUCUUUCCAGAUUUUGAUAGACUGGCCAGAACCAACUCGCCAUCUGCUUCCUGCUUCAAUAUACUUCCUGACCUCACAUAGUCCGCGCCAAGACUAGGAAGGCCGUGAUCCUUCUUGAACUUGGAAGAAAUCAGUAUUUGGAAAAUAUUUAGUUUUAUAUACCCGAUGAAGAAGGAUAGAUGGUUGUGUAGCAAUACGACCACUGAACAGAAAAUCUAGCAUUUAUAUUAAAUAAAAGAAUUUUACUGAUGCAUAUUAUUUGCUGCAAUCCUUAAACCAUCCAAGCCUAAGAAUUUAAAAUAAAAGGUCUACAUGAAUAAAAUAAAAGAUUGGAGAUUAAAGAUGCUUUAGAAAAAAAAAAGGGGGUUAAUUUAAAGGACUAAAUGAACUACUUGCAAAUUUUUUUUGUCCUUCCAGGUUAAAUGAUUUGUCGUUAAUGGUAUUGAAAUAGUUAAAAAUUAAAAUUAUUGGGACUAAAUGUAUUUUCAUAAAACUUUAAAAGGAGAAAAUGGUGUAACCCCAUAAGUUAGAGGUAUAAAGUGUCAUCUUUUCCAUUUGUAAAAUUUUCAAUUGGUUUGCUGAUUUUCUGUCAAAUAUUUUUACAUUAAUUUGUUUUUCUAUAUGCUGACAAUACAUACUAUCAAAGUCGGAUACAUGACAACUGAUAUGAAUUUGAGUUUGAAAUAUAAAUAUUUUGCAUAUGUAGUAUGCAUCAAACUCCGUUAACGUAUACACUAUUCGGGUACAAAAGAUUAAUCAUAAUUUAAAUUUCAAACGAGAGUGUCGAAGUUGUAGGAUAACGUGAAUCAGCAAAUCAAUUUAACAACUAGCUGCUGCCAAGGAAUCAACAUUUCCAUUAGUUGAAUGCAGAAUAUGUCUCCACAAGAAUAUCUUGAUUUUCCACGGCGGGUCAUUGUCCAGUGCGUAGGACCCAAAAAAAUUCCAAUGGAAAGUUAUAGGUGACAAAUUUCAUAGAACCAAUGUAGAUGGGGAGGCAAAUUUCACACACACAAAUAUGCAUAGGGGAAGAGGAAUAAAUCAGUAAUAUAUUAUUAAUUACACAAAAUAAUAUGGUUCUCAAAUUUCAUUCUUCUCAACUAAUACUAAUAAUAAUAAGACUAGACUAGGUAAUUUGGUAAACAAGUCUUACAAUCACAAGAAAUUUUCUAAUAAAAUACUAAUUUCUAAACAAUAAAACUACUAUAAUUUAAAUCAAACAGAAUUACCAAAACCAUAACAUAAAAUAUUGCUAAAUAAUAAUAUGAAAAUUUCUAUUUUUUAACCUUGAUUUAACAUUGUCGGACACAACACGUUGUCAAGUUAUCUGCAUAACUUAAUCAAGUUUGUUUACUAGUCUUCUUGUCUAAAUGUCGCGUCAUCUUAAUCCAGAUCGGCAGAUUGAAUGACCAGAAUCAAGAUAUUAUCAGUUAAGUCAAGACAUUACUAGGUUGCCUAUCUAACCACCACCACGUUAGAAAAACAAAUUUUAGCAAAGUUAUUCUGUCUUCCAAUAACCCUUUAUCAUUUUUCUCCUAAGCAUAGUGUAUUUUGUUGCACGUUCGAUGACAAAUCGGAAACGAAUAUGCGAAUGCAAACAUAAACCAGAAUUAACUUGUAAAACAAAAGCUACUCACCUCAAAUUAUUGAUUUCAUGCUAGUCUUCGGAAUCCCAUUAUCUAUUUUUUCCAGUUCAUAUCACCAAUCUGUGAGUAUAUUUCCAAUUCAAUCCCUUUUGGAUCGUUUAUGUGUCCCAAUCAAAUAAUGCACCGGAUUUAGCCGUCAGAAUGAGCUUAGAUUAAAAUGCAAAUGCCUCGCCAACUCCAUGAUCCAUAUCCAUUAAAAGAGCUGAAGAUAAGAAAAGUAGAAGAAUAUUGUUAAUUUUGCAUCUUAAGUAGAUUGCUUUUCCUAUAUCGUAGUCAGUUAAAACACUUAAUCUUCACUGGCUCGACUUUUCCAUGAAGACUUUCCGGUCGUCGGCAUUUUAUCACUUUCAUGUAGUUCUUCAAACGCAGAAUGGUGAAAUGAUGCUUUUAAACGUGUUUAAAUGAAACUGCUAAUCUAACCAUACUUUGUCAAAUAAACCAAUAUCAAAAGAAAUCCAAUGGAGCAUCAUCUUCUUUGUACUCCUUCGUCUAUGCUAAUACUGUUGUUAUUCAGUUCUAUUCUUGUGACCAGCCAGUUCUCGUUUGGGAGCAGCAAACAAGCUUAUAAUUAUUCAAAUUUCUCUUGUAUUGAGAGUGAAUGACAAGCUCUUCUUCAAUUCAGAGAUGGGUUAACAGAUGAAUCAAAUCAUCUGUCAUCUUGGAUAGGAGAAAACUGUUGUUCAUGGAAAGGCGUUGGUUACCAUCAAAUCACUGACCGUCUGGUGAAAUUUGAUCUACACAAUGCGAGCCCGUUACGUUCAAAUGAUAUAUUUAUUUACUGAAAAAAUUGCUUGGGAGGCCAAUUAAGUCCAUUUUUGGUCAAUUUAACCAAUUUGCGACACCUAAAUUGAAGCUGGAAUAAUUUUUCAGGAAUCCAAGUUCCCACGUUCCUUGGAUUGUUGAAAAACUUGAGAUACUUAAAUCUCCUGAAUGCAGUGUUCGACGGUGAAAUUCUAGGCCAUCCAGGAAAUCUCUCAUGUUUACAGCAUUUAGAACUUGGAGGUGUAACUCCAUUCUCAAUAAAAAAAAAAUAGAGCUUAGAGAAUCCGUAAAAUAUUCAAUUUAUUUGGUGAUUUCUUGCAGGAAACUCCCAUGUUAAUUUAACUGCAAAAGAGAGGAUCAAAACUUAUUUGUGUAGCAACGUAAAUCAGUAAACAGUUCAUCAAUAUUAUGAUUGCCAAUGCGAUACUUGUCGCCUUCCUGUUACAAGUCUCUUUCCAACGGGGAAAACCUACAGCAUAAAUGUCCAAUUAAUUCAUAAAUCAGAAUUAACUUGUAAUUGCAAUUAUAAGCCGCUCGUCUCAAAUUCUGAUUAGUUUCGUCCUAUUCUUCAGAAUCCCAUUGGAUAAACUCUAUCAUUCCCAUCCAUACAAAGUUGUGUGCUUAGAUUUGCUUUCUCAUCUGAAUUACAGGUCAAUCCGCCGUCACAAUGGGACUUGAUUAGAACGCAAAUGCCUCACCAACCAUAUUCCCAUUGAAGUCACCGUAAUCCAUUCCCGUUGAAGUCAAGAUUAGCAAUAUCGUUAAUUAGCCCCUUCAGCUUUGUUUAAUCAUAGCUUACCAUUGUUGCUUUGUACAUCUUAAGCAGAUGCCUUUUACCAUAUCAUAGUCAAUUAAAUCGUUAAGAGUAAAACUGAUAGUGUAUAUAUCAUCGUCGUUGAAUGCAUGAUAUAUAAUUAAAAUUCAAAUUUUAAAUUCAAAUUUACAUUACUUAUCAUUCAUCCAAGGUUGGUUGACAGGAUAUAUUCCAUCAGUGUAUAAAAGGUUAACCCCAUAGUUAUAUCGUUUCCUUGCUAGACUGUCUGAUGAGGGAAAUUAACAAUAUAAUCCACGAAACAGAAAAGCUAGCACUUAUAUACAUAAAAAAAAUGAAACAGUAGAAGUUGUUUUGGUGGGGAGGGGUGUUGGGUGGGGGGGAGUGAGUGUUUAAGAAAGUUAGAAAAAAAGGGGAAAGAGUAAACAUAUCUAACAAAUAAACAUAAAUUGGAAGAAAGUAAAGGUCAGUUUCUGUUUUAACAAGAACAGUUAAAAUUUUGUUCACGCCCUUUAACGCCACUGAAGGAAGUAAGACAAGAGCAGCUUUGGUAAGAGAAAAAAAUAAAAGGGCUAAAUGGAUGAAAUCAAAGAUUGGAGAUUAAAGAUACUUUGGAUUAAAAAAAAAAGUUAAACUACUAAAUGAACUACUUGCAAAACUUUUUUUUCCCUUCCAAAUUAAUUGAUUUGUCAUUCAUGGUAUUGAAAUAGUUAAAAAUUAAAAAUAUAGUGAAUAACUAUAUUUUUCAAUUGGUUUUGUGAUUUUUUGUCAAGCAUUUUUAUAUUAAAGAAUCUUUUGUACAUUAAUAAUGGAUACUAUCAAGAUUGGAUGCAUGAUAACCGAUAAGAAUUUGAAUUUAAAAUCUAAGUUUUGCAAAUGCAACAAUCAUUAAACUCCAUUAUCCUCUAUAUUAUCAGUUUAUAAAAGAUUAAUCGUAAUUAAUUUAAAUUACAAAUGACAGCGUUGAAAUCGUGUGAUAACGUGAAUCAGCAAAUGAAUUUUACAACCAGCUGCUGAGGAAUGAACAUUUCCAUUAGUUGAGUGCAGAAUAAGUCUCCAAGGAGAUUUUUUUCCAGAAGAAUAUCUUGAUUUUCCACGGCGGAUCGGGACUUCCAUUGGCCAGUGGACUUGCAGUCGUCGGAUGCAACAGACGGUCAAGUUUUCUACGCAAAUUAAUCAUGUUUGUUUACUAGUCUUCUUAUUUAAAUUUCAUUUCAUCUAAAUCUAUAUCAGCAGAUUGAAUGACUAGACUCUUAAAAGAUAGGAAAAUAUUGUAGUAACUAUCGUUAUGGUAACUAAAUAAUUUUUUCCUGAUAUAACGGGUUAUUAUACUUUUAACGAUCAUUUGAUUACCUGUUGGACCUAUCCACCUAAAUAGGAUAAUGCCUAAAACUAAGGAAGUAAGUUUCUCAUCUAAAAUAGUAAGUUAACCAUAAUAAUUAGUAACUUUUGUGUCUCAAAAGGUAAAUUGGAAUAAAUAUAAAACUUACUUUUUAAAGAGAUAAAUUACUAUAUUAUAUCUCAAACAUACUUUUGAGAGAGUAAGUUUAGUUCAAGUAAUAGUAAGUUUUUAUACAUAAAUAGUAAUUCUUACUUAUAACAUAUUAAAUUUGAUUAAUGACCAAAACUUACUAAUUUAUGGCACAAAUGUACUAUUUGGCUUAAAAAACUUAUAACAAACCAAUACUAGGAAGUUUAUUUGAAAUAACAAUAAAAUGUUUUAUUAAUGAUUAAAUCUUAGUACCUUAGUUAGUAAGUACUCGUAAUAUACUUGUAUAAUACAUGAUUAUAUGUAUAAUUUAAAUUUUUUUGUAUUUAUAUAUUUUAAAAUACUAUGAAAAAUAUUUGGACCCUUCACAUAACCUUAUAAAAUAAUAAAAUUUUGUCGUAUUAUAAUUUUGAAUAAUUUUUGAAAAUUUUCAAAGUUUGGAUAAUAAUAACAACACAUCUUCCUAGUUAUAUAUGGAAUAUCACUUAUCUAUGUAAUUUCUAUAAUUUAAAACCUAUUAAUAUAAUAAGAUGACAAAGUUUUAAUAUAUUUAUUGUCUGGGACACAAGAAAUAAUAAGAAUUAAACUUGUAUUAAUAUAGACCUAACAAAAAGAGAGAAAUAGUGUAACAAUUAAUACAACAAUAAAAAUAACAUAAUUAGUAUAACAAAAUUAGUAUAAUCUGGAAUUUUUUUCUCUGGAGAUUACUCACGAAUAUAAGAUCCAACCACUAAACAAAAAUCACAUGCAUAUAUAAUCUAUUGUAUAAUUUAAAUUAAAUUUAGUUCAUGUACAAAAUGAUCCUAAAAUAAUUAGCACACUACAAUACCAUAUUAUUUUAACAAAAAAGUUUUUUUUUUGCCAAAAGUCUCCAAUAUCCAUGACAUAUGUAUGAGAGAUAUUUUACCAUAUUUUUAUCUCUCUUUUUUUCCCAUAUUUGUAUCUCAUGUCUAAUCAUUGAUGUUAAUUUGAGGAAGAAUAUUAUGUAUAAUAAAAUUAUUUUGAAUUUAAUUAACAAGUUGAGAUUUUUUUAAAAAUAAAAGUGAAAUAUUUUGGGAACUUAUUUUUUGUUUUCCCAAAAUUAAAAGAUUGCAAUUUUUUACAAAUUGUUGCCAUAACAUUUCAUUUUCUAGACUAAUUUUUAUCAAUGUAAAAUUAGUUUAGUUAACAAUAAUUGAAGUUUUGUUGGUCCGAGGAUUGGCAUGCUAUUGUUGUUAUUUUACAUGUAAAUAUAUUACCUAAGUAAUAAAAUAAACAAUAGCUACUUAAAAAAAGGAAAUAGGUGCUCAAUUGAUUGCAUUCAAACUACGAAUUCUGUUAAUGAAUAAUUGCUAAAUUAUAAUUUUAUUUACAAGGAAUCAAUAUGCAUCAUAUAUUGACCAGGACUAAAUUACUGAUUACUUAACAAAUUAUAUCUAAACACAUGAUGUGAUGUAUAUUGCAUUUGGUCACCUUUAUACUCAUACCAUUUUCUUUUCUUCCUAUUUAUAUUUUAAAAGUGCAAAAUUCUCUUGAUUAUAUUAGUGAAAAUGCAUAAAAUCUUUUACAAAAUUAUUUCAAUUUAUUUACAAAAUAUUAGUACUUUUAUAGAAACAAUGCAUUGUAGGAAUGGUUUACUAAUUUUUUAGUAAACAUAACUAUUGCAUUAAAAAGUUAAAAAAAACUUGAUUUUAUUAUGCUUUAAUUAGGAGUGCUUUUGAAGAAAAGAAUUUGGGGAUUAAUUUCUCUGAUUCAAGAAUUUUUAGAGAUUGUAAUGAUCAAAAGAAAAAGAAUUUUUAGAAAUUGUAACUCUCUUAUUAUUUGAUAUAAUAAAUUUGAUAUUUGUGCAAGUUUUCAUGUCUUUUUAUUUUCGGCAAUGAAAUUUGUGCUUACAGUUAAAUACAAUUAUGGUAAAAUAUCCCUCAUAUGUAUGUCAUGGAUAUUUGAGACUUUCAGUAAAAAAAUUUUUUGUUGUUCCGUUUGGAUUGGUUAUUUUUUUAAAAACAAGUUUUUCAAAUACAAUGUUAUGGUAAUACACAAUAACUCAAAAAAUAUCUUAUCCAUACAAUAUAUCAAAAAUUUCAAAAAAAAUUUUAUAGUAAAAAUUUUUCAUAUACAUUGUUACAGUAAAAUUUUUCAAAAACACCUCUAAAAACAGUUAAUCGAAACGGAUUAAUAUUAUAGUGCGCUAAUUAUUUUAGAACCGUUUUUUACGUGAACUGAAUUUAAUUUAAAUUAUACAAUAGAUUAUAUGUGCAAGUGAUUUUCAUUUAAUUGUUGGAUCUUUUUUUUUUAUGAACAAUCUCCCAAGGAAAAAAGUCCAGAUCAUACUGAUUUUCUUAUAUUAACUGUUAUACUAAUUUUGUCAUUUUUAUUGUUAUACUAUUUCUCAUUUUGUUUGGGUUUUAACUCUUAUUAAUUCUUGUGUCCCAGAUGUAAAUUUAUUAAAACUUUAUCAUCUUAUUAUAUUCAUAGGUGUUAAAUUAUAAAAAUUGUGAUAUACAAACAAGUGAUAUUCUAUAUUUAACUAGGAAGAUUUGUUGUUAUUGUUAUCCAAACUUUUAAACUUUUCAAAAAUUGAAAAUUGAAAAUGAUUAAAAACUUAUAAUAUGACAAAAUUUUAUUAUAUAUUUUACAAGAUUAUCUAAAAAAUGAAACUACUUUUCAUAGUAUUUUAAAAUAUAUAAAUACAAAAAAAUUUUAAAUUAUACAUAUAAUCAUUUAUUAUACAAGUAUAUUACGAGUACUUAAUAACUAAGGUACUAAGUUUUAAUUAUUAAUAAAACAUCUUAUCAUUAUUUCAAUUAAACUUCCUAAUACUAGUUUGAGAUAAGUUUUUAAUGUAAAAUUGUACAUGUAUUCCAAAAAUUAGUAAGUUUUGAUCAUUAAUCAAAUUUACCAUGUUAUUAGUAAAAAUUACUAUUAUGUAUAAAAACUUAUUGUUAGUUGAACUAAACUUACUCUCUAAAAAGUAAGUUUGGAAUAUAAAGUAGUAAUUUAUUUAUUUAAGAAAUAAGUUUAAUAUUUAUUCCAAUUUACCUUUUGAGGUAUAAAAAUUACUAAUCUAUUAAUGUUAACUUACUAUUUUAGAUGGGAAACUUACUUCCAUAUUUUUAGGUGUUAUCCUAUUUAGGUGGAUAGGUCCAAUAAGUAAUCAAAUGGUCGCCAAAAGUGCAACAACCUGUUAUAUUAGAUAAAAACUAUUUCGUUACCAUAACUAUCGUUACUAAAGCAUUGUCUUAUCAGCUCAAGUCAAGAUUAGCUUGUCUAUCUAGCCUACUCCAUUUUUAAUUUCAUGCUAGUCUUCGGACUCCCAUAAUCUAUCUUUCCAGUUCCUAUCACCCAUCUGUGAUUAUAUUUCCAAUUCAAUCUUUUUUCGAUCAUUUGUGGGUCCCAAUCAAAUAAUGCCUCACCAACUCCAUGGUCCAUACCCAUUAAAAAAGAAUAUCGUUAGCUAGCCUCUUGAGGUUGUUUAAUCACAAGAAAAGUAAAAAGGUUCUUUUGCAUCUUAUUGAGAUAAUUUUGUGUCCGUGACCCUAAACCCUAAGCCCUAAAAGAUCGUUAGCUAGCCUUUUGAGGUUGUUUAAUCACAAGAAAAGUAAAAAGGUUCUUUUGCAUCUUAUUGAGGUAAACUGGUGGAAUUACCUUAGAUUCUAUGUGCGUGUGUUUCUUUGCGCUGUUGAAAGAAAAAGGAAAAUAGGAGAGGAAUGUCAAUGUGAGUAUGGAUUCUUAGUCAAGGCUCUUAAGCUUCCUGCGUUCCCUUUCCCCCAACUCCUUGUUCCUACAUCGAUUAUGAGAGGUGUGUGUGUGUAGGAUUUAAGGUCCGUGAGUUUACCCAGAAGUCAGCAAUUGUAUUUUGGAUAAACUGGUGGAAUUACCUUAGAUUCUGUGUGCGUGUGUUUCUUUGCGCUGUUGAAAGAUAAUUUUGUGGAAAAAGUACUGUAACACUUUUUUGAUAUGAUGUAUGUGAGAUAAAAAGGUGAUUGAAAAAUAUAUUGAUGAUACAAACAAAUCAAUGUGUGUAAAUAAGGUAUAAAUAAAGUGUAAUUUUUUACAAUCCAAACACAUAUUGUAGAUAGUUAAAUACUUGAUUGUUUGCUGGCUCAACUUUUCCACCAAGACUUCCGGUCAUCACAUAGUUUCUUCCAACGCAAAAUGGUGAAAGUGAUGCUUUUAAACUUGUAUAAAUGAACCACUUCUCUGAGCAUACUUUAUCAUAUAGUUCAAUAUCAAAAGCAAUCCAAUGGAGCACUAUCUUCUUGGCACUUCUUUAUCUUUACUACUAGUAAUGUUCUUAUUCAGUUCUAUUCUCGUCACCAGCCAUUUUCCGUUUGGCUGCAGCAAACAAGCUUAUACUCAUUCAAAUGUCUCUUGUAUCGAGAGUGAACGACAAGCUUUUCUUCAAUUCAGAAAUGGGUUGAUAGAUGAAUCGAAUCAUCUGUCAUCUUGGAUAGGAGAAGACUGCUGUUCAUGGGAAGGUAUUGGUUGCCACAAAAACACUGGUCAUGUGGUGAAACUUGAUCUACAAAAUACGAAGCCGUUACACUCAAAUAAUGUAUUUACUUAUUGCAAAAAUUGCUUGGGAGGCCAAUUAAGUCCAUUUUUGGUCAAUUGGACCAAUUUGCAAUACCUGGACUUGAGCAAGAAUAAUUUUUCAGGAAUCCAAGUUCCCACAUUCCUUGGAUUGUUGAAAUACUUGAGAUACUUAAAUCUUGCAAAUGUAGUGUUUGACGGUGAAAUUGUAAUGGUACUAUUAGUUAUGAUCUGAAUAGGCUAAGAAGGUAGAAGGGUGUAGCAGAGAGAACGCAAGGAAGGGGGAAAAUUGUGAGAGAGAAGAGAGGAAAGGAUAGUGUGACAGGAAAGGAAGCUGAAUUUGUUAUAUCUCAUUACAUGCCUUUUCGUCCCCUUUAGGCUUUAUUUAUACAGAAUGCUCCCUCUAGAUCCUUCUGCAACUAGCCAAUCUCAUAACAGAAUGAGCAUACAUACAUGCAUGCCUUUGACAGCUAGCUGACUAACUAAAUAACGGAAAUGCUAACUAACUACCUGAAAAGGAAAGCAUGGCAGAUACAUUUCUGCUCAGAAAUAUCUAGCGAGAAUAUCUAGGGUCAUUACAACACCUCCCCCUUGAGAAUCCUAGUCACUAGGAUUUGAGCUGGAAAUCUGGAAACUGUGAUUGUAUUACCGUGACAUCCUCCCAAGUUGAGUCUUCAGUGCUUAGGUUCACCCAUUUGAUCAACACUUGAGUCACCUUCUGCCUUUUCCUUAUGAUUUCACGAGUAGCAAUCACCCUUUUAGGGGCAAUUUUAAUCUGUCCGUCCGUAGUCGUCAAGGGUAACUCCUGAGUCACAACAUGAUUCUUUGCAGAUGGUUUAAGCAGGGAGACAUGGAAGGUAGGAUGUAUCAAAGAACCAGCAGGUAAUUCCAGUCUGUAGGCCGCAUUCCCCACCUUCUGAAGGACCUUGUAAGGGCCAUAGUAUUUGGAAGAUAACUUCAGAUUUCUUCGGACUGCUACUGAAGUUUGUCUGUAAGGCUGCAAUUUCAAAUAAACCCAGUCUCCUACCUGAAAACUCCUUUCAAUUCUGUUUUUGUCAGCAAAUUGCUUCAUUCGAUUCUGAGCCUUGAUUAGAUUACCCCGCAGCAGUUCAUUCCAUUUCCUUCUAUCUCCUAGCCAUUGUUCCACAGCAGCUACAGGAGUCUCUAAGCCAUUGAGGCCUAAUUGCGAGGGUGGAUAACCAUACAGAGCCUGAAAAGGAGUCAUCUUUAAGGCUGUGUGAUGGUUGGUGUUGUACCACCAUUCAGUAGCUGUUAGUAAGGACUUCCAUUUGUGAGGCUGUUGGAAACAUAAACACCUCAAGUAUGUCUCUACACAUCUGUUCAGCCUUUCUGUCUGCCCGUCUGUCUGGGGGUGGUAGGCAGUGGAGUAAUGCAACUCAGUACUUAGCUUCCCAAACAACUCCUGCCAGAACAUGCUAGUGAACAGCCUGUCUCUGUCUAAUACAAUGCUCAGAGGUAAUCCGUGCAGUUUGUAGAUGUUAUCAAAGUAUAUGUUAGCUAUUGACUGUGCUGUAUACUUAGAGGGUAGUGCUAUUAGAUGACAAUACUUGGUGAACCUGUCGAUGACCACCAGUAUCCCUUCAUAUCCGUGAGAUUUGGGUAAUCCUUCUAUGAAGUCCAUUGAAAUAUGUUGCCAUGCUUGCUCAGGGAUAGGGAGGGGUUGCAGUAGACCUGGUGCCUUACAGUUUUCCACUUUGCUCCUUUUACAGAUAUCACAUUGCUGCACCCAUUCUUCUACCUUCCUUCUCAUUCCAGGCCAGAAGACUGGUCCCUUCAAUCUCUGAUAGGUUCCCAGAUAUCCUGAAUGACCCCCAAGGUGCGAGUCAUGGAAGCAGGCUAUCAACUUCUGUCUCAAGUUCCCCGAAGCUCCAAUGUAUACCCUGCCCUUAUACCUGAGCAAUCCCCCAACAAAAGAGUAAUUUGGGAGAGAAUCUGGUGUAAUAGUCAGGGUUUCCAUUAAUUUAGUCACUGCAUUAUCCCAUUGGUAGCUUUCCACAACUUCAGAUAGCCAUGCAGGUUUCAUGACUGAGAGACUGUGUGUAGAACUGUCCUCUUCAUAGUCUCUUCUGGACAGUGCAUCGGCCACAAGAUUUUCUUUUCCUUUCUUGUACUGUAUUUCAUAAUCCAAUCCUAACAAUUUAGUAAGCCACUUCUGCUGAAGGGGGGUAGUUAUCUUCUGCUCCAAUAGGUAUUUUAAGCUCUGGUGAUCUGUCUUGAUAAUGAAAUGAUUCCCUAACAAAUAAUGCCUCCACUUCGAUACAGCUGUGAUAAGGGAUAACAACUCUUUCUCAUAUAUUGAUAACCCCAAGUUCUUAGGCCCCAAGGCUUGACUGAGAUAAGCAAUAGGCCUUCCUUGCUGCAUGAGUACAGCUCCUAUAGCCUUAUGACUGGCAUCUGUUUCCAGAACAAAUGGUAAGGAAAAAUUAGGAAGUGCGAGGACAGGUGUGCUACGCAUCAGUUGUUUGAGUUUUUGGAAGGCUAGCUCAGUAUGUUCACUCCAGUGGAAAUUUUCUUUCUUCAGCAACUCCGUAAGUGGCUUGGCAAUGAUUCCAUAACCUCUCACGAACCUCCUGUAAUAGCCCGUAAGUCCCAAAAAUCCUCUCAAAGCCUUCACUGAUGUAGGUGCAGGCCAGUCCAUCAUGCUUUUGACUUUUGAGAGGUCUGCCUGUACUCCAUUACCACUGAUAAUGUGUCCCAAAUACUCCACUUGAGACUGUCCAAAGAUGCAUUUGGAAAGCUUGGCAAAUAGGGAGCAAGAUCUGAGUGUUUCUAGGACAGUUUUGAGGUGUGAAAGGUGAGUGUUUAGGUCCGAACUAUACACAAGGAUGUCAUCAAAAAAUACUAGCACAAAUUUUCUCAAGUAAGGUUCGAAUACACGGUUCAUCAGGCUUUGAAAGGUUGCUGGUGCGUUAGUAAGGCCAAAUGGCAUGACUGUGAAUUCAUAAAGUCCAAGGUGAGUUUUGAAGGCUGUUUUUGGAAUGUCAUUUAGGUACAUUUUGAUUUGAUGGUAACCAGCUCUUAGGUCGAUCUUAGUGAAGAGCUUAGCACCAUAUAGCUCAUCGAGUAAAUCAUCAAUGAUUGGUAUUGGAAAUUUAUCUUUGAUAAUCAGGUCAUUUAGUUGUCUGUAAUCAACACAGAAUCGCCAAGUUCCAUCUUGCUUUUUAACUAACAGAACUGGAGAUGCAAACGGACUAUGGCUGAGCUAAAUAAUGCCACUACUAAGCAUGUCUUUUACCUGUUUCUCUAUUUCAUUUUUCUGGUUGUGAGGAUACCUAUAAGGUGCUAACUUGAAUGGUUUGGCAUUUGGUACUAAAGGAAUUUGGUGGUCACAGUUUCUAGAAGGGGGAAGGGAUUUUGGCUCCCCAAAUACAUCCUUGUAGUCCGCAAUUAGAGCAUCUAGGGACUGUUGAAAAGUAAUAUCCAACUGAGUUACAGAGUGUACCUGAGUUCCACUCAUCCUCAGCCCGCAGGCCUGCUUCCAAAUUCUGGUGCUUAGUCCCUCCUUCUCAGCAUUGUCUCUAGGAAACUUAAGGACGGCCUCCUUAGACUCUCCUUGUAGCAAGAUCCUUUCCCCUUCCUUAUCAAAUGUCAUGUUCAACUGCCUGAAGUCAAAGGUGAUGGGGCUGUGUGCAGCCAUCCAAUCCACACCUAUGAUCAUAUCAUAAGGUUCUAAGUUAAUGAUAAACAUGUCAUGAGUGAAUGGUUUACCUUGCAUUUCCCAGUUCAUGUUUGGAAUCAUCCUACUACAGGUCAAAUACUCCCCAUUAGCCACCUUGACCUUGAAGGGCUUGAUAGACUUAACCAUCCCUGGAAAGAGUUGAGCCACAGUAUUUUUGACAAAGCUGUGAAUACUUCCCCCAUCCACCAAGAUUGACAGGGGGUUCCUUUGAACAGCCCCUGCAAUUUGAUGGUAUUGUAAGUCAUCUUCCCCGUCAGUGCAUGUAUUGCCAUUUCCACUCCUUUGGCUGACUGUGCCCCUUGGUACUCAAUUACCUCCCCUUCCUCCAGAUCCUCAGGCCUAUUUUCUACUGCGACAAGCAGAUGAAUCUCCUUCUGCCUACACUGGUGACCUGGACCAAACUUUUCUCCACACUUGUAGCAAAGAUGAUGUUCCCUUCUGUACUGCAGUUCUUCUGGUGUGAUUUUUUUGAAAUGUUGAGGUGUUUUUUUUGACAGCAUUGGCAAUGACAGGUUUGGUAGGUGCCACAGUUUGCUGAGCAGCAGCCUGUGUGGAGUUUCCCCAAGCCAUGGCCCUCUGAUGAGGUUUGUGCUUCCUGUGGUAGGCUUCAAAGGCAUUCUCCUGUAGUCUGGCUAACUCAAAGGCUUUGGAUAAUGUUCGAGGGUCGUGAGCUUUCACCAUGGAUCUCAAUUCAUCUGGCAGCCCACUCAAAAAAUAGGAAAUAUAGUAGUUUUCUGGAAGGUGUGGGGCUCGAAUCGUUACCUCUGAUAACAGCUCCUCAAAAUUUUCUUGAUAUGCUAGCACCGUGGAAGAGAGUUGCAACUUGUUGAAUUCCUCCACUGGAUCCAUCUGUCCUAAGGUUCCAAACCUCUUACACAGCUCUCCAGAAAACUCCAUCCAAUCUUUGUGUUACCCCUAGUAGACCUGAAUCCUUGAUACCACACUGCCGCUUUCUCCUCCAAGUGGAACUCUGCCAACUCCAUCCAUUGCUCCUUGGGAAUGUGCAGAAGCUGGCAAUAUUUCUGCAGUUUCCUGAUCCACUCCCUAGGAUUGUCUCCCCUAAAUGCUGGAAUUUCCAAUUUAGGCGUGCUAGCGAAGAAGGCACUCCUAGCAUUCCUUUCUCCUUGUUCUCUACUCCCCAGGUCUGAACUUCUAGAGUGACUUCCUUCUGGAGAUCCUAAUAUGCCUUUCUCUUGAUUUCCACGGUUCAAGUUGGAGAGCUGCUGCGAGAUGGCUGACAUGAAUGCAUCUAGCUUAUUGCCCAGCUCAACACUCACUGCAUCCAACCUAUCCUCCAUGCUCUGCUUGUCUGCUGCCAAGGAUUCCAGAAUUCCUUGAAUCUUGCUUUCUUGCCUGCGGAGCUGUUCCUCCAUCGUCUUCAUCCUUGUUCCAUCCGCCAUUGUGAUAUGUCGAUCUAAGCUUCCUAGUCCAAGGACCGGAAGCUCUGAUACCACUUGUAAUGGUACUAUUAGUUAUGAUCUGAAUAGGCUAAGAAGGUAGAAGGGUGUAGCAGAGAGAACGCAGGGAAGGGGAAAAAUUGUGAGAGAGAAGAGAGGAAAGGAUAGUGUGACAGGAAAGGAAGCUGAAUUUGUUAUAUCUCAUUACAUGCCUUUUCAUCCCCUUUAGGCUUUAUUUAUACAGAAUGCUCCCUCUAGAUCCUUCUGCAACUAGCCAAUCUCAUAACAGAAUGAGCAUGCAUACAUGCAUGCCUUUGACAGCUAGCUGACUAACUAAAUAACGGAAAUGCUAACUAACUACCUGAAAAGGAAAGCAUGGCAGAUACAUUUCUGCUCAGAAAUAUCUAGCGAGAAUAUCUAGGGUCAUUACAGAAAUUCCCCACCAUCUAGGAAAUCUCUCAUGUUUACGGCAUUUAGAACUUGGAGAUGUAACUCCCUCCUUAACAUGGAAUCGAUUGACAACGAAGGAUCUCGGCUGGAUUGUUGGGCUUUCUUCUUUAGAAGGCCUAAUCCUGUCUGAGGUGAAUCUCAGUGCCGCUAAAGAUGGUUUACAGACAAUUAACAUGCUUCCGUCACUAACAAGCUUCGAAUUGUCUGGUUGUGGACUUUUCAUCAAUCCUCAUCUUUCACAGGUCAAUUUCACAUCUCUUUCUUCCCAUGAACUCGGUGAAAGUAAUUUCAACAACUACACGGUCCCUCCUUGGCUCCAUAAUCUUACUGGUCUCCAUAAUCUUGGUCUUAGCUCUAAUCAUCUUUCCGGUCCAAUUCAUGGCCUAUUCGAACAAAUGACCUCUCUAGUUUAUCUCGAUCUAGGGGAAAACCGCUUUGAUGCAUCAACGUUGAUGUCACUUUGCAAUGUGAGCACUCUUAAUUAUUUGGAUCUGAGUUUUAAUGAUAUGCAAGGGUCGAUACCGAGUGAAAUAAGCCAACUUUCGAAGCUGCAAGUAUUGGAUAUUUCUUCCAACUCAUUAACUGGUGUAUUAUCUGAAGACCAUUUUGCAAAACUCGGAGAGCUAAAGUCGUUGAACCUAUCUGAAAACUUAUUCACUCUGAAUGUGAGCUCCUGGUGGGUUCCUCCUUUUCAACUCCGAGAAAUUAUGAUGUCACCCAUCAAAGUAGGCCCCCUAUUUCCAGUUUGGCUUCAAACGCAAAAGGAGGUUCAAAGUUUAGAGAUGCAGAAUGCAGGCAUUUCGGAUAGCAUACCCAGCUGGUUUGGAGUGCUUUGUUAUGAAAUUUAUAUUGUAGAUUUCUCCAACAACAACCUGACUUGGAAUCCGUUGGAGUUCAAACAAAUGAAGAAGAGUCCUCCUGAUGGUAAUUCUCCAAGCAUAGUUCUAAAGUCCAACAAAUUGGAUGGAUCUCUCAAAUCGUUUCCGUCUUAUAUUUAUGAAUUAGAUCUUUCACAAAAUUUUCUUACCGGACAUAUUCCAUUGCCUGAUGUUGGUCAAACUGUUGCAUCUACUCGUUUUCUCAUACUCUGUGAUAAUCAUUUCACAAGCAGUAUCCCGGAAGACUUGUGCAAAUUGGAAAAUUUAAAAUAUCUGGAUCUAUCCAACAAUUUUCUGUUCGGAAGAGUUCCUCUGUGUUUGGGAAAUUGGCUAGACCUGCGGGUCCUAAACUUGGCAAAUAAUAGUCUAUGCGGUCAAAUUCCGAGUUCACUAGGCAACUUGGGGUAACUUUGGAUUCUGCAUUUGAAUUGAAAUAAAUUCGUUGGGAAGCUCUUAUCCUCAAUGCAGCGCCUGAGAAAUUUACAAAUUCUUGAUCUCGGUGACAAUGGACUUACAGAUAUUAUACCAACAUGGAUUGGGGAAAGGUUAUCAAAUUUAAAGUUUCUAAGAUUUCAGUCAAAUAACUUCCAUGGAAUCAUUUCUGAUGAGCUCUGCCUAGUCUCACGUCUUCGUGCUGAACCUAGCGCAUAAUAAUUUAACAAGAUCUAUUCCUCAUUGUUUUAUCAACUUCUCAAUGAUGGUAUCAAGUGAACCAGGAACUGACCUAUCAAUGCAUGAACUCUUCGGUGCAAUCCCUAAAAGCUUAUCUGCUUUAAACUGGUUGAACUUCCUGAAUUUGUCACACAAUAAGCUAUCAGGGCCAAUACCAUCAGGGAAUCAAAUUUAGACCUUAACCGAUCCAUCUAUCUAUGAAGGAAACAUUGGACUCUGUGGCAAGCCACUCCCAAAUGACUGCCUGGAACAUAAAUUGCCUACGGAAAAUGGGCAUAUUCAUGAUGAUAUAGGCCACGCGAGUCUAAUUGGUCUUGGUUUUAUGCUGUCGGGCUAUUGGGAGUUUUGGGAAUCCUUCCGUUCAAGAAGUCAUGGCGCUAUGCAUACUUCAGGUUUCUGGAAAAUGCCUAUGACAAAAUUUACGUAAUGAUUGCAUUGAAGGCUAAUCAGCUGAGGAGGAAUUUCCAUUGAGUAAUACCCUGUAAAAGCACAUUUAUUCCGUUUUUCAUAUCACACAGUAGCAUACUCUCCUUGAGAAUUUGCAAAACUAUAGUAAUUUGUAGUAAAGAUUUGUUUUAUGCGUCCCAACUUGACCGAUUCUUAUUCAAUAAGAAAAUGAUAGCUUACUAGUUUUCUUUCUUUUUUUUUUUCAAGACAAAGAAGCUCAAUAAGUUAUAUCAACAAAAGAAUAACGCACCAAAAGCAGUAGAUGAUUCUAGCAUCAAAUCAGUAUCUUGCAAAGGAAAUUUUCCCAAUAAACUAUUACGUGAUUGAAGACCAGAAAUUUCCAUUCCUUAACUUUUGGAACUUUUUAUCUUAAAAACUAGGUACCAAAACCUUAGUUGCUUUCUCUAGAUUCUCUCUUUCUAUUGGCAAUUAUUUUUAGUCUCUCAAAAAUUUGAUUUCUAAUAAUUCUGCUCUAUUCUUCAUAUUUACAUUGCAUUUUCCUAUGUUUCUUUACAUUCCAUACUAUGAGAAUCUUAUUGAUUUUUAUUUACAACCGAUUAAAUAAUUAUUUUUCUGUUCGCAUUAGAAUGCAUUAAAUAUUCUAUAUCGAGCAAUUUAUAGGUUGUUUAUCUUGCUUACUGAUCUAAUUUUUGCGUCAACAGAUUUAAACGCUUUAGAAGAAUUCUAUACUUGUUUAUGCUAAUAAUUGAUUUAGUUGUUUAAUUUCUAAUUGAUAUGCAUUUGAUAGGUUGCGAUUUUAUCAUUUAUUUUAUUAUUAAUUUCCCUUAUUGCCUGAUCCGAUGUGGAUUAAUUACUGGAUUUAUUCACUUUUAGUAUUUUGCAUUUAUUUCAGGGAGUAGAAUGAAAAUAUGACAACAGGUGCUAAUUUGGCAGAAAAGGAAUCCAAAUGAUAGAGUUUAUCCUAGGGGUAUUUUUGAAAUAAAAAGAGACGCAAGACCUUUUUGAUAAUUUGGUCGAAGACAGCAGGAAAGAAAAGGGAGGAGCUGGAGUCUUCGGUUUGAAGACUGGGCCGCCGCACAGUAGCAGAGGCUACUUAGAUAGGAAUUAGAAUUAGAAUUGAAUUAGCACUACUGUGGAUAGAUAGCUUUUCUUUCGAGGAGCUAUGCCCCAUGCAUGUCAGGAGCAAAAUUGGGGAAAACUUUGACUUUUCUUCCUUUGAGCUUUUAGUAGUUGUUUUUCCUCCUUCGUACGGCAGACGAAGGGAAAACUACCAAUCACCUUUUGCAGCCUGCUAUCUUUUCAAUAUUCGGACGAAUUGAAUUUUUCCAAUCUCAAAGGACGAUGGCUGCUGCUUUCUCUUCAGUUUUGUAUGGUUUUUUCGCACCAAAUAUGAACUAAUUUCUUCACUUUAAUCAAGGAACAACGGAGGCUUUGGUUCGUCUAAAACUUGUGAGAUCGAUUUAAUUUUAUCUUUUUCUUUUAUUUAUUGGUAUUCGCAUAUCUCUUGAUUGCAUUGUUCAUGAUUAUUUAAUUAAUUGAUUGUCUUGAAUCCGGAUAAUCAGUUAACUUAAUAAUUUAUUGUCAAUUAGGGCAUUAAAUCCGUAAUUGUUUAAGUGCCUUGAAAUAGUGACAACUGGCACGAUUAGAUUCGUGUCAAAGGGAUACGCAAGCUAAUCUGAAAUAACCCCGGUAGUGCAUUAUUUGGUUAGAAUAUGGCUCCUCUAAUACGUAAGACAAUUAGAGAAUUGAAUCUUAUGGGCAUACCUAAGAUUAUUUCUCAAUUAGAGCAGUGAUUAAUGGGCGUACCUUAAUCACCGAUACAGUAAGGAGGGGUUGACUGGCAUCACUUGUUUGGUAGUUAUAACCUAUUUAUUAAUAAAUAAUUGGAAUUGCUUGUGCAUCGAUGAUCAAUUAGGUGAACCAUUGCUGAAGUUAUUUCUUGGCUAGACCUUUAAUUAUUGUUAAUAUAAUUUUAGUGAAUUGUCAUUUAAUUUCUAGCUAGCUAUUUAUUUUUAUUCUUAUUUGAAUUUCUUUGAUUGUCAUCGUUUAUACAAAAACACCCCCUGUGUUACUUUGGAUUUCUUAAGAGACAAAUAUCCCCAAUCCCUGAGGAUACGACCCUACUUGCCCUGUCUACAAAUUCAUAAUUAUUUGUGAAAAAAGCCAUCCCAUUCGAGUAUAUCGGAUCAACCAAACUCUUUGGGAACAGGGUGAAUCAAGUAACCCAUUGCACACCUAGAGUCCUUGCUCCAGUACUUGGAAUCAGAUUUUGGUUACUUUAACUGGCAAUUAGGUUUAAUUUUAUUAUUGUACAGGCUUCGACACCUGUCAACAUUCUAGCUUUUCUGCCAACAACUCUUAUGAAUUACCAACUAAUGAUUUUCAGGUAUUACAUUAAUUCUACCCACCUAAGUUUCACUCUCGAAACUUAAUUUGACCAAAUUAGCAUAAAAACAAACUGCCCUUCCAAUUAUAUCACUUUACAUGAACAAGUAUUAAUUAAACUACUAGUAUUUAAGGCACACACCAAUGUGUGUACACCUAAAACAAAGCAUAUUAUUAAAAUUUUGAGUAAAUUUGUUGAAAUCAUUUUCAAAGGAAUUAGUUUUAUAUUUUUGACAAUGGGUAUUGGAAAAUUCACGAAAAUAAGUGUACAAAUAGAUUGUUAUUUAGCAGUAAUCCAUAACCAUAAUCGAUAGUUGAUUACAUUGGGUAGCUAGCAAGGUAAGUUUAAAAAUAAUAUAAAAUGACAAAAUUUUAUGUAUACCAAAAGCCCUCUCCCCAUUUAUAUAUUUACAACAAAAGCUUACUCCACCUUUACAUAGAGCAUAGAUAUUAUUUAUUCAAGGACAAUUCAUGUCCCUCCUCUCCUUCCCCUCCUCGUUUUUUUGGUCAAUCGUCAACUCCUAUUACUACUCCUACUCUAACCAAUAUUAGGGAAUGAUCCAACUGGACCAAUGGGGCUGGAGAAAGAAGAUCUCACCUGUAUAUCAAAGAGGUUCACUAGACCAAAGAAGGGUUGGUUCAUGUUCAAAUCCGCUAUUCUUUUUACAAGGCCAUAGAAAUUUCAAACACCUGAUGCCCAUUACGUUUCCCUUGCGUCAACAUAAAUCCAAACAUCAAGAAGAAUUCCACUUAAUUAACCUUAUUUUCAUUUGAACUUUAGUUAUUUCUAAAGUGAUAAUCAUGUCUUACUAUUCAUUAAAGUAACCUACUAUCAAUAAAAACUCCACUAGUAAAUUCCGUGCUCUCAUUUUCUGAUUUGCCAGAUUCUUAGUUGCACCCCCAAUUUACUUCAUACUACAUGCCAUCACAGUGGAUCUAGAAAUAUUAUAGCAUAACCACCUAGAAAUAUCUUCAAGAUAUAAUCCUUUUCAAUAACAUCACCCACUCAUGAUUUUCAAUCUAGAAUUACCUGUAGUUUUAAGAUUCAAAUCAAGUGAUCAUAAAGCCAUGUGAGAAAAACUAAUGAACAUAAAUUAAAUUUCUAACUCAUCGAUUGCCAAUGGUCCUAUUAGAAACUAGUUCUUGCAAUCAAUAAUUGGUAGACAUGCAAUAAAAAUGUGUCCUAGGCCUCCUGAUCUUCUAAACAAACAUGUAAGAGCAGAAGGGUUUCAUGAACAUCCUCCCAAUGAGGAAUGUUAUAUGAACGGAUCCCAAUCACAAAUUAAAGAUUCGUGAAAAAAGAGAGAAACUCUAAAAAAUUGGGUAAUUCCAAUAAAGUUUGAUAAAAGUUGUUAAGAGAAUGAGAUAUUACUUAGGCCCUAUUUGGCAAAUAACUCCCAAUAAAUAUCUGGGUAAAACUUAGGCCUCGUUUGGCGAAUGAGUUUUUUGAGUGUUUAUCUAAAAUUUUACUGCAACUUACUGUAAAAAUUGUAGGAAAAAAUUUUAAAAUGAAAAUUUUUUUUCUUUUCUUUUUAUUUCUUUUUCUUUCUUUCUUUCUUUGUUCUUUUCUUUCCUUUCUUCUUCAUCUCCCUUCCCCGUCCCCUGCCACCUCUCGCUUCCAGUUGGAACAAGAAUUUUUUUUGCUCUUUUCUCUCACCCUCUCUUCUCUCUCCCCUCCCCUCUCGCCCCUUUUCCGGGUGCUUUCUAGUCGUGUGACCAGAUCGGGCAAAGGGGUAAGGGAAGGGUGGUGAGGGAGGGAGAAGGGGGGAGAGAAAUGGCGGGGAAGAGAGGAGGAGAGAGGGAGAGGAGAGAGAGAGAAAAAAAAAGAUCGGCCGACUCCGAGGUGGUGGUGGGUUGAGAUGGAAGGAGAAAGGAGGAAGAAAAUUUCUUUUGUGUGUUUUGGAUAUUUUGAAAUAUAUAGUUAAAGUUGUUAAAAAUUUGAUAGGAAACAAACUUAGCCAAAAAUUCGUUUGCCAAAUAGGCCAUUAGUUCUAGGAAUGCUUUGAAAAUCCUUGUUAGAGGGAUAGUGAAAUUCUUGUUAUCCAUUAAUAUCUGAGGUCAUGUUAUUCAAUAAUGGUAAUUGUGAAAAAAUUUUCUCUUUUUUGAUUGAUUUUUAUUCAUAAAUUCAAGCUAUUAUUCAAAUUAUAGUAAUUUAUUGAUGAAUUUGGAUUAUUUAUUGUUGAAUUUGGCUAGGUAUAAAGUUAAUUGAAGAUGCAUAAAAGUUUCAUAAAUAAGGCAGCCUGUUUCGACAUUGCUUUCAAUGAUGUGUGGAUUAUGUUUGUGAACUUUAAUGACACAAAGGGGCAAGCUACUCCUACUACUGCUACUUAUUUUGCAUUUGGGGAUGAGUCCCGCAUCUCGUGCUGGAGUUGAUACCGGUGUAGUAAAAUGGUAAUCCAAUAUGCAAUUAACGAAUUUUGUUCUAAAAGCUAUAUAUAACGGAAAUGUGUGAGAACCUGAGAAAAUUAUGUGUAUGCCCUAAAUUUAUUUCAUUUUAUUUACUUUGAUAUUAGAAAUAUUAUAUAUAACGAAUAAAUGGUUAAAUUAAAUGCCUAAUUGAAUCCUUAUGAAAUUGAGAAUUUAGAAAAUAUCCUAGAAUAGUGUAGAAAAAUUUUAUGAAUUAAAUAAAUAUAUGGCAUUCAUAUCGUAAUUUAUGUCAUUUGCAAAUAUUACUAGACACGAAACAUAUACUAUAUAGUUCAAUAGGUACAUGUCUAAUAAAUCCUUUUUAAAGCUAAAUGUGUGAAAAUCUACUAGAUCAACGUAAGAAAAUUUUUCACGAAAAUAAAAAUUAAGUUAAGAGUGAAUGUAUGAAAUAAUAAACUAAAGGACCAAUUUAACCAUUAAUGGAUGGACAAUUAACCAUGCAACCAAAAGAGGAAUUGAGCUUCUGGACAACCGAGGAACUUAGGCAAUCAAAUGCUUAAUUACUAGAGCGGUGAUUGAGAGAACACUAAGAAGAAAACAGCUCAAGUAGUAAGUAGCACCGACUGGGAAACAUUGACCACCGAGUGGACUGUUCCUUCUGAUUCUAGAGUCUUAUAAGCUGCUAAGUCCAAGCGGUGGCUGAAGGAAAAACCAAGAGAAAUCCACAGCCAAUAAUUUGCUAAGUCAAGCGGUAGAAGUGAGGAAACAAAUAGAAAGUGGCUUGCUAAGUUGGGCGGUGGCCGAGUGGAGAAGCGAGGCUUCAAUUCUUUUCUUACCAACCAAACACCAAGAGCAAAACUGAGAGACUAAGCCAUUUCUUUUCAUCUCAAGGCACAACCGAGAGAGAGGAAAAUAUUUCUGGUUCCUCCUUGUUCCAGUUUUCAACCGAGAGAGUGAGGGAGAGAGUUAGACAUUUGCUAGCUUUAUUUCUCCAGCUUGGAACCUCAAAACUCUGAGCCAAAGUGAGUGAGAGGGAGAAAAAUCCUGGUGGUAUACUUCACCUAACGGCCUCAACCGAAUGAGAGUGAAGUAGAUUGAAGAAAGAGUGAGAGUUGGUGCAAUUUUGAGGAACCGAAGCUCAACUUGGAGCCGUCUGCACUUGCUGAAUUCUAGAGGAAAGGAGUUCUUGUCCUUAGUUUAGCUACCCGAGAGACAUUAGGAGGAAAAGGAGAGAAGGACCAAAAGAAAGAAACAACAACAACAACUAGGAACUCAUUUCUGGCCACCUUCAACCGUGAGAACCAGCCACAAAGAAAGCAGGAAUGCAGUCUAUUGAGCUAAGAAUGGGAGAGAAAAACCAGAAUUUUAUUUUCCUAACUUAGAACCAUAAGAACCAGAGGUAAACUACUAUCUUUCUCUUCCAUUUCUUCUACGUUUAGCUAGUAGUCUUUUAGAAUGAAUUGAAACCAAGUAAAAGAAAAUUUUCUAGAAAACAAAGGUUGUCAAAGCUGGAAAUGUUCGUUUGAAGCUGCAUGUUCUCACUCUAAUGUUUAUAUGAUUGCAAGUUAGAUUUGAGUGUAAAAUGAAGAGAUUAUUAGAGGAAAUUUCAUACUUUUAAACUGCUAGCUGCUGAAACUCCUUCAUCUUGGCCGAGAGAACAAAAGAGAGUAUUCUCCAACUUUUCUCUUCAAACCUUGGCUAUAAAUUCUAUAUUGUGAUUCAAAACACCUCAUAGAAUAAUAAUUAUCACCUGGAUAUUAAGUUUGAAUGAGGAAAAUAAAGAAUUUUAUGGAGAAAACUUGUUUUCCAAACUACCUACUUGCUGGAAUUUUUCAACCUCAGCCGAGAGAGAUGGAAGGGAUAUUUUCUGAUAUUUCUCUAUAGAUUUUGGGCUGUAAACUUUCAUAUUAAGGUUGAUUACACCUUAUAAUAUCAUUAGAUGGUCAUGUAUGUGAAUUUUGGGGUGAAAAUGUGAUUUUUUAUGGCUGGAUUGUUGUUUGAAAGACUGUUAGGCUAAUAAACCAUUUACAGUUUAGUCAACGGAAUUUCUUGGCUUUGAAUGGAUAUUUUAGUAUAAAAUUUGCUGGAAAUGCUUGAUUUGUACUUGUUGCUGUGUUAUGAGUUUGUUGGUGAGUGAUUGGUGGAUGGAAAUAAAAUCUAAAUAGUUAAAAUGGAAGGGAAAGUUUGCUAUACCACCUACAGGAAUCAAAGGAGCCUUGUAACUUAUAUAAGAAGAUAUCCAUUUAUUACUUGGUUUAAUAGGCUCUAUAUAAAUUGUAUACACAUCUUAAGGUAAUAAACUAGUUAUGCAUGUGGUCUUGGUUAAUAACAGAAGGAAUUAUGUGACAAGAAAGUACUUUAAGGUUAGCUACUUCUAAACUUACCUUGUUAAACGUUAAUGUUGAGUUUUAGUACGAUAAAUCUAACAGUAUAAAAGUAGUGAAGUGACAUUACUGGAAUUGCUACUUAAACUUCCUUUCUUUUGGAAAUUAAAAGUUGAAGUAACAAGCGAGUGUGAGAAAAUGCACUAGUCAUCUCAUUUAAACAUAGCAAUGACUUAGAUUUCGGGUGGAAUGGUGACUUAAGGCUAGAAUACAACACGUAUGUUGAUUAUACUUUAGAAUUUCACCAAAUGAGUAGUUAAAUAAUUAUGGCAAUUAUAACUUGUCUCAGGAGACAGCGGUGCGCAAGAAAGCAAUUCUAAGAUCGAAGUGUAACUUUUGAUUAGGGUGAGUGUUUAAGAAUUUAUAUAUUUAACUGUUUAUGUUUAUUUAAGUGAAAUUAUGUGAUAAAUGUGCUUAUUAUGUAUAUUGCCAGUGAUUUAUUGUAAAGUGUAUCUCAAUUGUCCCUCGCCUUCUAAGUCGAGGGUGUACUUUAUCGCACUCGACUUAGUUGAACUUGAAGGUUGAUUAUUGACUAAAUGUUACUGUAAGUAUGUAUGAAUGUAAGCCGUAUGUGUACUUUAUCGCAUCGGCUGAACUGAGCCUCAAAACCCUCUGUUCAACAGAUUAUUCGAGCCAGCAAAGGGCUUGUUGGAUAGGACGGAAGCUUUGGGUAACUGUUUGGUAUACUCGGGUAUUACCCUGAAGUUGGGAGAUUAUUGAACUGAUUGCUGAAUGUAGGGGAUUGAUUAUUGUUUUGGAGGACAUAAGGAGGUGGAUUGGCGGAGUGUGCAAUAAUAUUGAAAUGAAUGUACAAUGACACUGAAAUGAGUGUGCAAUGAUAUUGAAAUGACACUGAAUUACUGAACGGAACUAAGUGCUACGUCUGGAACGAACGGGAACCACCUCUAGAGUCCGUAUCAAUACCGUAUCCUUUGAGGUGAUUGAUUACUUUUAUUAAAUUUGAUAUCCUGAAUUGUUAAGUUUGGUGAAUGUUUUAUACUGCUAAUUGGUUGUUGUAUCCUUUUGAAAGUGACAAUACAGUGAAAUGUGCAUUACUUGCUUAAUUUUACUAGUUAAGUGUUUAUUGAAUGUUACUUGUUCGGCAAACCUCACUAAGUUUUAGCUCAACCUUUUAGUUUUGUUUUCCUUACAAGAAUUGGUGGUCAGGGAAUGAACAAGGGAUCUUAAGGAGUUAACGUGAAGAAUUUUGUGAAUGUAAAUCCUUUAACAUCAAAUUAUGGUUGAGGCUAUUAUAUUGAACUUGGUAUUGUAAAAGAUUUGAGUAUUUGGUUUUGGUUUAUCGAAAUGUUAUCUCUGAAAUUAAUGUAAGUGAGUGAGUCCUGGCGAGAGUCAGGCAGAUGGUCCGCUAACUUCUAGGGUAUGCUCUAGGAGAAGGUGUGACGACCCCACCUCCCCUAAGGCGUACCAAAGGGUUCGGCGGACCGCCUGCCCAACUCUCGCCAGGACUCACUCACUCGUGUCUUACGCAUACAUCCAUAGACAAGAAAUAACAUUGCAAUUCAAACUUGUAAUAUACAUCGAUGCACAAACCCAGAUACAAGACAUCUAUACAUCCAAAAUACUUAAAAGUGUAUACAAUACAAGUACAACGCAUUCUAAGCGAAUGAUAGCGUGAGUACAACUCGAAAGUCAAAACAAUUAGUCUAAACUAGUCUGUACACGUCUCACGCCUCGCUCGUACCCCUGUAAGGAAAACAAAACUAAAGGAGGUUCCAAAUAUCAAAUUGUCCAGCAAAUAAAGUAACAGUGGCAUAAUGGUGAAAUAGCGAGCAAAACAAGUCAAGAAAUGAGUAAUAACACUUCAUAUAGCUAGACACGUAAUUUUUCCGCAUUUCACAUAUAAGAAUACAGUUGCUCAUAUAUCGACUCCACCAUAGCUUGAUCAAUUGGUAGUUGGCACUCCGUCAACUUUCAAGUGAGAAACUAGUCCAGUAGGUCACCACUUCACUCCAAUCUCCGUCCACCGAUCAAACCUCUUACUGGGCUCGAACUCCACAAUAAACACUGGUGGUAAUACUCGAGUAUACCGAUUAGUCGAGGAGAUAACACUCCACUCGACAACACUAGAUACCCAUGGUUCGUUAUCUAAUCGACCAAACCCUUGCCGGCUCGACUCGAUUAACUAGCCAAUGGGGUUUGGAUCCCCAAAAAAUCGAUGAGAUAACACUCCAAUCGAUUGAAUCAAGAUAAAAGUAUGGAGACGGGAAUGAGAGGUACCUCCCACUCGGAUCGAGUGUGGUACAUACUGCCGCUCAGUACUUACAAGUCACACACAAAUAUCUCAAAUCAAUUGCAACAAUAAACAAGUACAUAUCACGUUAGGGCAAGUGCGAUAAAGUACACCCUUGCCCGAUCAUACCAAUCACAUAUCAUUCGAUCACAUUGGUCAAGUAUUAAAAACAAGUAUCCAGUUCAAUCAGGUAUUUGGAAGUACUCACCAAAGAUGUAGUGCCUUUACGGAUCACGGUCAGGUAUUACUCCUUGUGUGGAGUUCAACUCUGCGAUAAAAUGUCAUUUAAGAACUUGAAAUCAAUUAGGGUUCAAGUUUUUUUUAAAGAAAAUCAAGUAAUUGAAACUCAUUUGGGGAAUAUUCGUAAAACUCAUGCUCGCUCUUAAAACUUUGAAAAUUUGAAGCGAUUAAACUUUGAAAUUCCCAUUUGAGUCGAAGAGAGGAGAAAAACGUAUUUCUAUUAGUCGUUACUUUUAUUUUUUCAAGGUUACAAGGUUCGGUCGAAUUCUAACUUAUAUACCACUAUGAGCGAAGACUUGAAUACCCUAGAUGAUUCGAGUUCAAUUCGACCUCAAAUCUUCGCUCAAACUGCGAGUAUACACGUCUCACUUUCGAGUGAAAAUUUGGGCAGCAUACCCCUUUGUAUUUAGCUAUUUUCCAGUCAUUUAUGGCUUCAUUAUUGUUCUCAAUUCAGCCCUAAAAUCACACGCAAAUAAUCUUACCACAAUAGCCUUUCACUAGGCUCAAUGUCAUCCACACACAAGACAAUUUUAGCAUGUAAGCUUCACUUGGAAAUUCGGAAAUGGUGGCCAAAAGCUAAGUACAAGUCUUGACCGCUUUAAUUAAGGUAACUUGUUAAAAGAGUAAAACUUUGAGGAAAUGAGAGAUACAUUAGCGAGAGAAGUUCAAUAGGGAUAUAUUUGAUGUCAAGGAAGUGGAAAAAUCAAGGUGAGGGGUUGGAAGUAGGCCGUCUGAGGUUUUAAAGUCAAGAAGCCCGUUUCUAUACUUCAGGAAUCUACUGAGAUGAAUAGUAACAGUAAACUUUAAAAAUUCGCAACUCGAGUUCCACAAAUCAAACAAUUAUCAAAGUUAUACUGUUGUAAAAUAGAUUUUUAGUACUAUCACAUCCCAGAAGACACUUUUCAGAGAUUCAAAUCACAAAUAGGCCAAAUAUUCGAUCCAAGUCAAAAAUUCAUUUUCCUGAAGAAACAGGACAUUCAAGCAGGACAGCCUACUUUGAGGAGUCACGGACAGCAGUACACAUGGAGGAAAAAUAUGAAAUUUUUACAAAACAAAGGCCCAUGAUUCUAGUUGCAAAUGCCACUGAUGACACCUCAAUCGGAUUUUUCUACACCAAGAUAUAAGCAUUUUACUGAGACUGGUCAGUGAAAUCCGAAAAUCUGGAAACUCAUUUUUCACUUGUGAAAAACUCCUUUUUCUCUUUUAAAACCACAAGACUUUUAUUCAAACCACCCAUACAUUUAAGUAUGACAUUCAUACCAGCAGUUUUAACAUAAUUUAAGCAUCAAAUUUCAACAGAAACCAAAGAAAUAUACAUAUAUUCCAAGUUUAAAGUCUUGUAAGAUGUUUAUACUAAGAUUAAAUCAUUUUCUAUCCAAUAUUCAAGGAUUAAGGCAAAUGAACUCUUCAUUUGUUCCAUUUAAGCUAAACCAGAUUCUAAGUUGUUUGUAGUUUGGGUUUUGUUCCACUACACCAGCCCCUCACAUUAAUAGUCUUUAAAAUAUUAAUGAACACAAUAUUAAAUCAUUAGAAGCCACUUUACGUAUAUAACUAUCAUAACUUUCCACUCAAUCGUGUUGGUUUAACCCUACUCGUGGAACUAGGUAUAUCCAUUAAAUCUGAGAACAAUCGUAGCUAUCAUUUAUGAAAGCUUGCAAGAUUGGAAAUUAGAAGAAAUGUUAGUUAAAAGUUGGUUUCCUCAGGGCCAUCAUCAAAACUGCAUGCAUGUGAAACAAAAGGAAAGGCAACGAGGAAGUCAGCUUUGCCAUCCUCUGGUAUUUCAAUCAUAACUAGAGCUAUGCUUAUCAGAUUGAGGCAAGCUUUAUAGCGUUUCGAAGCUAAGAUAUAUACCUACAUUUCUUAUGACGACACCAACACCCAAUUCUCAUAUUUUCAGGGUCAAAAAUGGCCGGACAGAAACACAUCCUGCUUCACUCUGUCGGACAGCAACCACAAAAUUAAUCCAGUACCGUUACUUCAACUUUUGUCAAAAACUCUAUUCUUUCACUUGCUUAAAGCUCUAAAUACUUAAGGUAUAUUCAGUCCAGCAUAUACAAGGUGAGUAACUCAUAAUUUCAGCAUGUUGUUCGGCCAAAAUCACACACAAAAUCUGUCAUCAGCUGUUGCAUCAUUCAACGAAGUUUUCCAGCAGUAUAACAGUUCAACUUUGAUGUUUUCUCAAAUAUUUCCUUUCAGGUUCAUGCUCCAACUAGAAGUAUAAAACAUAUCUUAUCAAGCUACAAAGUAGCCUUAAACAGAACAUAUGAGGUUUACAACUAAAAUUCGAAGGAAGAUUGAUUAAAAGUCCUUUUCUCUCUCUCUCUCUCUCGGCCUUCCUAGCCAGUUCCAUCAGCUUUAAUCAAAAUUUCACCAUUAGUUUUUCCAUUAUGCUCUCAAAUCUAACUUGCAAUCAUAUUAAACAUUAGACAGAUCAUAAUACGUGAGUUCCAGUCACAAUUUAGCAAACGUUUUAGAGAAAUAACCAAAAUUGCAGCUUUUCCCUCUCGAUUUGCUGUGCAGAAAAUUCCAGCUUUUGAGAUUGCUUUAAAGUCAAUCUUUUCUUGCUUUUAGCUCCUCAAAUAACACACGGAUGACUGGAUUAGGAAGAUGGCAGUUAUAUGAAGUGAGUUUUUAACUAAACUAACAAAAUUUUCUAGAGAUAAAGCUGGAAAUUUCCAGCUUCAUCUUAUUGAUCCUUCAUGUAGUGUCCAAACAGAAAUUCAGCAAAGUUUCUUCAUAUUUUACACUCAUUCCACUUGAGUUCAGGUCAAGUACUGCACCCAUGUCAAGAUAUGUAUACUAUGGAAUAUAUAUAAUGCAUGAAGACAUAAUCUAACACAUUUUGAAGGAGAAUUGACUAAAAAAUUGCAGCUUUUUAUCAUCGGGUAGCAUGCAAUAACUUUGAACAGAAUUUUCCAGCUUUGAAGAACUUUUAUCGGUGAAUUCCUUCCUUUCUCAGUUCUAGUUCAUCCCAAGGAAUUAUUAACCAGGCAUAGCAGGAAAAUGAAGAAGAGCUUAAUUAAUUACCUAUUGUCUCUUCACGGUUUAGACUGGAACAAGAUUUCUGGUUUUCUUUUGUUUCCCUCUCUCGAUUCCUUGGUUAAAUGAGCUGGAGUUUCUCUUGUUUCUUGGCUGGUGUUCAUGGUUGGAGAAGGUAAGAGAGGUCUCCGUUUUUCCUUCUUGUUGUUUCUCGAUUUUAGGCAACAGGGGAAGUGAAUGGAACCCUCUCGGUCACCGCCCAACUAGUGCACAAAUGAAUUUCUUAGCUCCUCUCAUUCGGUCAUCACCUCACGUAGCAAAUAAAUGGGCAGCUGUCUUAACAGGUACCGCACAAUCUAGAAGCCAAUUCCUACUGGUUUUCUCCCUUCCACCGCUUGGACUCAGCAGAUAAUUUCUCUUUAUUGUCUCUCUUUCGGUCACUACUUAUUCAGCAAAUUUGGUGAUGCAUUCCUUCCUGGCAGCUGUCUCAACUCACCGCCCCAGUCUCAGUUAAUUUCUACACUUCACCGCUUAGACAAGUAGAUGGUUGCUGGCUUCUAUUCGGUUCCUAUCAAUUAAAUUUUUAUUCCUCUCUCGGUUUUGGUCUUCUGAAUUCUGAUAGCUUAUGCCUUGGCCACCUGGUAGUUAGUCUAAAAUUUAAGGUUAGUUUGGUCUUUUAACUGUAGCUUAUUUGCUCACAACGGCCUGAUUUGUUUAUUUAUUUUUUUAUGAGUUCAUGCAUGGACUCGUACCUUCAUUUGUAUUUUCGUGGAAAAAUUUUGACACCUUUAGCUUUAAGAAAAAUUAUUAGACAUGUACCGAUUGAACUUCUAGUAUAGUUUACGUGACUAGUUGUAUUUGUUUGCAAAUAACAUACAUUACAAUAUGCAUGCCAUAUAUGUAUUUAAUUCAUAAAAUUUUUCUAUACUAUUCUAGAAUCUUUUCUAAAUUCUCAAUUCUAUAGAGAUUCAAUUAGGCCGUUAAUUUAAUCAUUUAUUCGUUAUACAUAAUAUUCCCAAUAUCAAAGUAAAUAAAUGAAAUAAAUUCAGGGCAUACGUAAUUUUUUUUUCCUGGGUCUUCACAGAAGGUGGGGCCGUCACAAAAUGAUUAUUCGUAAAGAAACUUAUUUAAAAGUUGAAAUUACCCUUGUUUUGAAACUCAAAUGGCUGAAGCGAACAAAAUGCAUAAACAUAAUAUGUAUGACACUCUAACCCCAUAUGAUUUUAUAUUUUACCAUGAAACCCCUUAUGAUUUAAUGUUUUAUCAUAUAAAUCCCUUAUGGCUUUCACUAUAUAUACAUAACCCCCUUAUAGUUAAUAAAUAAUUUUCAACUUUAUAUAGGGUAUUUUUUAUAUUUUAAUUGAUUCCAUUAUGGAUUGUAAAUUUCGUUAAUUUGACACUUUAAUUCAGACAAUAAGAGAGUUAUGUAUAACUUUUGAAAUCAUAAGAAGAUUAUGUAAAAAAAAAUAUUAAAUCAUAGGGGAGUAAAAUGUAAUUUAACUGUGUGCAGCAUCCAGCCCCUCUGGCUGCUGUCACUGGAUUGGGAGGAAUAUAGUAUGAAAGGCUGCAUGCACCGUCCAGCGUCUCUACCACUGUGGGUCAUGACUUUAAUUUCUUCACGGGUAGACUUGUAGUUGCCAGACUCAACACGAAACAAAGUUUGUACCCAAUUUCGAACGCUAUAUGGGCACGUCGAGAUAUUGAAUGCUGUUCAUUUACGAUUGUUUUGGUUACUCCAAAAUUUAAACGUGCAUUUGAAAUUCAUUAAAUAUCUGUUUACUCUUCUUUUAGCUUCAACCUUUUUAUAUAUUCAAAACCACCAAAAUGUUUUGCUUAUAUUUAAAAAAAAAAAAAAAAAAAAAAGAGAAGAGUUUAUCAAGUCUCAUUGAACGUAUUAAACAAGGUUUUUACCACAAAAAAAAAAAAAGAAAUAUAGCUGGAUCCAUGCAAAUAUCUGUAAAGGCUUUGUAAAGUAUGUGGAUCCUAUUCUAUAAGUAAUUAAAUUUUUUUUUUUUGGGUUAUUCUUGGAAAUAGACUACUGCAACCAGUUACUAUUUAAGUGGUCCAUGGCAGUAACUCUGAUACAAAUUGACAAAUGAAUACAUAUUUUUCAGGAACUUCAAGUCAUUGUCAUUUUAUCAGCAAUUUUCUACAAGCAUUUAGAACCAUAGAUGAUGCUUUAUCAGACGACCAAUACCAAAGGAAUUGAAUACGCAUCUCCUUAAUACUACUUCAUCAUUAUUAGCUGAUUGAUUUGGUAGUAGUAUUCCUGUCACUUUUGAUGCAUUAAAUAAGCUUAUUAAUCAAUUGUCGCUUGCGAGAAAGCUUGAUAAAAAAAAAAAAAAAAAAAUCAUCUCCAAAAACAAGUUGGCUAUGACAGGAAUGGGAGAGGGGCAAUGACAAUCGUCAGUUGAAUCGUUUCGAAACGAUGUAAAAGGGAAUCAACAGGCAAGUUAUCAAAUAUUUGUGAUAAACUCUUAAAACACACAUGUUAUAUACUUAAACUCUGUUCACGACGACCCUACAAGUUAGUUGAGUUAGAGUUACAUAUAUCGUUAUCUAUCUCACCUUUACAACAUGAAUUUUUAUGUUAUUGGCAAAAUCUGAGUCAUGAACCUUCCGAAACGUUCGUCAGUUUCGUGACAACCAUUUAGUCCGACAAAGACACUUGUCUUGUUGUAAAGUGAACUAGAAAAAUUACCUCGCAGUAUAUUUCUUAGAAGAAUAGACUAAGUACCAUCCGUUAGCCAACCACAAGUAUAGCAAUUGAAUCAAUUAUCCUGACUGAUUCUUAGACUGUUUAUUCCAACAAAUUGCCGAAUAAUGAUAUUAUGAAGUAUGUAACUGCUUUAUGCUGCUGAUACAUGUUUUCAUCGAGUGAUAAAAUUUGUUAUGUAUUCUGUAGUUAUUGUUGUAAUGAUUUCCACGAAGACUUCAAGUCAUUGUGCCUGUUUCAAGUCAUCGUGAGCCAUUGUUCCGAACCAUAGAGGUUCUUGCGUGAAUAUGUUUGUACUGGAGAACGAAUGUGUAUCUAAUGAUGAAACAUAGGACAACUGAAAGAAAAAAUACUUAUAAACAACGCAUUGUUUAUUUAUUUAUCAUUUUCGUCUCCGGCAUUAACAAGCAGGAGUACAUUUGAUUUCACCCCUCCUUCAGCAGAUAGCGAUCGAGAGGAACUGAUCAGGCAGCACGAGCAUAGGACCGUAGCAUGGACUGGAAAUUUACCUCGUGAUGAAGGUAGGGGAAAACCAUGAUGCCUCCAUAAACAGGAGAGUUCUUCAGAUAGGGAAGAACCUCAUAAACUAGCUCAUUAGGUGAGAUGAAACCGCCCUCAGGUGCGAUAGAAGAGUUUAUUGGUAUUCCCAGGAACAAUAGAUUAACGCCUGGAUAAUCAGACCAAUUGUCCCAGCUCCGGAAGAGGAGACUGGUAUCGUUUGGAGGCUUAAACUGACAAGAUGGGUUGUCGAAAAAUUCCACCCGCACCUGAUCAACGACACCAGUUCUGAUAGUUGUGUCAAGAGCAGGGUCAGGAAUAGGACAUUCCGCAGCUACGGCUAAGAUGACAUUUGGGUAUCCCUUAAGUGCCCGAGCAAGAUCAUCCAAGUAAGUCGUGUUUCCGCUGUGGAUGUGAAGCUCUACGCCAUCUAAAACAGCUGUGCCGAAUGGACGGUCGCUUGAUUCACCGCCUAAGUAAGUGUUCCAGACAAAGGCUGCCACUUCUUGCGCAUCUUCGACGGAAGAAAGCCUCGGUU
rnacentral:lncRNA from 1 species